AGUUGUUGGGUUUAGCCAUUUCGUAAACAUGCACAGCAAAUGAAAACUUCUCACGUUACACGCCUUUUUAUCCACAAGAAAAAAUGUGUGGGAUUUAUGUAGGAAGAGAGUAAAACAUGGGGUGCAGGACUUAAAUAGCACGAGUUCAUUAAAUGUAAAUUGCUAAGCAGUAACUCAUCAAACACACAAUUCUAUUUGGCUCACAGAGUUUGAUAGAUAUGUGAAGUGUUGUAACUAAUUAUGCCACAUGGGGUUUCUUUAUUGUGCAACUGUACGUGUGGAUUGGCUGUUGGCCAGUAUCAAAGGUUCCACAAACUCUUGUGAGAAAAGCUACAGCAACUUUUGGCAGCAGGCCACCGCAUCGAGGUAGACCUGAAUUUACUUACAAACAACCCCACAAUGGUCCAAAGAGUGUAAAGUAAGCUCGAAUAUAGAUGCUUGUGAUAGUUUUCCCGAUGUUGCUAUAUUUGCUUUCAGUGGGAUGUAAAGUAGUUCUCUCCCUUAAUUUCGGAGCGUCGUUGAGUUCCUAGAAGCUCUUUGUUGUGUUGUAUUGUGAUUUUUUUUUCCCCCCUUCCCACGGCGACUCCGGGUUGUGUGGUGGUAGGGGAGCCGAUGAAACCAUGGCCUAAUUGCGGCUAAGAAGCAUUCCUACUCUGGUCUUCCAAAGCGGCGUUUAGGAUCAUCCAAAGGGGCACCUGCCUAGAGUUAGGAUCAUAGUUGGAAUUGAUUAGACGUGGGUCCACGGCAAUAAUAGAAAUUGGAGAAAAGGCGCAAUCGAACCCUGCCGAGCUCUGCCUCAUGAUAAGAUGCAUCACUCCAGAACGCUAAAUUUGAGGCUGCUUCUAAAAAGCCAGAUGGGUUCCCUUUCUGCGUGGCCAGGCGCGGUGGAGACGAGGACCGUCGUCACUUCGCCCUGCCCCUGAUUGCUGUGUCUCCACCUCGCCUAACAAGUUGAAACUUCUUUGUAUUCUCCUCCGAUUUGGUUUGCGCAUCCAUGUGUAGCCCUUCCCAACUUGCUCAGCAUGGAGCGUGAGCUCUCGCCACCGCUCUCUCGCAACCCUCCCCCAUCCUCUCGCUCGAUCGCUCUGCGUGUCGCUUCGUGUGUGUGUCUGUGUCUGUAGUUAGGGUGGAAUUUGUCGUUACCAGCUCGUCCCACUCCGUCCGAGCAACGAUUAGUAACUAAUGAAAGAUCCUCGUUGACGUGUUAAAUUUGGAACAUCCCCAAAUAGAACCCACCUCGGCGGAAGUAUUAGUUGGACUGGAGAGGGAUGAGCUCCGCGUAAUACAGACUGCCCGCUGUGUGUGUCUGCCCAGCAUUCGGCCGUUUGCGAAGAGAAGUGGAGCGGAAUAUCCUUUUGGAAGGUCAUGAGCGGAGAAUCUUGUGCGGCACAACAACAACAACAACAACUCUCUCACCUGAGAUGAUCACAGAAGGGCACAGCUCCGUUUCUGGAAUCGAUUCUGGAACCCAGUUGCCCACAUCCUGCUCGUCUUGGGCUCAUUGUUACCAUUAUGAAUGAAUGCUUGUGAAUCAUCCCAAAGAGUGUAAAUGAGAAUUGCCUCCAAUAUGGGUCUGCAAUAGAAUCACAAAAUAACAAUAUUUGGUUUGUGAUCUGCUUGUGGAAUUGAAAAACAUGCCACUGUAAUUUAAUCCUGUUUGUAAUGACUAAUCAAGCAAUGAACGCUCUUCAACAUUAUGUUUUAAUAUUCUCACUUGUCAUUCAUUUCACUCUUGUGUAGUUAGUACACCAUCAUCUGUAGUCUUGUUUUAAUACACUUGAAACUGUGAUCAAUCAUGUCGUUAUAUCCAAUAUGUCAUUUACUAGACAAUAUGAAUGUGUAUAUGUGGGAUAUUGGAUAUAUCUUGCAAAAAAAAUUAAAAAAUGUAUAUAUAUAUUAUUGAAAUGCUGGUUUUCCAUCCCAAAUAAUUUUAAUUAGUUUUAGUACAUUUUGAUAUAAACAUGGUAGUAUAUUAUUUAUUUAUUUAUAAAUAAAUAAAUAAAAAAUAACUACUGCUGUUAAUGAGCUUAUCAAUACUUAUGCAUUAGUGUGUUUUCAGUGAAAUCUUUGCAUGUAGCUAGAAAGAAAAAGAAAGAACGAAAUAAAGUUUUUUUUUUUUUUUUUUUUUUUUUGCCACAUGCAUAAACUUAUUUUAAUAAACUUAGUGCAAUAUAUAAAAUAAUUAUGUUUGACAAACUUUGUUCAUUGCUUUCAGCAUCAUAUCACACUCUUACAUAAUUCUAAUGAAACCCUAAUACCCAUGAACCAUAUGAAUCUUGUCUAAAUUGAGAUUUGUUAAAACCUAAAGCUCAUUUACACUUUCAUAAGAUUGGGUAAUAUUUUAAGGACUAAAUUAUUCGUUGCACCAAAUAAAUAGCUUAUUGUGGAUCUUGUGCAUUGUGUGGUUCAAAACAUUGAUUAAGCAUGUAAUGUUUGUGCAUUUGGAACACUAACUCUUGAGUUUUUCAAUUAUUAAAUGUAAAAGCAUGGAUCAAGUUUUAAAUAAUCACAAAUGUUCCAUACUUACCAAACAUGUGGUUAUGUUACAUGCAAGCAUACAUGAUAUACAUACUGUUUCAUGUUUUUGAUGAAUCCUGCUUUAUUUAAAAAAAUUAUACGUUUGUUUAAAGAUAAAAAUAAAAAUAAAUAUUAAUGAUUUCAAAGUGGAUAAUUAAUUUCAUAUUACAAACUCCAGUUGGAGCAUCAAGCAACAUCCAAAUGCUAUCUACUUAUUUAGUUGACAAGUUGUAUAUAUUGAAAGAGCACCCUAAUUUUUUUUUUCAACACACACAGAUGUGCUUAUUUAUAAAUAUCUAAAUGUAUAGGUUACUGAUGUGUUUAGUAGACUCAUGAUAAAGCAUUGUGUUUUUUCUUUUGGAAUAGUCAGACAGAUGAUUCUGUAAGCUUAAUGAUUGUUCAUAUCAUUUUACUACUGUGUUAAUUUUGUGUUGAAAAUAAGAAAUAAUAUUGAUCUAACCAAUCAAAGAGUAACACUAUUUUGUUUAAAUACAACCACACACACACACAUGGGUUUGUGACACUUUUUAUAAAUUAAGAGGGAAGUAAAGUUUCUAAAGUGCACCAGGAUAAGUCUUCUGGGUCAUGAUUUGAUUUGUUCAAAACAAUACAAACAAAAUAGCUAAAUAUUAAUGUGCAGUUGAAGCAUACACAUAUUUUAUUAAAGAAAAUAAUUAAAUAAAUGAAAUUUGUUUUGAAAUUUUGUAUUCAAAGUCAUGACAUUGUGUUGUCUCCAUUAAUCUUUUUGCAUAAUUGUUGGGUUUAUUACUCUAGGAUCUAGUACAAUGGUUGUGGAUAGUAGGCAUCCAUAUAUUGUAUUGCAAUUGUUUAAUGAUGUGAAAUGACCAGUUUCAAAAUUUUCAAUGUUCAAUAUGUUGUGAAAUUGUCAAAUUUUGUUAUAAGACUUUGAUAAACUUGUACUUUGCACCGAGCAUAUUAAAAGCUGUACAAUAACUGUAUUGUUAAAAAUAAAUGAAUGUUCCUAGAGAGUAACAUAAAUGUGUACAAAUGCUCAUAUUUUUUUGUAAGCUUUAUUUAUUACACAGUAGGUUUCAGUGCCUUGCAAAAUAACUCCUUUCAUUGUGCACAAGCUCUUGAGCUAUUGCAAUUUAUUUAUUUAUUUUUAAUAUUUUAAAUGCCACGUUUCAUUUGUAUUGACAAUACACCAAACUUGAGAAGCAUAUUUUCACACCCAAAUUUAGAUUCCGAAUAAAUCAUAUUUUUUAAAUCGUUCAAAAAUAUAUUCCUGACGAAAAUACAUGUGAUUCUUAAAUGAUGCAAAUAGUAUUUUUUACAAUAGCAAUUGAAAUAGUAUUGGAAGCACCAUACAUAUCAUGACUAUCAUUCAUAUACUAUAAAAAAACAUAUGGACGUGACUGAGAACUUGGAUCCAAAACCAUUUACUUUUUUAGAUAACAAUCGCUGAUUAGACAUAGUAUGUUGAGUUAGAUAAAACAUUCAUACUUGCAUAUUGUCUUUCAACUGGACCUUCGAACUAAUAGCACUUAUAUGUCAAUAAAAGCAUCUAUACCACAAUGUAGUUAAUUUAAAAAAAAAUACAAUUAAGAAAAUAAAUGAAAAAUAAAUAAAUUAUAAUACAUAAAUUUUAUUAAAACUAUAUGCAAUCUUACAGGAAAAAGAAGAGAAAAAGUAGUAGAAGUUGUGUAAAAUCAUAUUUCACAUUGUAAGUAUGUGUAAUUGUGAUGUAAAAUAAAAUCUGGCACCAUGACAACACAAGAUGAACUUGAUGUAUGACAGUCUUUAUUUUUUAUUUUUUAUUUUUUUUUGUUGAUGUCAUUAUUUGAAAUGAAUGUCAGAUUUCAAAUUUUGACCUUAUCCUUUAUUUGUUUGUUUUUAUUCUUUCUGGAAUUUAUUCAUAUACAUAGAGAGUGAGAGAGAGGUGAGUAGCACUGUAUGUUGCAAGUGUGUGUGUAUAUAUAUAUAUAUAUAUAUAAACAUAUUUUUUAUAUAAAACAAUUCAAGAGACAAAAUAACCAUCUUUGAUUAGUUGCAUAUAUCACUGUUUUCAUCAAAAGUGAAAUAAUAACUCAAUUUUUGAUCAAUUGCAAAUCAAAAUUUGCAAGUGGUUGUUGCAAAUUGCCAAGAGUAACAUUACAAGAUCAACAGGAGUGGAGAUCGGAAACUCCUAAUUGAGGUUGUGAAAAGUAGUAUUGCUUUUGCGGGUAUAGUGGAUUCCACUCGGUCUUUAAUUUCUGGCCUUUGUCUUCACGUAGGGCGUCAUUGAACUCUAGGUUAUGAGCUGAUUUAUAGAGAACCCAUGCCUUUGUGUGGAAAUUUAGCUUUUUCACGAGUUUUCUGUAAAUCAGCUCGUAACAAAAAUUUCUAUAAAAUCGACCUGAUCAGGGCCAUUGGUGGGAAUUGGGUCGAAUUUUCAACAAAAUCAGCUUAUAAACAACAUGAGUUUCCACUAGAAUAUAUAUAUAUAUAUAUAUAUAUAUAUAUAAUAUUAUGUUUAUUGUCGUUUUGUUGGCAACUAAUAUGGUCUUGGGCUUGGGAUCCAGUGGAGCAUUGGUGCCCUCCGAUCGACCCAAUCGCCACCGACGGCCCCGAUCAGCGGAGCGGUUGGAUGCACAACAGCGAGAUCGCAACGCCCACAAGACACGGCUCAUCACAAGUGCAUUCUAUUUCGGAGGAGGGGCAUUAUUCCAAGGAUUAAGCAAGCAAUCCAGUGAAAGGUUUGGCAGCGGACCUUCAUGUGAUUGAUUCUCCAGCUGCGAAGCACGCUCUGCUAAUAAGAGCCACUGUUAACCUUGAAGCCAUUGCCGAAGCUCCCCAAUUAAGAGCGCUAAUGAAAUAUGAGCCAUAUUCCCAGCCUCUUGCCCGCCCACAUACAACAUACAAGAAAAAUCCAGCCAGUUGGGGGUACGCCAACAGCACCCUUUGGAUCAUUCUCAAAUGAGUCCCAUGUCCUCGCAUUCCUGCCAAUCUGAGCAACUGCAUGCUAUGUUCCAAGCCAAACUGAAUCUGGUCCUGAUUCAACAUUCAGUGAUCGGUGUUCAAGCCCGGUUAUAGCUUUAUUUAUCGACCAUGCGCCCAGCUUGUUUUCUUCGUCUUCUGACAUGUACCGAGGCCCAAAUGUUUCUGUAGAAGUUGCACCCGAGUUUUGCUUUACUGUAUGGUUUCAAGCUGGGGCUGCGAUUGUGUGGCGUGGGAUCAAGUGCUUUGGGGGAUAAUCUCUUCAAGUCAAGGAGUCUUUCUUUCGCUGAGCUAGCGAAUAGACUUAAGGUGGAUAGCUCAAAGUGUCACAGCGCGUGACGUGGUGUUCCCAGUUUUCACAAGGAAUGAUGAGCCUACAUUAUCAUCCAGACAACAACGAAUAUCGAUGUGGGGGCCAUCGAGGCAUCAGCAGGGGCUCAUUCGUUCAGUUGACCCGGGAAACCUGAGGAUCUGGACGCAGAUGGCGUAGAAGUUACCAAGUUACGUCGCCACAUGAGGUCGACUUUAGUCAUGUGCCAGAUCACGAUCCUCUUCCCCCCACCCCCACCUCACCUGGUUUCCCCCGCUCGCCGUGUAUCAAAGCCUUCCUCCCCCCGAGACGUCCCUCACAUUCUUCCAGAUUCAUUCAUCGCUGCUUCUAGCGCUUCCUUCGCUGCAUCGCGAGCUUGUCUCCGCUUGCUGUGCGAAGAUCGCCAGGUUUAGUGCCAGGGUUUAGAACAACCUUGUGGGAGUUCUUCCGCGGUCGAGUUCUUCGGAGCCUGUCUUGCUUUUGCGUGACACUCAUCGAAGUGGAUAACUGAAUUAAUUGGACCGUAGCUCGUCGAGAAGCUUUCAAGAGAGAUUCGGUUGAGUUUAUGAGUAGUCGGGAGGAUUUUCUGCUUCAUGUUUGGCAGCACUGGUCUGUAGCGUGAGGUCAUGAGACUGAAGUGAGGUUGCUGGGCAGCAGUCAAGGAAUAUCACUGGGUUCCAAAGGGCUGCAGAUUCAGAUUCAGAGUUGUAGACCAGCCAGGAUUCAACUACUAGAGGCGGUUCGGAUUUAUGGAAGGUGCGAGGUUGUCAUUGACGAUCUACACGGUUGGAUGCUCGCCGAAGGGUCUCAUUCUGCAGCAGCUGCAGCAGUAGUUGUCGCCCCGAUGUUUUGAUUCUGAAAUCAUUACCUGGACAAAAUUGUCAGAAGUCUUUUGAAUCUGCUGCCGAACACGCUGAAGAUUUAACGAUUGACUAGAGGGGAGUGCCACUUUGAGUCCACUGGAAUCUGUGAGUACUUCAUGACUUCACACUCUGAAUUGUCUUUGAAUGUCAUGUUGAAAGCUCUUGGUAAGGGUGUUGCACGAUACUAAUCAAGCAGCCAUUGUCGCGUUGAGAUAUUACAUUUUUCGAAUGCUAUACCUCGAAACAACCUAGUGAUUUGCUUAUUUUUUCUCCCCCACGUUUGGUGUUAGCAUUGAGGAACUGAAGGUUGGUAAUCAUUCCGAUAUUAGUAGAUGGUUAAAGAGGUUGUUGAGUUCCGUAUAUCGCACAUGACUUAUUUUCAGAGCAAUGUCCCGUCGAGAUAAAAAGCAGGUUUUACACAAGGAUUGCACACAGCGAUGUGACGAAUCUGAUCUCAUCGUUUGAAGAGGUUUGAGCGAGUCUUUAGAAAGAACCUGCGUCUUGUAGAUAGACCUCAAUAUCAAUCUUGUUACAAUGUUUCUGUUUAACGAUAAUGUCUUUCACUUACCGCUUACAUUUCAUCCCAAGAUGGUGUUAGUUUCACCGCCCCAUUCUACACUCGAAAUCAGAAGUGCGCCAAAACAGUUACCUCCAUGUAGGUUCUCUUUUUACCAAAUGUCUUUCCACUAUUCACUAUCUUCGCACAUGUCACACACGCCCUCUGGGUGCACUUAAUCUGGGUUCUAGACGCGAAAGGGAGCUACGUAAUUUUAGAUCCGGAGUGAACAGUCGUUAUGUGUGACAUAAUGAACGGAUCAUUAGGAUCUUAUAACCUAAUUCCGUUGAGAAUGACCGCUUUUCACAGUAUCGUAGCCCUUGAGUGGUAGUGAUUUCAAUACUAGGUCUUCAUCGCAUCUUGGUCUAACUCUUUCUUCAUUUCCUCUUCUCUGUCGCUUAUCCUUUCGCUCUACAGGUCUGCUAUCGAAGUUCUUUGUCUCGACUCUGUCUCUCGUACUAGCACUUCUUUUCAGAGUCUUGUCUUGCCCAGCCAAAAAUGUCCGCAUCAUUACCGAACUCUAAUUAGCCUUUAAAGUAUGUGUUCAGCGUGGUUAUUCGUCUGUAUGGGGCGAGUAUAGUACUCAUUAAUGGACAUCUACCAGAGCUCCCUAGUGUUGGAAAACGUUAUUGUGGGAACCUGUUUAGCAGUGAGACAGCUCAACUGCUCUACGAAUUCGAGGUCGUAGUUGAGUACAUCCCAUCACCUGGUUGAUGUCCACUUCUUAUGCGAAUGCUGAGUGAUGGAAACUGGUAAUUGAGUGAUGAUUCUGCCUCCUCAUGGGCCCGCUUUUGUUUACAUGAAUUUGCAGACAUUUUGCCCUUUAAUCUUGGCGGCUACUGGCUAAGCUAGCUCCAGCAAUGACAGGAUCAAGUGGGAGCACCAACACAGCGUGUGCGGCCUGCAAGUAUCAGAGGAGAAAAUGUUCGGCAGAUUGUCCUCUCUCGCCUUACUUCCCCCCGGACCAACCCAAGCGCUUCGCCAACGUCCACAAACUCUUCGGCGUCAGCAACAUUCUGCGCAUCCUCAAACAUGUCGACCCUUCCAAGCGUGAGGACACAGUAAAAUCCAUUGCUUACGAGGCCGACACUCGAGAGAAGGACCCUGUACACGGGUGCCUGGGCGUCAUUACCGUGUUGCAAAACCAAGUGUCCAAAUUGAAGGAAGAGCUUAAUAUCGCUCGCGAGCAGCUUUUCUUGAUGGAGCAGCAGCAGCAGCAGGCAGUUGCUGCAGCUGGACAACUCCAUAGCUUUCAUGGACAACCCGGAUUGCCAAGCGGUUCUGCUUUCGAUGAUGACGAGUCGCAGUUUUUGAGACACCACAUCGGUUUUCAGGACGUGCACAGGUUCGACAGCAAAUUUGAUCAGAAGUUGAACAAUCUUCCCAUGGAUUACAGGUAGAAGUUUGUCUCAUGCCUCAAAUCUUAUCUACUUGCUAUUUUAUAUAGGAUGCCCCGGUCAUGAUUCCAAGUCAAUCUUCAUGUGCUCACCAGUCGACGUUGUAUCUGAUGUCUGGUAGAUACGGAGCGGAUGAUGCGUCGUCAAUGAUUUGCCAGAUGAAGGUCGACCAUGCAGAGCAGCUGCGGCGUGCGGGGAGCUACUUCGGAAUGGACCCUUCCUACGAUGAAAGCCCAGUGAGCCACCAUCAAAUGCACAUGCAGGCUGCGCUUGAACAGGACCCCUCCUACGCGCUUCGAAGCUCCCCAAACAACAGCCUCUCUGGAUUCGGAAUUGCGGCCGACGGCGACAUGAAAAGAGCGAACUACUUUAUAACAAGCGGACAAUGUCAGGUCUCCGAUCAUGACCUUCAGCGAGCCGGAGUGUAUUUGACCUUGACUAAUCAGCACUGUCGAGAUUAAACGUUCAAACAGAGACUGGCGAUCUAACUCCAGCGAAACAAGAAACUGACAAAAACAAAUGUGCCCGAUUCUCUUCAGGAGUGUUCUAAUUAGCAGAUGGAAAGUGAAAUUUAUUCUUCCAAUUGAACAGUUGGCGAAUUUGCAGUGUGAUGUUUGAUCACGACAUCUCGACCCAGAGAAGAGUGAAAGAUCUGGGUUGUGCUCAAUUCUCUUCAGUAUUCAACUAUUCAACUGGUGCACCAAAUAAUACGAAAUUUUGUUUCAACAAUGCGGGGGGAGACUCGUCCUCAGUAGCGUCCCUGUGGCCAGCAUCGACAGGAUCAGCGGAUGAACCUCGCGCAGGAGCAGGGGUUAGUUACUAUGGACGAGCUGUGACUCGAGAGUAGCUGCAAUCUUCAUUUUCACCCAAGAUUUCGUGGCACCAAGGUUCAAGUCUCAACCACGAUCUGCACCAACAAUAGAUAUUGGAGUACAUCAGGCGAGUUUCCUUUCAUUACAACAGGAAGAAAUCACGCGGGACACGUCGAGGUUGACAUUUGAACCUCCGCACGUUGUCUACAACUGGUCUCAGACACAUAUUUCCUGCGCAAAGAAAGUUUUCACAAUUUUUUUAGGGUACUGAACCGGGGUUGAUCAUCCCUUCCUUAAAUGACUUCAGAUUUAUUGCAGACACAGCGUAGGGAGUUCCAUUUCUAGCAGUUUUAGCAGUGUGCGAUAGUUAGUCAUUUGUGUGCUCACUACUGCAUCCCACAUAAAACAAAAGACCAAUUAAUUGAUGUACCCAUAGAAAUUGAUUCUUAAAUGUAAAACGUUUUCUUCAUUCGGAUGUUGAGCAUUUUUCUCCUACUUUACAUGAAUGCCGAUGUGACUACGUCGACCCACUUCCUUGGCACUCAUUCGACAUGUUAGUCUCCACCAGUCAGAGUAAAGCCGGUGUGGAUUCAAUUUGAGCUUCUCCACUGUUAACAGAAGCGGCAACUCUCACAGCACGAUUCUCUGCCGAGAAGACAAGUGCACAUUUGUCAAGAGAUGCCGUCAUGAGCCGGAUCCAAACUCCGCAAUGCCUUUAGAACAGUGUCACCGAAAACCUCGUGAACAUGUUAAUUUUGCUUUUAGAGGACCGAGGAAUGUCUUCGUACAACUUGAUUCACUGAUUUGUGUUUCAAUAAUUUUUUAAGAUUGAUGCAGGCUUCGGUUUACACGUUACUAUUCACGUUAUUGCUAAUAUCAUUAUUUUUAGUUAAUUCAAUAAAAACAUCUGUGUAUGACCUAGGUUAAGGUGCUUAGAUCAUCACUGUAUCUUGACUAGACAGGAAUUCACGAGUGACGUUAGAUACGAGAGUGCAUCCAGCGGGCUGCUCUCAGAAUCAUGACGAUUCUCACGUCGUAACUGGCAGAUUGAGCACAGACGUAUGGCCGAAGGUUCCUGAGCUAAGCAUGUCGAUGCUGCAAAAUUUGCAAAAACCCCGAAGACAGCCAUUCCAGUCUCUAAGGCGAGUGUGUUCGUUGGGGAAGCCCGAUCAGUAUAGUCGAGGUUUUACUCCACGAUUUGGAUACUUCCAGGUCUCGAGGUGCUUUGGAGAAAGGUGGAAGUAGUCACGAGAUUUGGGUGUUAGCGAAGGAUUGUUCCAUCUGGUUGUAAGGAGCCGAUGAAUUUCGCUAAUUUUGUGAUAAGUGUUGAGGGACAUGGGAUUACGUGUGGGUUUGAGGUGUUGUGAUAGUUUGUUGUUGCUUCUUGUGCAGAUUACCUUGCUCCAGGCGCUUUUCACCUUGCUCUCUCCUGAGACGUCCGCUUGCUUCGUUCUAUAGUAACUCAAUUUAAUUGCUGGGAUUAGGGUUCGUGGUCACAGUGAGCCCUUCAAUCGCAAUUCAUCACAAUUGGCAGGAAGUAAGCGGUCAGUUUGUGAGUCUUAGAUGCUUGAAUUUUCCUAAAUCGAGGGGAGUUCAUCAAUGCAAGUUCUUCAUGUCUUCAACUUUGAGCGUCGUUGCUGGCUGCUGAGUUUUCCCAAUCCCAAUUUCGGCUCUGUUCUCUGUCUUCGACGGUAUUCAUUUAAUUGUUGCGCGCCUGUGCGGGAUUUGUACUAGGGUAUUCUGUAGCUGGCGUGGGUAAUCAGAGUAGAAGUUUUGCGAUUCUCCGUAUAAGAAAUUGACGAGCCACCUAUUCAUCGAAUUGUUUGGCCAAUUAGGGUUUUGGGAUUUAUUCUUUCGUCUCCAGUUACUGUGCGAUAUGUGCCUUGAGUGGCUCUAUUGAGGAAUUUUUCAUUUUAUAGACUUGGAGUAUGGGGUUUACCGUCCUCAGAGUUUUCCUCCUCUCUGCCUCCAUCAGCCUCUUGCUGCUCCCAGGCUUUUCAGCGAAAUUCGAGCCUUCUUCGAACGAGACUGCAUACGAUGGAAGAUACUCCAAGUUUAAGAUUGUUGUGGAGGAAACAGAAGCAGAAAACAUUGUUCUCACAGGAAAUGCAAGUCCGGAUGCCUCAGUUAGUGGCGACGACGGAGACGGUGGAAAUGUUGCUGGGAUCAUGGUUACCCUCUCUGAAUCCGGAUUGACAUACGCGAAGGAAAUGCUCGUGAACCAACUACUUGAAGAGAUAACCCCCUUGAUGUUACCAGACAUCAAAACGCACACUGACUCUCCCUUAGGCCGCGUUGACAUGGAAAUAUCCCACAUCGAGCUCUCUGGGGCGAAUGUUUCAUAUUCGGAUGUUGAUCUUUGGAAGACGGGCAUUACUGUGUUCGCUGGGGAUAUUAACGCCCGGAUUCGCCUCCAUUGGUAUUUUAAAUUUAUGUCUAUGUUUGUGCCGUUUCCCCUUAGUGACCGCGGAUGGGCGGAUGUGGAGGUAACAGUCUGAGAACUUCCGCCCUGCUGUUGGUUUCUUCUAUUUUCUGACGUUAUUGUUCGUGUAUUUAAACCUUUUUUGAGGUUGUGUAGCUCUUGAAGUCUAAUGUUUCAAGCACAAUGUAAAUAUGCAGAUUCUAAAACUUUAAGAUCUUUACCAGUCCGAAGUGAACCACAAGGGUGCACUUCUUGAGCCUACAUGGCGAUGAUAGUAGUAUUUGGACUCUUAUGACCGAGCAAAAAGAAUUUUCGAAGCUUGUUUUAUGACUUAAGCUUAUCUGUUAGUGCUCAACUUUGAUCUGUAGUUGUAUUUGUGCAGGUAAAUAACAUGGUAGCGGGCGUGUCAUUUUUUCUUCAAGCACACAAUGGAACGGUGCGGUUAACAGUCGUUGAGUGUGGAACCGGCAUCGAUGAUCUUGAUAUUCAAUUGCAAGGAGGGGCAUCGUGGCUUUAUCAGUUGUAAGUGUUUGUUUCGAUAUUCUUCUUUGGAUAUUAUUGAGCUUCUCGAUUCUUUGGAUAUAUGAUGAUGUCGAAUGUGUUAUGAAACGUCAAGGGUGGCGCUACGCUGUGUUAUUGAAAGGAUCCAAGUAUGAGUGGCUCAUUCCUUUUUCUUAAGUGGUUGUAGCUGACUGGCUAGAAGCAUAGCUUCAGAAAGAUUUCAAACUAAGGGUUAAUUUUGGGACAGAUGCUUAACUCCAAUGAUAAUUGAUUAGCACUUUGUAGAUAAUGGUUCUCUACUAUCUUCAACAGGUUUGUGUAUGCCUUUGACGAGGAGAUUCGUGCAAUACUUGAAGCUGCAAUAACAAAGAGAAUUAUUGCAAGCAUAGCGCAGCUGGAUAAUAACCUCCAAUUACUCCCUCGCUACUUACCUAUAGACGAUGUCUCUGCUGUUGAUGUGACCAUUGUACAAGACCCGCUGGUGAGCCUUACGUUUCUCAGCGUGGGUGUGAGGGGAGAGUUUACCUCCCUGAGUAAACCCUCAAACUUCACAUUUCCUGAUCAUGGGUUGCCUCCUGGAUUGUUCUGUAAUGACUCCACAAAGAUGGUCACCAUUGCCCUCUGUGACUACGUCAUCAAUUCGGCAGCCGCUGUAUACUAUGAGGUGCAUGCUCUUCAAACCUAUUAGCUUCAAAGUUUACUGGGCUUCAUGCUCAUAUAACAGAGUUGACCUCUCUAAGUUUCUCAGGGCGACGUGUGCUUAUUGAGCCCUGCUUUCUUUAGUUAAGAGUUUCUCCAAUAAGUCACAGGUUGUUUAAAAAGUCAUCUACUUUUAGUUGUAUUACACUUGCUACUUUGUUUAAAUUCUUUUAACCUGCCAGUACCGAAUGAAACAGAUUGUGAAUCCUUGUGAUCGAAAUACCUGAUUACAAUUAAUAACUCCCAGAGUUUUUUUUACAGAAGUUGACGUUAGGUCCUUUUCUGUGUUUCAUAGGCUUUUAAUUUUGGUUGCAGAUGGAAGUAAUGUCCUAGUAUUUCUAUUAGAGUGCUGUUAUUAAAAGGAUAUGUUUCCUGUGCAGGCUGGAUAUCUGGAGUGGAUAGUAGACGAGCUACCACAGGAAUCAUGGUUAAACACUCACUUUUGGCGUUGGCUUAUACCCCAACUGUACAAGAAAUAUCCAAAUACGGACAUGGCAUUGGGCUUUGCCAGUUCUGCACCACCAACGGUUCAACUUAAGACUGAUGGCGUAACAGCGAAUGCCGUAGCUGAUUUGACCUUGUCGGUGAAAACCGAGGGGAAGUCACUCCCUGUAGCUUGCAUAUCUCUGGUAAGCUCUACCCCAAGAAUUAGACCGUGCUCUUGUUUUCCCUUGAGGUCUGCUUGUUCUUUAAUGUAAUUCGUUUUUGGUGAAACAUCAAAUAUCCAAUUUUCUGACCUGUUAAGUUGUUUUUGCCUCAGGCUCUGUCCAUGGAUGCGAUCUUCAAUGUUGUGGGUAAUAAUAUUACGGCUGAAGCAACUCUGAAUGAUUUGACCCUCGAGAUGAACUGGAGUGACAUUGGGAAUUUUCCUGUCAACCUCCUUCAGGUGAGUCUGGUUCUUACCUAUUACAGGCCAUGUCUGAAUUCACUGAACGUACAAUAGACACUCUCGGUAGUAUGGGUUUUGCAUGGUGGAAGGUGCUAAGCACUCAUCUGUCGCUUUAUUAUUUUACAUGAGUUGAUUAUUGCAUGUUUCCAAAGUUAGAGUCUAUCUCGAUGUGGGAGAGAAGUGAUAAUGUUUAACUAUGUGGGGGGUCCAGGACCAGGCCCUGGGCCUCCCUACUGUCAGGUUAUUUCAGGAAACAUGGUUCCGCCAUACUCCCCCACGUGUGCAUGACCUCAAACAGUAAUUGAAAUGUUGCAGUGUAGGAGUGAAAAAUUAUAACGGACUCUUGAAACGGUGACUAAACGCUUUGCUACGUACAAGGUAGAUAGGUGGACAAAGUACAAAAGCUAAAAGUCUUCUUGUUCGCUAAUUCACAAUGAUGAUGCGGACUCUGUGCAGCCCACACUGCGAACAGUCAUCUCAAGAGUGAUUCUCCCCAUCUUGAAUAGAAAGUUGGACCAUGGCUUCCCCUUGCCUGUUCUAUCAGCUGUUGACCUGGAAAAUGCCGACAUCCGUUACGAGGAGGGUUACAUCUUUAUAUGUAGCGAUGUGUACUACAAAUUUGGCUUCAUAAAGCCGCCGCGUCCGUCUACAGAAGCAGAAAUGUGAUUAUUUGAUGUCAUUAUUUCUCAACUGAUCUGACAGAUGCCAAGCUUACACAUGAUUGUCUGAUCCGAUUUGUAAGCUAGAGGGUUUGAAGGCUGUGGAUAUGUCUGUCCAAGAAAGAAACCUAUCAACAUACGAUAGAGAGUCAAAGUUACUACAGUAGUGUUCAAGGCUCACAUGGAUCACAUGAAUUUUGCGGCAGGAUCCAUAAGCUGAGCUUGGGCUUGUAGAUGUCUGAGCCCCUAGGGUGAUUUGGUUGUACAAGGUAAUGUAUCAUGAAUGAUCUUAAGUUUUACUUCAGGAAUACCAGAGUGUAGUUGUGUAAUCAUGUGAUAUUAUCUUACUUGGUUCCUUCUCAUGAGAGGGAUCCACCGUUUUCUAUUUCCAGUGCCGGAGCUGAGAAUGGUUGUUCUACUUGAGGUUAUUUGUACAUGUGGCGGUUUCUCCAUGAGAUUAUGAAGCCACAGCAAGGUAUUUACUUGAGGAUAGGGAAAUAGUCAAAGCAAAGAUUAACAUAGUUUUGAUUCUCUGGUGUUUUGGUUUUUCAGAGUGUAAUUUGUUUCCACAAUGCCCCUUCCACUGUAUCUCAUCCAGCACAUCCCAUUUAUGUUUGGGAGUUUAUAGAAUUUAAUAAGAAGUUUUGAAUAUGUGAUUUAGUUUAAUUUGAUGACCAUGUAAGCGCUUAAGUUAUUUGAACACUCUUCAAAUGAAUGAAUAUGCUCCAGAUGCCUGACAAGAUUUGGAAACUGAUGCAGAGGACAGAGUCGGGUACUUCUUUCAUACUGCCUAGGCCAGCAAUCCCAAAACCCAAGAGAAAGCUUUGAAGCAGUGCUAAUAUCUUUUCACCUGGUGGUAUGGUUGGAGAACCCAUUCUCAACACAUGGGUUGUCCUGCAUGGAAUGUCUUUUUGAUUUAUUGAUUUGUUUGACUUCUAGGGAUUUGAGCUUCAAGGCUGCUGGAAAGGGUGACAUACUGUAUGCCACAUACUUUUUGUUGAGUACUGAUGAACAGAAGAGGAGGGACAUAAGCAAUCUUUAUGGUUGACUGACAAUACUCUGACUCAGCAGAGUCACUGUACCACUGGUAAUCCCCUCAUGCUUUACUUGUGAACCAGGCUUGUGACUUGAUCAUAGCACUGAAGCUUAACAAAAUUCAUUUGUUAGUGUGAAGCCUUCGGCACAAGCUCCCACACGUAGCUUUUCCUUAUGGUGCAAAAAGUGAUGCCCACAAAACAAUCUCCAGGAGUUCAGUGUAAAUCCUGUCACUCACCUUAUCUGCAGGCCAGGUAGUGUAAGCUGGAUUGAGGUCUUGUAUGGUCCUUGUGAUAAUAUAAUCUUCAUUUUCAAUGCUGUGUAUGUCAGAUGCUUUAUGCUGAAUAUUGCCUGCCAUUAGUUACUUUUUCAUUUGUCAGCUUUCAAAACAAGAGUUUGGCCUUUGUGCCACAUUUUCCAAAUCAUGCAAAUGUAUAGCUUGAGCUAUUUACAGUUGCAAGGAUAAUGGAAUUAAGAGGUUGCAAGUGUUUGCCCAUUAAUUAAACAUAUUGUGAUUGAAGUGUUUUCCAUAAUUUAUUAUUAGAAAUUUAUAUCCGUUGAGUAAAGUUAAAAGCCCAAGUUUCUUAUGAAUGAAUCAAAUACUUUCUAUUUGACACUCAAUUGAAUAAGAAUAUUAUGACUUUAGGAUUGGAAAAUAAGUCACAAUCCUACAGAUAUGUUUGACUGUAUGAAACUACGUUGGAGACAAGACAGCUUACAAAUUAAACUGUACAAAAGUUUUUUUCGAUAGUUUAACAAAAUUAAAAAUUAGAAACUGUAAGAACUUGGAAGUUUCUAAGUCAUAAAGCAUAUAUUAAAAUGUAAUAAAAACUUCAACUUGAUACUGGUUGAAAAGUAUAGAAUACUAAUGUAAUUGAGAUACUGGUUAAAUAGACAUACAUUGCUAAUAAAUUUCAAAUAUAUAUAUAUAUGAAACCGCACCUUUAAAAACAAGUCACAUCUAGUCACAUUUUCCAAAGAUUCAUAAUUGGUACCCAGUUAAUUUACUUUCCAUACAUUAUUCUCUUUUAAUAAAAAUAUUUUUUAGAAAUUAAAAAAUGAAAAUAAAACUUUCAAACGUCCUCAAAAAACAAACAUGCAUGUUCUGAUCACAAACGAAAUAUGUUUAUGCCAUGGAUUGAAAUAAAAAUUCACCACUUCAAUCUUCAACUCAUAUACACAAUAAAUUAUUGUAUUUCCGAUUGCAAAACAUGUAAUUCUGCAGAUAUAUCAAACAGUUUAAGUUCGAAAUCAAACAAAUAGAUUUUCUAAAAACAACCGUAUUACAAAUUGUAUCAGGUAUGAAUGAAAUGGAAUUGAAAGCAUCAAGGACACUUUUCAACCUUCGGCAAGAACAAAGCACACAUUCAAAAAUCCAGGGGCCUUUAAACUACGUUUGAUGGAAAUGUGGAACUGGCCAGGGAGUCGAGAAUCUCGAGUAAGAGAAGUUGCCAAUCCAGAGAAAAGUUUGAUCGAUUCAGGUGAUUUCAUGUCAAUUCCCAGCUCAACCACAUUCUGAAGCCCCACAUCCUUCCAAACAAACGGACUGAAAGACUUACCGUUACACAAAGCUCUUGGAUAUGAGCUGAAAGAGAAACGAUACCCACAAGCUUUGCAUCCGACUCUGGUCCAGAUCCACGAGGUAUUGGCGAUCCAACUUCAUUCUUAGUCAGCACAAGCUACAGCUCCCAGCCAUUUUAGUGGCGCACGGUCAGUUGUAUCGAACUCACAUGAAGAAAACGACAAACAGAGCACAAUGGUGUAGUUGACAGCGUUGAAGUUUCCUAAAAAUUGAGACAACCAUGGAGAAUGAAGUCGCAGUAGAAAACUUGACGUCAAAUAAGAAUUUGGACGUUAACCGCAUGCAUUGUGGUAUGUUAACCGUAUGGCUCAAGUUGACAGCGAAGUUACGUAAACACUGGUUCAAUGCGACUUGAGACUUUAGCUUAGCUGGUGGGAUAAUCUCGUCCUCAAAAAAUAGUGACAGUAAAUUACAACUGCUAAUUCGUAGAGGGGUACUUUUAACACAAGCAGUCCCACAUUCAUGAUACCUAAAACAUACUGGACCAAAACCCUAAGUUGCAAAAGUUAUGAUCCAGAUGAGAACUCCAUCUGUCUAAUCAUCCGGCAGCACCGGGCCCUCGAGAACUUCCGCAAAAAUACAUCGUGCGCAUUGGCAAGCAUCAUUUCACGCACCUCACACACAAAACACGAGACGAACUGGCGUCUAACAACGAAAGAAAGAGUGGGAAAUAAACUACCCAAAAGGUUCCGCUACUGCCAAAAAAACAAUGAAAGCAACAGACGGAGCUCCGCAUCUCGAAGAAAGGCAACUCGAAACUACACUAGAUUCGAAGACCACACCCAUGAUCUGGUCCUUUUUUUCUUGCACUCCCCAAUCUUUCAUUUAAUUCCCAAUUUUCUCGCACAGGAUUCUCGUCGCAGGCAUGCUUGUGCAGAUGGUUUCCGUAAUUUAAAAUGACUCUCACCGCUCACCAAUGACCAAAACAACGAUGUGGGUCUUCGAGAAUCGCAAGCAGGGAAGGACCCAGUUGAUAGAAACGCACUGAUCCGAAUCGAGGGAUCGCGCAACCGCUGUUCCGAUCCCCCAAAGUCCACGCUUUUCACACGCUUGCUUGAGAGAAUGCGGGGCUAGAAUAGGGAGACGGGGCUCCGUUAUUCUUCUGUUCACACUGCGCGUCGAACUGUUGACUACUGCGGGGGAAUGCUUCCUAGAAAGUUACCUCAAAAGGUAUGUGUCUGGUUGGAGUAGCCUGAAAGACGUGGGUUAGUCACUCUAUUUAAUGAAUCACCUUUAAAACUAUUUUUAAAACUAUUUGUUUGUGUGUUAAGUGUGUUUUAAGACAACAUUUGAUGCUCUUGUGCUAGUUUCCAUCAUGUCAAAUAGAGAUUUUAUGGGUAAGAUUCAAUUUGUCUAUAUAUUUUUUGGUACAAUUCGUCUUUUUGUUUGUUUGUUUGUUGAUGUAUGUAUGUAUGUAUGUAUGUGUAUGUAUAUUAAAUUAAAUUAAUUAUUAUUAAUAUUUUUUUGUUGAGCCAUUGAGAAAAGAUUUUUGGAUAAGAAACUAGAGGAAAAAGAGUUGUUAAGAUUUGUACUUAGAAUUGGGGUCUAAGAAUUUGGAAAAAGUCUAUAUUUUUUUAUUUUGUUGCUCAUGAGUGCGGCCAAAUGGGAAGAUAGAUAUCUAAAGAAAAUAGCUCUAUGUUUAAAAAUUGAUGUGUGAAAAGUUAAGAGUCUAGUGGAUAGCAAUUUUUUGGAAUCAAAUUGAAGUUUUAACAACAUGAGCACCAUACCAAGUGCCUAAUCCUCUAUAAUAUAUAUCAAAUUGGCAAGACAAAAACAAAUGUGUAUAGAUAAUUCUUUAGCUCCUAACUACUCCCUACUUGUUGUUUUGGGGCACCUAGUUGUUAGUGGAAAAAAGAUAUGGGGUUGCAUUGACUAAGCCUUAUAAAGCAUGAUAUCUUAGGUAGAAUUUAUUGUCAAGGCAUACUCUAGUAGUAAUUUAAUAAAAACCUUUUCAUGGUAUCUUUUAAGAUUUUUACUAAUUCAAAAUUAUUUUGAAGUAAAAUAACAAAAAAAAAAAUGAUCAUUAUUAUUCUUAUAUUUUAGUUUACUUGUAAAGAUAAUCUAAUUGCAUAAAAAUUGUAUAAAGUAAUUUUAUUUUAACAAGAAGAAAGUUUUUAUUGUAAGACUAUUGCUAGUAAUUGAACUAUCUUUCUAUUCUAUUUUUUUGUUCUAUUUUUUUGGUUUCUAAUUAAAUAUGCUUGAAUGUAUGUAUGUAUGUAUAAAUGUAUGUGUGUGUUUAUAUAUAUAUAUAUAUAUAUAAUAUCUAUUAAAGAAGCAUAUCAUUGUAAUUAAGACAAAUUUAUGUCAUAAGAUAAUUUUAAAUUGUACAAAAAUAAAGGUUUUUUUUAUAAGGUAGUUUCAUGUGGUAAAAAAGUACAGAUUUUUAAUUGCAAAAUAGUUUCAUUUCACAAAAAUUAUUAAAUUUACAAAAUAUAUCAUUUCUGUAAUCUCUUUAAGGUAGUGCAACCAUGUUCCUAUGCCAAACAAAGCACAUGCUCUUUAAAGCUCUAUAACAAUGAUGCCUUUCAGAGUCCUCAUCUAGUCUAAAGACAUAUCAUUUUUGUCUUCAGAAAAUCCUAGUUUGGAUGAACAAUUUGUAUGAAUAUAUAUAUAUAUAUAUAUAUAUAUAUUCAUUUUUUUUUCUAAUGUCAAAUCAACUUGGCUCUAAAUUUCAUAAUUUUUUUAUUAAUAGAUCUAUUAAUUAAUUACUAAAAAAAUAGAAAAAAAAUAGUUUUGUUGUUUUAGAGAUGAUGAUAGAAUUUAAAUAUAGUCAAAUUUAAUUUUAGAAAAAAAAAUUUACUAGUGCACAAGUCCUAUAUAAGAAUUUUGGAUUGUUAUCAUUACAAUCCUUUGUAAUACUUAUUAAAAAAAAGAAAAUCUCUCUAAUUUACAAACAAUUUUUUCUUUCAAAAGCCUUUUAAUUUAUAGUAUAAUAAAUAUUAAAUUAAGCAUUUCAUUCAUGAAUCAAGUCUAUACAUACUACAAUACAUGAUAUAGAUAAUUUGUUCUAAAUUUUAGACAACAAUAUCUCUCUUCAAAAUACCUUGAACAAAAUUUUGAAAAGCAAAAAAUAAUAUGUGGUUUUAAAAUGUAAAAUAUAUAUUAAAAUAAAAAAUCUGAGAGAAGAGAUUCUAAUGUUAUAUCUAUAUGUAAUUUAGCCAAAUUUAUGUAACAAAUCUAUAUAGUUUUUUGAUACCUAAUUUUUUAUUAUUUAUAAAAUAAUAUUGCAAAAGAUGAAAAAAACUUGGUAUGUGCAAUAAAAUUGAGCUUGAUUAACUUGUUAUUUUUUAUUAUUCGUAUAAAUUUAGUUAAUUUAUACUUAAUUUAUUUUUAAAAAUACUUUUUUGUCUAUAUUUUUAUUUAUCUAUCCAAAUAUCUAUACAUCUAUUGAUAUAUUCAUGGAUCUAUUCAAAUUGCAUUGCACAUUAUUAUACCUUUAUAAUUUAUUUUAAUAUGUUGCUUUCAAACCAAAUGAACAAUCUUUUAGCUAUAUGUGUGUAUAUAUAUAUAUAUAUAUAUAUAUAUAUAUAUAUUAUAAAAUUAGAGCACUAAAAUAAGUUUUUGAUAAAUACAAUAAAAUCUAAAUAUAUAUAAUGUCACUAAAGAUUUGUAGCUUUCAACAAUAGCUUUUAAUACAAGAUAUAAAUUGCAUAGCUUUCAACACUUUUACAUCAAACUUGUAAUUUUAUUACAUCUUUAAUUUAUUUUUAUUUGAUUUUUUUUCUUACAACAACCAAUAUAUUAUCAAUAUAAAAUGUAAGAAUAAACUGGUUGUAAUUUAUACAAUAGUCAAAGUCACUACAAGUUUAUUCUUAGUUAAAUGUAAAAGCAUAAAAUAUCUUAAGCUAUUGCUGACUAAAAGUUUUGUAGAUGAUUAAAAUGUAUACAACAAUCAAAGUCACCAUAAGUAUAUUCUUAGUUUAUUAUAAAAAUACAUAAUCACUCAUACCAUUGUCUAAAACUUUGUUUCAAUUCAUACAAUAAUAUUCUCAAUCUAUAUAUAAGGUUCUCUUUUAUAAGUCUUUUAAAGCCUUCGACAUAAUGUCCAUAGGUUAUUUUGUAAAAAUAUCUACAUAAAUUAGUAGUGUUUUUAGCUGGUUUCAUGAGUUUUAAAUUAUAUUGUGCUAAUUUUUCCAUUUAUAUAAAAAUAAAAAUAAUCUUAAUUACGAGAGAGAAUUUUAUUAAAACCAAUACCUUCUUUCUAAGCACAAUCUUUUACUACCAAUUUAGUCUUAUAUUUUGUUCCACCUAUUUUAAAAAGCCAUUCUUUUUUAUAAAAAUUUAUUAUAAUAAUUUUUGGAACUUUUUUCAAAAAACAAAUCUUUUAUUUUAUACAAAGAAUUAUCAGUUUCUUAAAAAUAAAUACUCUCUUCUCCUACCUAAUCUUUAAAAUUUUAUCUUUCUAUUAGUUGACUAUUAAAAGAAUAAAAUAUAAUACCAACAAUUUAUAGAUUCUUUUUUAUAUGAGAAUUGUUUUACCUUUAAGUGCUACUACACAAAGUUGUUGAUUAAUUAAAAAAAAGUUGAUUUUAAAUUUUUCAUUUAAAUUUUUUGUUACCAUUGUCUCACCUCAAUUGCACUUUGAUACCAAUUAAUAAAAAAUAAAAAAUAAAAAAAUCAUCACAUAACGAAGUUGUUAAAAUAUGAUCUAUACAUUGAAACAAUCUCAAAUCUAUUAAACUAACCUCUAGAACUGCCGAAAAUUCCCAAAGAUUGUUUGAAGAAUGUUUCAGAUAUCCAAAAAUUAGGGCAAUAACCAUAUUAAGAAACAUUGCUCAAACAUCAAAGGCACGUUCAAUAAAUAACAAGCAGCCCAAUAUUUUAUACAUACAUUACUUAAACAUAAUACCAGGAAUUCCUAUAACAAAAUAUGAAAAAAUUGAUAUUUUUUAAUAAAUUUAUUUAGAAAAUUAAAAUUAUUUUAUUUGACUUUCACCACCUGAAUAUAACUAACUGUUUUGAAUUAGAAAUUUCUUUAAAAUAAAAAAUAAAUAUAUUAUAGUAGCAUGUGCUAUAAGUAUUUAAUAUAUUGAACUUUUUUCUUAUUAUCUAAUAUAUAUAUAUAUAUAUAUAUAUAUAUAUUACACAUAUUAUUUUAUUUAUCUUAUUAUUUUUGAGUGUACUUAUUGUUUUGUUUGAUUUAGAAGAAGAUUUUAAGAUUAUUUCUUAUUUUUAUAAUUUUUGAUAAUCAUAUUUUAUAUUAUUAUAAUUAAAAUAUAGAUUUUAUUUAGUAAUAAAUAAAUAAAUAUUUUGAAUAAUGUUUUUUAAUAAAAUUAACUGGAUUUUUGACUUGAUACAUAUUAAGUUAAAAAAAUUAUAAAAAUACUACAAUAAUAUUUUAUUAUAUUUAUUGUUUUGAUGCUUUUAUCGAAUAAAUUAUAGUUUAGACACCUUUCUUACAUUAUAAUUAUUUUAUAAAUUAUUAUUUUUGAUAACAUGUUUUUAUAUAUUUCUUUCAAUUUUCAAAAAGAAAAAAAAGAAAAAUCUAUUCAAAUUUUUAAAUUAGUUCUUUAAUUUGGAUAUAAUAUCUUUGUUAUAAAUAAUAUAUUCUUAAAAAUUAAUUCUAAAAAAAAUAAUUUUUUUUAUUUGUAUGUGUUUUCUUUCUCUUUUUCUUUUUAUCAUUUUUUAAGCAAUAUUCUUAAUUGGUUCUUAAAUUCAAGUCUUAAUAGUUUUUUUUGAAUAAUUAUAUUCUUUAAAAAUUCAUAAUAUAAUAUAUAUAUAUAUAUAUAUAUAUAUAUAUAUAUAUUUCAAAAGCCAUUAUAUUUUUUAGUAUUUUAUAUAAUUAAUAGAUAUUCUAAUUAGUUUUUUUUUGUCACUAUAGCUAUUAUAAAUUACCAAAUUUUAUUAGUUGCUUGGAUUUGAUGAUUUCUUUUCAAAUUAUUAUAAUAUUUAGUAGAAUUUAUUUUAAUUAGAUUUUCAAUUUUUAGGAAUUUUUAAUAUUUUUUUUAUUGACGCAAGAUAUUAUUUAUUUGCAAAAACCAUUAGAAAUGUUUUAGAAAUAUUUGAAGAUUUUAUAGAAUUCUUAUACUAAUUGGAUGUUUCUUUAAUAAUAUGAUUAAGUCAAAAUUUCAAACAUGGUAAUCUAAUGCAUUAGUUCUGUGUGGUUGCAGCACCUAUUGGUGUAAGUCCAAGGCCUUGAAGCCCUUUUAGAUCACUCCAUAUAAAUGUCAUGAAAAUAAGCAAAACUCAAAAUAUUUACUAAAUAUGAAUUUGUAUUUGAUGAAAAAAGAUAUAUAUGAAAGUAUUUUAUUGUUUUAUAAUUAUUUUAUAUUAGUAUCAAUUGAAAUAUUUUUAAUGUCUUUUAAAAUUUUAUUAAGAUUUAAUAUUUUGUUUUUAACUAUAAAUUUUAUUUUGAAAUUUAUUCAAUAUACAAAAGAUUAAAAACAACAAAUAAUUUUUUAUUCUAGAUUUUUGUUUUACUUUUUGCAACUUAACACACUUAAAAGAUAAUUCCAACUUUAAAUCAAUUUUUUUAAUUUUGAUUUAUAACCAAUUACAUCUAUUAUACAAAGCAUCUUAGAAAGAUCUUAAGAAUUAAUGUACGUUUCAUGAAGCUCAAAGAAGUAACUUCUAAAAGCAUUAGAGUACUUGAGAAGAUUUGGAUAGUUAUAGAAGUUUAAAAAUAAUCUAAAAGGUUUGUAGAAAUUCAAAGAUUUUUUAUAAAUUUACUAAUAAUUAAAUUUUUGUAGAGAUUUCUAAUAUUGAUUUCUAUUAUUUCAAGAACUUCAUGUCAAAAAUAUAUGUAUUUAUUCCAAUAAUUACCUAUAUGAAAAAGUAGAAGUAAAUAAAUGUAGAUUAAUUUUAUAAUAGUUUUUAGAAAAUCUUCCUAAAAGCUUCAUAGACAUAGUUUUAAUUUUACACGUAUUUAUUGUUGAUUGGUAGGUUAGAAACUUAAUCAAUAAAUUAAACACAUAACACACGUGUUAGUAGCUUGUGGAACUAGCUAAUUAUGUUGCAUACAAAUAGGAAACUUACCUUAUAAGUUAAAAUAUGUAUCUAGCAAAGUCAACACGUGUUAACUCUCUUAUAGAAUAUCACAACAUAGCUCCUAAUUAGAUAGUAUAUAUUGAGGCAAGAGUGAAGCCUUCUUAACUCUUGUCAAUGCAUUUCUAGUCCUUAGUCUUGUUUCAAGCCUUUCUAGUCUUUUUGUCUUUGGCAAUAGCCAUUCUAGUUUAUUACUAUAUCAUCUUUUAGUGAUUUUCUAGUAUUUUUGAGUGACACAAGAGUGUAUUGAUCUUUUAGUUCUUUGAGGUUUAUGUCUUUGAAACUAUGAAUAUUAACUAAAUAUCUAAAAACUUUUAAAAGCAUAAAAGAUAAUUCAAAAAAUAUAUGAAAUUAUAUAUUUUAUAAAAUAUAUAUAAUAAAUUGUGAUUUUUAAAAUUCACAAUAUGCUUAUUUAUAAUAGAAUUUAUAUGAUUUUAAAAUAUUUUAUUUUAUUUAUUAACAUCUUUUUGAUAAUUAAUAUAUAUUUUUUAAUUAUUAUUAUUUUUUUUAAAAAAUAAAUCCUCUACUUUUAUUUCUUUCAAUUCAAAAGUCACUUUGUACUUAAUCUUUAAUAUAAUAGUCUUAUCAUGACUAUUAAUUAUUACUAAAAUUUUACAAAUUUUUAUUAAAAAUUAUAUAAAAAAUAUAUAAAAUUCCUAAGAAAUUUAUCUUUUAUUCUCCUACACAAAACAAUCUUCACUCAAUUAGGGCCCAAUUAUUCUAAACUAUGUAAAUUCAUAAGUUUUGUCUUGACAAAACCAUGGUCUUAAAACUCUAAUGUCAAUGUCACUUAUUGUGUUGUAUUAAUAUGCUUAAAUUAUAUACAUACAUACAUAUAUAUAUAUAUAUAUAUAUUUUUUAAUAUUUUGUAUCACUAAAUUUUAUUUUUGAUUCUCUCUUAUUAUAAAAUAUGUAGUAUUUUUAAUUUUUCUUGCUACAAACAUUCUAUUCUUGCUAUUCUUUUGCUUUAGUUUGAUUUUGAUUUGUACCUUUGCACCAUUGAUUUUUUACUUUUUUCCAUUCUAAUUAAACUAUUUUUUAAGCAGUUUUAAUCUUUUAUUUUAUUUUUGUAAAUGUUUUCUUUUGUAUUAUUCUCCAACUUUAUUCUUUUUUAUUUCUUCAAUCCUUUUUUUUUUGUUCUUAUUAAUAUUUUUUAUUUUUUUAUUUUUUCAAUAUUUGUUUAAUAUAAUUUUUAUUGAUUUUUUUAGAUUAUUUUUUUUGCAAUAAAUUACCAAGAUAUAGAUUAAUAUAAAAUAAUAUCAAUUAUUUUGAAGAUCGACUAAUAAAUAUUCUAAUUUUUCAAAUGAUUACUUUUUUAUUUUAUUUUAUUAGAUUUAUAUUUUUACAAUUAAUUAUUAAAAUUAAGCAAUAGGCAAAUCUACUAUACAAUAUAUAUGUUUGGAAGUUAAAACACAAGACAUAAGUACUACUAUCUUAACCUGAAUUUUGACUACGUAAGUAAGUUAACUUUUGAUUUAUUUUCUACUACAUCUUUAUGGAUAUUUUUCUAUUAAAAAAAUUAAUAUUCAAUAGUCCAAAAAUAAUUUAAUAUUUUUAGUAGUAUCUAUGUUUGGUUAUAUAUAUAUAUAUAUAUAUAUUUUUGUGCUUUGUAGUACAAUAACAAAUUUUAUUUUUUGCCAAACAAAUAACACUUUCUCCUAAAGAAUGUAAUUAAGUUUCAUCAUGCACCAAAUCAAAUUCACUACUUAGUCUAACUAAUUAUAUUUCAUUUUUAUCUACUCUUUUAUUAGUCAUAUAAAAUAUUUUUAUAUAUUGGAAAUUAGAUUUUUAGCUUAUAGGUCUACUAACUAUCAUAAUUACAUAUUUUUUAAUGAAUCAUUAUUAUCUAAAUUUAUAAUAAAAUAAAUAUAAAUAAAUAUCAUAAUAUUUUUUUCUUCUAUAAUAUUCUAAAUAGAAUAUAAAGAAACAAAAAAACAAAAAAGAUUAGAUAGCAAUUUAUUAACUUUAAAAAUUUUCAAUACUUCUUCUGAAUAUUUUUUUAUGUAUUUUUUGAAAAAAAAUAUUAUAAACAAGAUACUUGGUGUAAUAUAAAAUAUUAUGUUAUUAAGAGUAUCUAUUGCACUUGCAUAUAAAAUAAGUAGACAAUGUAUUAUUUUUUCCUUUAUUCUAUCUAAUAUUUCUAAGACCAAUAUAAAAUAAAAUAGUAAAAUAAUAUUGAUUGAAGAUUUUUUAUACCAAAAUGAAUCAUUUAUUUUUUAAUGUAAUUAGUAUAUAAUAGCUAAAAUCUACAUUUCCUACAAUAUCUGUAGACAUUAAUACUUAUAACUAUCUUAGUAGAUCUUAAAAAAAUUAUGCUAUAUUAUUUGCUUCCAUUGUUUUAAUCUAUUAAAAUUAAAUUUUGUUUAAAUUUGCAUAUUAUCAACAACCAGUAAAAAUAUAACAUAUAUAUAUAUAUAUAUAUAUAUAUAUAUAUAUUUAUUUAUUUAUCUUUUUUACUUCUCCAAUAUAUGUUUAGAAGUAAAAUUUAUAUUUAGUCUAUUCUUACUUUGUUAGAAAGAAAUAUAAUUACUUAAAUUAUUGCUUUGGAUUUUGCUUCAAUCCAUACAAUGACUUUUUUAACUUUUGAGUUCUUUAGCCUAAUAUAUGUAAAUCUCUUCUUUUAUCUUUCUAUGCAAAUAAAGAAUAAUAAGAUCUUAUUACUCUAAUUCCAAGAAAAGAUUUGUUUACAAUUGCUAAUAAUAUACAAUUGGAAUUUAUCUUUACUAUGCAAGGAGAUUUCAACAAAAUGGAAAUAAAAAUUUAUUUUUAGCUUUUAUACUAAUGUUUUUAAGUUUAAUAAGAAUGUCAUUAAAGAUGUUGAAAAUGUCUAAUACAUUACUGUUAUAUUUUAAUGCUAAAUACAUAUAUUUUAAUUUUAAAUAUAUUCAAUUAUCAAUCAUUUUUUAUCUAAAGAAUUCAUUUUUAUAUUCGUAAAAUUUUUAACCCUUACUUAUACUAUUAUAUAUAACUUCAUGUAAAAGACUCAAUUAAAUUAUGUUAACUUACUUAAAAUUUGUUUGUUGGUUGAUUUGUUUGUAUUUGUUUUUGUUUUUUUGUGUUUUUGUUUUUGUUUUUGUUUUUUUUUUCCACUCUUGUAUACAUGAUUUUUUAAAAUAAUUUGUAAAAUAUUUGUUAUAAAAUUAGGUUUUUUAAAUUUUAAUUAAUAAAAUACAAUAUUUUUUUGUCAAAAAAAUUAACUUCAAUUUUUUUUUUAAUUGAAAUCAUUACGACUAUUAUAUUACCUCAACCAUGUUUUUAUAUCAAUUUUUAAGCAAUCAUAUAAAUUUUUUCAUACACUUAGAGAAAUUCAUACAUAAUAAUGUUAAUUCAUCAAAUCUUUUCAAAAAUAUGUCUAGUUUUAAUUUUUUUCAACUUAUCCAUUCAAACUACUUUAGUAUUUAAAGAAAACAUAUAUGAAAUUCCAAUCCCUUAUAAUAUAAUAUGUAUAUCAUGCUAUUUAUUUUUUUUUUCUUCUUAAACCUCCACAAGAGUCUUUAUAAACAUCAAAUAAGUUAUUUUUACUAUAUUUGUAUUCGAUAAAAAAAAAUAAGAUAUAAAAAAAUACUUUCUCCUUAGUAGUUUUUUCUACUCUUUGAUUCUUGUGUGAUAUACUUCUAAUCAAUUUUAAUAUUCUAAUUUUUUCAAUUCAAAAAAAAUAAAAUAAAAUAAAAUAAAAUUUGCAAUACCUUAAAGAAUUAAUGCUAAAACUUGAUCUUUCUAAAAUAAAAAUAAAAAUGAAAAAAUCAUAUCAACAUUGUAACAUCAGUAUAAAGAAUAUUUUUUAGGUAUUACAAUUCAAUAUUAAUCUUUAUUAUCAAUAAUAUAAUAAAAUUAUGUAAACCUUAUUGAUGUGAUUAAAAUCACCAGAUUGGGUCUUGUGGCUUAACCUUAUUUUUUAAUAUUAGAUCUUGAUGUUAUGUUUUUUUUGUAGGUUGUAUUAAUCACUUAUAUCUAUUUGACUUUGUUUAACCACACACUUGAUACUCUUGUUGCUGUAUAUUUUUCAUUGAUUAUUUUUUUGGAUCUUUUGUAAUUCUUAGUAGUUUCUUAACAAAUUUUUACUUUUACUUUUUAUUUCAUUUUAUUAAAUUUCUUAUUUUUUUUAUAAAUAAAGUUAAUCAUCUAAUAAAAUUUUGUUCUAUGUUUUAUUGCCAUGUCUUUUCUUAGAUUACACUUUAAUAAAAAUCUUGUAAUAUUUCUUGAUUGUAGUUACAUUAUACCAUAUUUCUUCCAUUGAUAUCAUAUAUUAGCUUGUAAAACUAUUUAAUGAUUUGGUGAGUACUAAUUUGAUAAAUCAAAGACAUCUUAUUCAUACUUGAUAUUUGUGAUAUGCAAACAUCUCAUUGAAAACCAAUUUAACAUUUAACAAUUAAAUAUUGAUCCAAUCAUAUCUCUUAUCUUAUUUUUUAAAAAUAUAAUUUUUAAUGAAUUAAAUAGGUUUAUAUCUACAUCUAUUCCAUAAAUCAAAGUUUUAUCAGAUAAAUACUUAAUUUUUUCAUUUAUUACAAGUAAAUCUAAUAACAAACAUUCUUAUUGAAUUUAUAAAAAAAAUUAUGAAAUAAAAAAUGGAUAUAUUUGUAUAGAAUAUGAAAAUUUAAAAUAUAUUUUUUUGAAAUAUAGAGUAGAUAUUUCAAAAAUAUAACCAAUCUUUUAUAGUCUAAAUUUUAUUUGAUAAUUAUUGUAUUUGUUUGUUUGAUGUGUGUUUGUUUUUAUAUACGUAUUUUUAUUAUAUAUUCUCAAUAGAUAUAUAAAUUAUAGAUAUUUUCUUUUAUAUUACAAUUAAACUUUGAACGUAUUUUGUCUUAAAAGUAUAUUUUUAUUAAUAUUAAUUAAGAUAAAAAAUAGUUAUAUUAUUUUUUUAUAGAUUAAUACUACUAUUUUUAAUAGGAAAUUUAUUAAGAUUAAUUUAUUCAAAUGUUUGAUUAGAGUUUAAAAACUUAACAAAGUUAAUAUUCAAAAUUAUAUUUGUAUUAUUUAAUUUAUGAUCUAUGAAUAAAUUAUAUGUUUUAAAAUUUUUAUUUUCAUGAUUAAAUUAAAUUUUUGAUCUAAAAUAAGAUUAAAAUUAUAAACUUCAAUAUUGUGCAAAAUCUCUUUAAUUUUGUGAAUUUGAUUGAUAUUAACAAAAUUUUAUUGUUUUUUUCUAAAUAAUAUUCUAAUAUAUACAUAUAUAUAUAUAUAUAAAAUUUAGAUUAUUAAGACUCAAUUAUAUACAUAUAUACAUACAUACAUACAUAUAUACAUACAUACAUAUAUAUAUAUACAUAUAUACAUAUAUAUAUAUAUACAUAUGUAAGUACACACACACACACACAUAUAUAUAUAUAUAUAUAUAUAUUUAUAUAUAUUUAAAAUAAUUAAAUAAUUUCUUAAAUGAAAAAUUAGUUUAAAACAAUCAUAUGAUUGAUACCUUAUAUCUUUCAAGAAUAUUAGAAUAAAAAUUAUGUAAUUUUUUAAAUUUACUAUUCAUAGCUAUUAAUAUAUAUAUAUAUAUAUAUAUAUAUAUAUAUAUAUUUUCUUUUUUUCUUUUUUUCUUUUUUUCUUUUUUUUGAAAUUAUAUAAUAAAAGUAUAAAAUGUUUGUGACAUGUUUGAAUCACAUAAAAGUAUACUAGUCUCAAAGAUAUACUUAAUAAAUUCUGGGAAUUUUUGGGUAGAUGCCUCUCUUUUAGUGCACGAACACCCCCUCAUGCAACACACGCCUACAUACACAUUGUAGAACUCUUCUGUAUACUAAAACAUUUAGGAUAAAUUUCUUAUAAAAAAAUCUCUAAAAAAUAAUUAAUAAUUUGUUAAUAGUAAAUGAAGAAAUUACAUAAAAUAUAUAAUAAAAAUUUGAUAUCAAAUUAACAAAUAAUUUUUUUAAGAAUUCAUUUUCUUUCAAAACUUAUUAUGAUUCUAUAAUUAAACAAUUACUAACUUGUGAGAUGCUUACAACCUUCAUAAAACAUUGUUUUUUUGCAAAUAUUUAAAAUAAUACAAAUGUUAUAGGUUGUAUAAUUUUAUAAUCUAAAAUCCUUGUAAUUGAAAUAUCACUUGAUUCACCAGAUAUUUUAUUUUUAUAUUAAUUGAACAUCAAAUGUUUUUACUAAAAAAAUUUAUCACAAAAAGACAUUUAACAAUUUGAUUACAUAACAUACUUAUUAUUUUUAUUUAAAUUAUUUUAAUAAUUUAUUUAAUAUAGAAAUUCUUACUUUAAUUUUUUUUUACUCAUCCAAAUAUAUUUAUUUCAUUUAUGGUUAUAAUAAUUAUGUGUUUCUCAGUAGGAUAAAUUAGAGUUCUUAAUGUAAUUUUAUUACGGAAAUUUUUAUAAAAAAAUAAUUAUUUAAAAAAUAGUAAGUAUUAUUUGUAAGAGACAUUGUAUGUUAGUUAGAUUUGAAUUCUACUUAAAGUUUCGUCUAAUAAAGUCAGCUAAUAAAGAUACAAGCUGAAAGUUCUUCAAACAAGGAUAUUUAUAUACUACUUAUAAAAUUAUCAUAUGUAGUAGCAACAAAGACAACGCAUUUUGGUUUUUUUGUAUUAUUAUUAUUAUUAAUAAUUUUAUUAUUUUAUCAGUUCUAUAACAUAAAAAUAAAAUUAAGAACUUAUUUUAACAAUUUUAUAAAAAAAUAUCCAAGAUAUAUAAUUUAAAAAUUUAUCAACAUAAAAAAAUUGAUUAGGUGGUUUUUAACUUCAUUUGUAUGAAAUACAUAUAUAUAUAUAUAUGUAUACUAAUUUUAGUAUUAAAAUUUUAUUUUUAGCUUAAUUUUGAAUCUAAAUAACUCUCAAGUUUUGAUUAAAAUAAUCAUUAGGUUUAAAAUAGAUGUAUGUCAUAAAUUAAUUUUAAUUUAUUGCAUCAUGUUAGUUGUUAUUAAUUUUUUUAACGAACUCAUAAUUUUUUUGUAUUUAAAAAUAAUACAAUGCUUAAGUUUCUAGAAUGUCUAUUUAGAGACAUGUUGCUUGUAUAUUGAUUAAUAUGCUACUAUUUUUUAAGUUGUCACAGAAGGUUUAAGAAAAAAAAAUUAAAAAAAUAAAUAAAUCAAUAUCUAUAUCUAUAUAGAUUACCUGGGAUAUAUCUAUAUAUUUAUAUAUAUAUUUAUAAUUUUUUUUCUUGUAGAUAAUUCUUGCAACUUUCUAAUGAUUUCAGCACAAAGGAGAAGAAAUUUUAUUUGGAUCGUUUUUAUAUUUUUUAACUCAAUGAAAUAUUAUAGUCGUUUCAAUAAUUAAAGGCUCCUGAGAUCUAAUGUAGAAGAUACAUCAAAUCUCUAUUUUUUUUCUACAUUAACUCUUAUCAUUAAGCUGAUUACAAUUUCACAAAGUAUAGCAUAUGUUAUUGAGGUCCUUAACAAUAAAAAUGGUAAAUUAUUGAAUAUAUAAUAAGUAAAAGAUUGCUUGUAAAAUAAAUGAAAAAAUCAGUUGUAUAUAUAGAAUUUAAAACGUCAAAUAAAUAUAUAUUGAACAUGGUGAUUUAUAAAUGAUCUUAUAUAGAAAAAUUAGCGAUUUUGUAUCUCAUCUUUAGAACCUUCACCUAUCUUAGUAUUUACUUUGAAAAAAAAAAAAAAAAAAAAAAAAAAAAAAAAAACCAAAAUUAAAUUGUCUAAUAUGGGUUUUAUAAUUCUUUAAAAAAUUUAAUUUAGUNNNNNNNNNNNNNNNNNNNNNNNNNNNNNNNNNNNNNNNNNNNNNNNNNNNNNNNNNNNNNNNNNNNNNNNNNNNNNNNNNNNNNNNNNNNNNNNNNNNNNNNNNNNNNNNNNNNNNNNNNNNNNNNNNNNNNNNNNNNNNNNNNNNNNNNNNNNNNNNNNNNNNNNNNNNNNNNNNNNNNNNNNNNNNNNNNNNNNNNNNNNNNNNNNNNNNNNNNNNNNNNNNNNNNNNNNNNNNNNNNNNNNNNNNNNNNNNNNNNNNNNNNNNNNNNNNNNNNNNNNNNNNNNNNNNNNNNNNNNNNNNNNNNNNNNNNNNNNNNNNNNNNNNNNNNNNNNNNNNNNNNNNNNNNNNNNNNNNNNNNNNNNNNNNNNNNNNNNNNNNNNNNNNNNNNNNNNNNNNNNNNNNNNNNNNNNNNNNNNNNNNNNNNNNNNNNNNNNNNNNNNNNNNNNNNNNNNNNNNNNNNNNNNNNNNNNNNNNNNNNNNNNNNNNNNNNNNNNNNNNNNNNNNNNNNNNNNNNNNNNNNNNNNNNNNNNNNNNNNNNNNNNNNNNNNNNNNNNNNNNNNNNNNNNNNNNNNNNNNNNNNNNNNNNNNNNNNNNNNNNNNNNNNNNNNNNNNNNNNNNNNNNNNNNNNNNNNNNNNNNNNNNNNNNNNNNNNNNNNNNNNNNNNNNNNNNNNNNNNNNNNNNNNNNNNNNNNNNNNNNNNNNNNNNNNNNNNNNNNNNNNNNNNNNNNNNNNNNNNNNNNNNNNNNNNNNNNNNNNNNNNNNNNNNNNNNNNNNNNNNNNNNNNNNNNNNNNNNNNNNNNNNNNNNNNNNNNNNNNNNNNNNNNNNNNNNNNNNNNNNNNNNNNNNNNNNNNNNNNNNNNNNNNNNNNNNNNNNNNNNNNNNNNNNNNNNNNNNNNNNNNNNNNNNNNNNNNNNNNNNNNNNNNNNNNNNNNNNNNNNNNNNNNNNNNNNNNNNNNNNNNNNNNNNNNNNNNNNNNNNNNNNNNNNNNNNNNNNNNNNNNNNNNNNNNNNNNNNNNNNNNNNNNNNNNNNNNNNNNNNNNNNNNNNNNNNNNNNNNNNNNNNNNNNNNNNNNNNNNNNNNNNNNNNNNNNNNNNNNNNNNNNNNNNNNNNNNNNNNNNNNNNNNNNNNNNNNNNNNNNNNNNNNNNNNNNNNNNNNNNNNNNNNNNNNNNNNNNNNNNNNNNNNNNNNNNNNNNNNNNNNNNNNNNNNNNNNNNNNNNNNNNNNNNNNNNNNNNNNNNNNNNNNNNNNNNNNNNNNNNNNNNNNNNNNNNNNNNNNNNNNNNNNNNNNNNNNNNNNNNNNNNNNNNNNNNNNNNNNNNNNNNNNNNNNNNNNNNNNNNNNNNNNNNNNNNNNNNNNNNNNNNNNNNNNNNNNNNNNNNNNNNNNNNNNNNNNNNNNNNNNNNNNNNNNNNNNNNNNNNNNNNNNNNNNNNNNNNNNNNNNNNNNNNNNNNNNNNNNNNNNNNNNNNNNNNNNNNNNNNNNNNNNNNNNNNNNNNNNNNNNNNNNNNNNNNNNNNNNNNNNNNNNNNNNNNNNNNNNNNNNNNNNNNNNNNNNNNNNNNNNNNNNNNNNNNNNNNNNNNNNNNNNNNNNNNNNNNNNNNNNNNNNNNNNNNNNNNNNNNNNNNNNNNNNNNNNNNNNNNNNNNNNNNNNNNNNNNNNNNNNNNNNNNNNNNNNNNNNNNNNNNNNNNNNNNNNNNNNNNNNNNNNNNNNNNNNNNNNNNNNNNNNNNNNNNNNNNNNNNNNNNNNNNNNNNNNNNNNNNNNNNNNNNNNNNNNNNNNNNNNNNNNNNNNNNNNNNNNNNNNNNNNNNNNNNNNNNNNNNNNNNNNNNNNNNNNNNNNNNNNNNNNNNNNNNNNNNNNNNNNNNNNNNNNNNNNNNNNNNNNNNNNNNNNNNNNNNNNNNNNNNNNNNNNNNNNNNNNNNNNNNNNNNNNNNNNNNNNNNNNNNNNNNNNNNNNNNNNNNNNNNNNNNNNNNNNNNNNNNNNNNNNNNNNNNNNNNNNNNNNNNNNNNNNNNNNNNNNNNNNNNNNNNNNNNNNNNNNNNNNNNNNNNNNNNNNNNNNNNNNNNNNNNNNNNNNNNNNNNNNNNNNNNNNNNNNNNNNNNNNNNNNNNNNNNNNNNNNNNNNNNNNNNNNNNNNNNNNNNNNNNNNNNNNNNNNNNNNNNNNNNNNNNNNNNNNNNNNNNNNNNNNNNNNNNNNNNNNNNNNNNNNNNNNNNNNNNNNNNNNNNNNNNNNNNNNNNNNNNNNNNNNNNNNNNNNNNNNNNNNNNNNNNNNNNNNNNNNNNNNNNNNNNNNNNNNNNNNNNNNNNNNNNNNNNNNNNNNNNNNNNNNNNNNNNNNNNNNNNNNNNNNNNNNNNNNNNNNNNNNNNNNNNNNNNNNNNNNNNNNNNNNNNNNNNNNNNNNNNNNNNNNNNNNNNNNNNNNNNNNNNNNNNNNNNNNNNNNNNNNNNNNNNNNNNNNNNNNNNNNNNNNNNNNNNNNNNNNNNNNNNNNNNNNNNNNNNNNNNNNNNNNNNNNNNNNNNNNNNNNNNNNNNNNNNNNNNNNNNNNNNNNNNNNNNNNNNNNNNNNNNNNNNNNNNNNNNNNNNNNNNNNNNNACGGUGUGCAGUGCGGGACGUGCUGUAUUUUGUAGUUUCCUGUUGUGAAUGUUAUUUAUUUAAGCCUCUCCGCAAUGCGUUGCGUUGGGUGGUUGGGCCGGCGGGCAAGCCGGGUGGGCUCGUGAUGCAGUGUAGCAUUUUGGGUGUUGUAAUUAGCCUUUGCUGCUCUAUGGUUUGUUGUCUGGUAGACGAGAUAAGUGUGGCAGCCGGAGUCUGUUAGCAACGGCCUGAGGAAGCGUGCCAUCGUCCAAGUCUGUAGGAGUAUGGAAGAGUGGCUUAAGAAAGAUAAAGAAGCAGUAGUGGGAAGAGUGGUGGUGGUGGUGGUGGUGGAAGGGUGGUAUCCAGCCAGGGCGUGGAUGGGCGAGCAUUGUGGGUAUAUCACUCGCAGAAGAAGCGCAUGAGGCAAGGUGGUGAAAGGUGUUGUGGUGGAGACCUUGGUAGGGGUGGGGGUGCUUAUUGUCAGAUAGGCUGAGUUUGGCAGUGAGUUUGGCAGGAGGGUGUGGAAAUGGUCAUUAGAAAGUGAGCCCUCUCUGUGGUUUUGGAGACAAUUGUCUUCCUUGCGCUUGCAAGCCAGAUACUCACAAAUGCCCAGGAUCCGGUCACAUCUAAAUGCAUUUGGAGAAGUUUAAUAUCAAUGUUGAUACCCUUUUUUUUGUGGUUAAUACUUGCGCGUAAUAUACUCGCGGUGUGUUUUUUUUUGUAUAAUAAUCCGAUUGUACUGUCUAAGGUGCUUAACCCUUCAGCUGAAUUUGAUCAUGGGUGUGCUGAUGAAAGAUGGCUUGCUUUAAGUUGUAUCUUCAGUUCAAUCUACUGUCGAGUGUGCACAGAGAAUAUGCUUUUUUGCAGCAUUCCUGGACUAUGUCUGGCAUAUUGCAUGUUCCCCAUGUGUCGUAUGUGUCAGUGUUGACUUCAAGCCCACUUGAGAUUUUGUUUAAGGCAUAUGCCUCACGAUUUGUGGUGGAUGCUUUUAAGAAGUUAUCUGGUCCUGGUCAGAAUGUGUUGCCAUAAAAUUAUAUUAUACGAGGUUGGACACUGGGUUGUUGAGUACAUGCACUUAAAAGUGUACACGACCUGCAUACAGUCGAACAAACCCCGAUGGCUUUUGCUCUUACCAGGCAUAUUUGUAAACUGGAGAUUUUUUUAUAUAUAUUGGGUGUUUGGUGGAACCCACCACACGAUAAGGCAGCAUAUAUGCUGUUGGUCUUUUCGAUACGCGGCACUAUUAAUUCAACUUUGAAUGUACUUUUCUAAGUGCAUUCAGACUGUAACUCAUGUAUGCCUAAAAAUGUCAUCCAACAUUCCUUUCGAAUGAGAAUUUGGUGGUCUCUAACCUCUCACUCACUAAAAAAUGAAGUCAACAUGGUCAAGCUUUCAUCACUUAAUCCUACACAUCUCCAAACUUCUUCAAACAUCCGUUGCUUUGUAGAGCACUUUCAUUUCAAUAUAUAUAUUUAUUUGAUAUCUUAAAAUAGAAUUUAUCCAUAAAUUUACAUUUUAUUUACAUAAUUAAAAUGAUUUUAUAAUAUAUCAAAUUUGAAAAUUAAAAAUAAAUACCAAGAACAAUAAGUUUUGUAAUCCAUUUAAAAUUCUCUUUGUAAACAUAAAGGUAAUGUUUAUAGUAACAUAAAAGCUUAUAUAUAUAUAUAUAUAUAUAUAUAUAUUUAUAUUUAUUUGUCCACAAGUAUAUGUUAAUUAAGUAAAAUUAAUUUACAAAUCAACAGAAAUUGAUACACUAUUCAUUUUAGAAAAUCACAUACAUAGUCCAAAAAAAUAUACUAUUUAUUUAUUUAAUUUUUAAUAAAUAAUCAUUUGUUUAAAAUAAAAUGAAAAGAAGAUAGAAAAAAGAUAGAUCAUUGCGGAUGUGUAUUGAUUAUCGAGGACUCAAUAAGAUUACCAUCAAGAAUAAGUAUCCACUAUCUUUAAUAUAUGGACUUCUUGAUCAGCUGAAUCAAGCUAAGAUCUAUACAAAAAUAGAUCUUCGGGGAACAUACAAUCUAGUACGCAUCAAAGAAGGAGAUAAAUGGAAGUCUGCGUUUCGAACUAGGUAUGGAUAUUUUGAAUACAACGUCAUACCUUUUGGACUUACAAAUGCACCAACAGCUCUUCAACAUGUAAUGAAUGAUGUUUUUUGAGAGUUUUUGGACGAUUUUGUGGUCUGUUAUCUAGAUGACAUCUUGAUCUAUUCUAAGCAUCUAAAAGAACAUAAACUUCAUGUUCGUCAUGUGCUACAAAAAUUAAGAGAUGCAAGACUCUAUACCAAGAUAGAAAAGUAUGUAUUCCACACUACUCAAGUCGAUUUCUUAGGUUACAUCAUUUCAAAUGAUGGACUUAUGAUGGAUCCUAAGAAAGUUCAAACUAUUAUAGAUUGAAAGAUUCCAAAAACAAUAAAAGAUGUCCAAUACUUUUUGGGAUUUGCCAACUACUAUCGAAUCUUCAUGAAGGACUUCUCUCGAGUUGCAACUCCACUUACAUGUUUGAAUUGUAAAGACAAACUCCAAUGGAAUCAAAAAACGGAAGUUGCUUUUGAAUCUUUGAAGACAACAUAUAUUUCUGCACCAAUCUUGUAUCGUGUUGAUUUUUUCAAAGCAUUCUUUAUGGAAACAGAUGCAUCAGACCUUGCUUUGGGUGCGGUUUUAUCACAAAUGGGAACAGAUGAAAAACUUCAUCUAGUAGCCUUUCAUUCAAGAAAAUUCUCAACAGUAGAAAUCAAUUAUGAGAUCUAUGAUAAAGAACUUCUUGCAAUUGUGGAUUCUUUUCAAGAAUGGCGUCAUUAUCUAGAAGGUGCUUCCAGUCUGGUAAUUGUAUAUAUGGAUCACAAGAACCUUGAGUAUUUCAUCUCAAUACGCAUAUUAAAUCAUCGCCAAGCUCAUUGGAAUAUGUCUUUAUCAAGAUUUGAGUUCAUCAUCACUUAUUGGCCAGGAAAAUAAUAAGGUUUGUCCGAUGCCUUGUCUAGACGUUCUUAUCUUACACCAAAAGAAGGAGAUGCAGCUUUUGAGCAACAAAGAAUGGUUCUCUUGAAGCCAGAGCAAUUUCAUCUUCGAGCAAUAAAAUCAACAUUGACUAUUGAUUUAAUUUUUUUUAAGCAAGUCCAGUUAAAUAUGUCUUCAGACCUUCUUGUUUCUGAUAUCAAAAAUAAUUCUUCUAAAUCUCAUGAUCCCUCUAAAUUUGAAUUCAAGAAUAACCUAUUUUAUUUCGAAGGAUGCCUAGAUGUUCCAGAAGGAGAAGCACGUUUACGUAUUCUUCAAGCUCAUCACGACUUUCCAACAGCAGGACAUUUUGGAUACAAUAAGUCUUUGGAGCUGAUAUCUAGAGAUUUUUGGUGACUUCAAAUGUGGAAGGCAGUCAAAGAUUUUGUAUAAUCAUGUGAUGUUUGUUCAAGAUCAAAAACUCCUCGUCAUCGACCUUUUGGACUUCUUCAGCCAUUAUCCAUUCUUGAACAAUCAUGGUCUUCUCUUUCUAUGGACUUCAUCACUGAUCUUUCAAUCUUAGGUUCUUAUGACUCUAUAUUUAUGAAAGUAGAUUGUUUUACCAAAAUGGCACAUUUUGUACUAUGUACAAAAUGUGUCACAGGUGAAGAAACAACUAAGCUCUUUCUUGACAAUAUCUAUUGCUAUCAUGGAUUAUCCAAGGAUAUUAUAUCAGAUAGGAGAAUUCAAUUUGUAUCAUGAUUUUGGCGGACUCUUUUCAAGAUUCUAAAAGUAGAUAUAAAACUAUCUUCAACAUUCCAUCCUCAAGCUGAUGGACAAACGAAGCGUGUUAAUCAAGUUUUGGAGCAAUAUUUAAGAUGUACCAUUAACUAUCAAUAAGAUGAUUGAACAACUCUUUUAUCAUUGGCACAAUUUGCUUACAAUAAUACGGUAUCGUAUUAUGUGCUUUCCUGCUCGAGAAUGCACUGGACAUCUGGCUGUAGAAAGUAGUAUGGAGAUUCGCUAAUAUUCAAGUAGUUUAUCGAUUUUUGACUGUUGGAAUAUAAACUACUGCAAGAAUAUAUCAUAAAUCUAUACGGAUGUCCUUCGACUGCUCAUCAAAAUCCUUUUUGUCCCAGCCGGUAGGUCUCUAGACAUUACAGAGAAUCCCGAACAACCUAAACUGCUAAUCUUCAAUACCGCUUUAUACUCACGAUCUUGUAUCCACAGACUGGCUCGUUAGAUUAACCCAAUAAAUUUCAUUCACUCCGCAUACUCAAUCCUAUAGACACCCUUUUAAUUCUUCAUCACAAACGUAACUCGAUUUCAUAAAACAGUCAAGAAUAAUCACACCCACUUCAUUAAAAUCCCGAUUCACCAGUACAACAUUGACUUCAGCAACGAUUGCCUCAGUCUUUCCAAAACCCUAUAAAGAAAAAAAAUCCAAUUCUCUAUCUUUUUUUCCCGCUCCGAAGCAUGAAGCUCUCUCCCGACCCCUUUUCCCCUCUUCAUUUCUUAACCUAUCCUCCCCUUUAACCCUAAUUCUCCCCUCUUUCAAACCCUAGCCUCUGAAUUUCUUCAAUCUUCUGUCUUGGAUCCAGAAUAGGCUCCGCCGUCAGAGCUUUCUUCUCCGUUUUUACCUUUAAGAGAUCCUUUUAUUGAAAGGACGUUUCCGGAAUGGCACAAAGGAUAAAACAGCCUGAAACGGAAUCGGAGCCCCAUAAUCGGGACCACAUUGAGUCGCCCGACCAAUUCAGGUCUCAUAUUAGGUAAGAGGCCCGUAGUAAGACCUGGAUGUUCCUGCAAUUGGGUCAAAUUGGUCCUUCACGUCAGAUUGGCUAAGAGACCCAUAGUAAGACCUAGAUUGGAUGUCUUGAAAUUAGAUCCAAUUGGCUCUUCGAACCAGGUUCACCCGUCGUUGAAUUCGUCCUUUUUCUUCCUGCUGACUCCCGUUAUUGGAAUCGAACGGAGCAUUUCAGUAUGCCCCAGCUGACUGUAAUGGGGUUACCGAACUUGGCCUCUCAAUAUUUGCAUUGAAAUUGGUUGUUGCUCCCAAUAUUCGAGGUAACUGAAUGUUAAUAAAAGUCCCAUUUCUUUAUAUUUUUACGGUAUACUCGUGUUACAACAUGACAUCCACCUCCUCUGAACCUGUGCAUCCUCCGGUAUACACCAAUUUAUCUAAUUGCUGUUUGAUUUAGAAUAUAUUCUCUAUGUUUUUGUCUAGUUCGUCUUUGUCACCUUCAUUAUCCAAAUCACUUUCAUCUUCUUGCUGCGGAAUCUCUAUACCUUCAUUAAGGUCUUCCAUAUUCAUCUCCGUGUGUCUUCGUUUAAAUAUUUUUACUCGCUUCCCUGCAAUUGAUAUUUUCAAUUUUGUACCAUCUAACUCCCGUAAUGAGUAAGUCACAUUAUCAUGAACAGUUGUUACUACAUAUGGUCCAAACCAACGUUUUGAAAAUUUCUGCAAAGUACUAUGUUGUUUAUUCAGACUAUUAUCAUAAAUAAGUACCCAGUCACCUUCUUCGAUUGCUUUAGGUCUCAAUUGAUGUUGCUUAUCGAAUUACGCCUUAUUUUAUAACCUUGCUCUUUUUUACCUUUCCAAUGCUAUUUGCACAUCUUCCGAUCUUUGUUCCAAUUGUCGAAUCCUAAUAGCCAGAAGUUCUUCUCUUGUCAAUCCAUCUUCCCAUGGUAGCAUACUCCAAGUAAGUACUUUUUCUUCAAUCGGCAUAAUUGGUUUUCGACCUGUCAUAAGUUCUACUGGUAUAUAUCCUGUCACUGAACUAUGUGUUGUUCGAUCAGUCCAUAAUGCAAAUAACAAAAGCCGUGGCUACUCUUUAACUUUCCCAUUACAAGCUUUAACUAAUGCUUUCACAAUCGGUGGGUGACCACGUUCGCUUUUUGCAUUCCCUUCCGAAUUAUAAGCAGAAGCAGUGAUAGUUUAACUCCACAUCUUUUUAAGAACUUAUGAGCUUCUUGUGCAUUUAAUUCUCCACGAUCUGCACUGAUUUUUCCUACGCAUCCGUAGUGGCAAAUGACAUCUUCAAGCAAAAACCUACAAAUCUCCUCUGUAGAUUUUGUCCUCAAUACUCUCCCUCUACUUGAUUUGAUAAAUCUUCACGAGCUAAAAUCAAAUAUUUCAUCUGCCAUAAUCCAACUGGCAUAAUAACCAAAUCGACAAUCCAUUUAAAAUGAAUAGCCAGAGGAUACGUAGAAUGAAGACCAUUUCGAUGUCAGAUAUAAGAAUACGAUUGACAGAUUUCACAUAACUCUAUAAAUGAGAGAACAUCUCGAUACAUAUUUUUCCACCAAUAUCGUUCCUUGAGUUUAGCAAAAGUAGCCCAGAUUCCUCUAUGCCCUGCCUAUAAACUAUCAUAGAACUCCUUUAAUAAUUUUAGUUUUUCUUCUUUUUUGCCUAUCACUCGUUGUGGCAUCCCAAUUCCUUUCUUCGGUCUCUUCCAUAAGAAUCCAUCUCGAAGCAAAAAUCCAUAUGCUUUUUUUCUUAUUUAUUUGAAUUUUUCUAUAGACCAAUUCCCCUGCUUAGUCAAGGUAUUCAAGUAAUGACCAAUAUCCAAUAAUUCUCCUUCAUAAGAUUCUUCAAGAAAUAGCUUGUCUUCUCUAUUGAGAUUUGAUAUUGAAUAGAAUUUCAAUCUGACGUCAUCAAUGUCUUCAACCAUUUCGUCCUCCCUCUCGUAUCUUGCUCGAGAUAUCAUGUCUGCUACUAAAUUAUCGUUCCCAGUAACAUGCUUAAAUUCUGGAUUUAGUGACUUAAUAUAAGCAAUCCAUCUCAACAUUACAAUAUCUGGCAUUGAACAGUUAGUAAACAUUCAAAGCAAUGGCAAGCAGUCUGUUUCAAUUACUACUACUGCCCCAAUCAAAUAGUCUUUUUCAGCUUUCAUAGCCGAAACAACUCCCCAAAGUUCUCUUUUGACUUGUGAAUAUGCACGCUGACGAAUACUUAAAACUUUAGCUCCAAAUCGAAUUGCAAAUCUAUUCCUACUUGAAUCAUCUUGACCCAUAGCCCAUCCAAUGGCAAUUGGACUAGUGUCCACAGUAAGAAUCACUGGUCUAUUGCACUUAUAAUCAACCUUCCUCAAUAUUGGAGGUGACAUCAAUAAUUUCUUCAAUCUUUGCAUUACCUGAAUAUGCCUUUCUUCCCAUUUAAAUCGAUAGCCCUUGCGUAACAGUUCAUAUAAUGGAUCCGCUAUGUGAGCAUAAUGAGGAAUCCAAAUUCGAUAAAAUACACAUGCACCCAAAAACCUGCGAACCUCUGUUAAAGAAUCACAAUCCUCUUUCAUCCUUCCAAUUGCAUCAACUUUAGUCGGAUUUGGUUUUCUUCCGUAAGAUCCACAUAAAUGUCCAACAAUCACAACCUCUCGUAUUCCAAAUACGGACUUCAUAUCCGAUAAUGUAAGAUGAACUUCUCCAAGCCGAGUUAAAAUCUUUUCACAAUCUUGUAUAUGAUCAACAACAUAUUUGCGACACUCUCUCUUAUCUAAAGUUUCAUCCUUGUCUCCUUCUCUGCACCCUUUUAUAGGAACAUCAUCCAGAAAAGGCAUAGUCUUUUUCGGAAUAAAAUCUCUCAAUACCUUAUUCAUUCCAUUCAUCAUAUGUACAAUUGAGUUGGUCGCGCCUUGAGAAAGUGUGUACAUUCUAACCAAUCCAAGUGGUGUCCUCAUCGUCUUCAUAUCUCUACUUCCUUCGGCAAGUUGAAAUUGAUCAUAACCUGAAUACAAGUCAUCCAUUGAAUAGAUCGCCCUUCCUGCAAACGCCUCAGCAAAUUCAUCCACAAUAGGUCCAAUUCCUGCAUUCCUGACAGUUACUGCAUUCACUGGUUGCAUAUCUUGAAUAAACCGUAGUGACCCAUUCUUCUUAGGUACCAUAAACCAUCAACUAGAAUACGGCACAAAUGAAGGUUCCAAUAUUUUCAUCUUUAUCUUUUCUUUUAAUAGUUCCACUAAUUUAGAUAAAUGUGCCCUCGGUACUGGAAUCGGUCUUAGAUUCCAAGGUACAUGCGGUACAGUGAAGAUAACCAUAAGUGUUAUAAUAUUUGGAUCCACACACCCAAUUUCAUGAGAUUUGAAGGCAAGCGAUCUACCUUGUUUAGCCAACAUCUUUUUGAAGCAAGUAAUUUCCUCUGGCAAUAAAGAACCAUCAGAACCAAUCUUCAAUUCUUCAAAAGUCUCUUUAUUAAACUAAUGUCCAAUACUCAUUGGAUCUCUUAAACUUGCUUCUUUUGAUGCUUCUCCCAUUUGUUCUUUAGAAUCUUCUGGUAAUGGUCCGGCAACAGGCUUUACCUUCUUAUCUACCGUUUUAUAUCUCGUCUCUACAGUGACUUCUGGUGCUUGAAAAGAUUCAAGUAUGGUAUAAACCUCUCUUGAAUGAAUCUCAACAAUCUUAUCAUUAUCCCCUAACCUAAUAGAUGUAAUCAAUUUCAAUGAAUCUUCCAGUCCAUUUUCUUCAUAAACACCUAAAAUCCUCUCAUCAUCUUGCAAUGUACCUAACUUGCGUAAUUCUCCUUCAAUAUUAUAUAAUCUUUUUCUUUCUUUUCUUUUAAAAUCAUCAACUUUCUUAUACAUAAUAUUUCCAUUCUCCAAAAUACCAAUAAAACUUGCAUCAAAAGUACCUUCAUCUCGCGAGAGUACCUCCUCUUUUGUACCUCCAUAAUCUCGCUUUAUAGUGGUACCUCCCCAAAAUCCUUAAAUCCUUCAACAAUCUUUGGCAAUGGUUUCUCCCUCAACCUAUCUCGAUUCCGUUCAUGGUUAGGAGGUACUGUUAGAAAUUGUACAACUUUCCUCCCAUCUACGCUACGUACCCUUGCAUAAGCAGAACCAUCAUCAAGUACUUUUGUUUCCAUCCAUGUUGCCAUAAUAUAAGGUUUUCCUAAAAUCAACGGAUAAGAUGUUGUAUCUUGAACAAAGAAAUGUUCUUCCGUCGCAACAUCCCCAAUCCAAAUUUUGACAUCUGGACAAGCUCCAUAUAAUUCGCCUCGUGUGUUAUUAGCUGCUCGUAUUACCCAUCCAUGUUCCAUAUCAAUUGGCCAUUUUUGUUUCUUAUAAAGAUCUUUAGACAUGAGAUUUAUUUCAGAACUAUGGUCGACUAAAGCAAUAAUUGAUUCUUCUAUAUUUCCUACUUUCACCAAUACCUCAGUAGUUGCCCUUGCCCAAUGCUUUCGAGUAUAAUGACUCAAAGUUUCCAUUUCCUUAUCACUAUAAUCUUCGAAAUGUAUUCGUUGAUUAUAUCUAUUCUUUUCAUUUGUUGGUUGCUUGUAACCAAUAUCAACCUCUUCUUCAUCUUUAUAUAUUCUUGUAACAAUAGCAUGACUCAUUCUAGUUUCGCCCAUUAAUUGCCUCUUUCGCUUAAUGCUGUCAAUGAUAACAUCAUGAAACUCCUUCUUUGUAAUUUCCAAGACUUCUUUCAAUGUGAAUUCCACAUUAGCAUUUAAUAUACGUUCUUCCAAUACCCCUUUCAAAUUUGUUGCCGCUUCAAUGUCAAAAAGUAGCUUAUAAGCAAUUGAUUUGCCCUUAUCUUUUGUCUCCCUUGUUUUUUCUUCCAAUGAUGCUAAGGUAUUCUUUACAAGCAAUUCUUGUGAAGGUGCCUCCCGAGCCUUGUCUCCUUGAGUUUACCUCUUAGAAGAAUUUCCUUCUCUCAUAUCAUCAAAAUUUCCUCGUCUCUUUUCUUCCAUCAAAGCUUCAUGUUGGCUCUUAGCAAUAUAUGCAUGAACUGAAAGAGACUGAGCAAGAUCCUCCCAACUUGUUGCACCUCGUAUUGUAGCUGCAGUCCUCAAUAAUGCUUCUCAAGGUAAUUUCCCUUCUUGUAUUGUAAAAAUGGCAGAAGCCCAAAACUCACUAGUUUUCGUACUUCCACCAAGGUCAUUAUCUACUCUAGUACCAUAACUUGCACUUUCUCGUGCUGCUAUUUCAUGCUCUUUUAAGUAAUCUUGAACCAAUGCUCUCAUUCCUCCCUUGCCAAAAUUGGUUUGAAGAAGAUCCUCCCUAUCUUUUAAUGCUAUCUUCCCAUCUUUCCAGCAAAUAAUUCCUUGCCGUAUCAUAUUAUUAAAUUCAUUGCAAUCUUUUCUAGUGUGUGAAGCAUCAUCACACCAAAUGCAUCUUUGUACAUAUCCUUAUUUUGAAACAUUCUUCGAAUUGUUUGUAGAAGUAUUCUCUUCAAGUCUUGCCAAUUUGAUUUGAAGAUCUCGCAUUCCUCAUAUAAUUUCUUCCAUCCCUAUAUCUGCUUUCUUUGAUAAGGAUGUCGAAGGUUGAAUUGUAGGCAUUGUUGGUGGUGUUGUACGUAUUGGAGCUUUGGGUGCUUAUACUGUUUUUGGAAUAUUACUCCUAUCCUUCCUCCUUUCUCUUUUUGUAAGCAACCCCACCGCAUCUUCAACAUUCUUCUACUUUGUUGUCAAUCCUUCGUCUUUUUUUUUGUCUUCAAGAAGGAGUUCUAAUUUCCCUUGCAAUUCUCCAUCAGCAGCUUGAAGAAAUAGAUCAACUUUGUUCGGCUCCAAUGUCAAUUUUUCUACCUUUGAUAAUUGAAAGUACUGCCUCUCAAAUUUCCUUAGUAGCUCUGUUGCUUGCAAAUUCUUAUUAGGCCGUUCAAUCCAUUCCAGAAACAACUUCUUAGUAACGCGACCAGUAUUUUCCAAGAAAUAUUCGUCUUUCAAUGCAUGUGAAAAAAUCUCCCAUGAAUUCUCAUAAUGAUUCGUAAUCGAUGUAAUAUGAUCUCUUAUCUCCGGUAUUGUGGCAAGUCCAAAUAAUUCAACCAUUUUCUUCUCAGAAACCCGAUUUAAUUCCAUUUCACGAACAUAACAUCUUAAAUACCUUGAAAUAUUCCUUCCAUCAAAUUGAUCAAUUUUAUUGACCACUGCUUGCAAUGCUUUGGUUGCCAAAGCUUCCUUUCGAUCAUUGCUUUGUUGUUGCUGCAUUGAUAAUGAGAAGGCUUGAAACAUACUAGCAAUAGACGGAUCCAUGUGCAUACCUUGUCCUUUAGAAGAACCCCCACCAGAAACUCCUCCCAAAGAUCCUUCAAAAUUUUUAUUUUUGUUUUCCAUAGAAAUAAAAAUAAAAUCAAACAAAAUCCAAUACCUUCCACCUCAAGCUUUCACGUCAAGUUCACCACUUUUGUCGUAUUACGUUCUUUCCUACUCGAGAACGUGUCGAGUGUUUGGCUGUAGAAAGUAGUAUGGAGAUUCACUAAUAUUCAAGCAGUUUAUCGAUUUUUGACUGUUGGAAUAUAAACAACUGUAAGAAUAUACCGUAAAUCUAUAUGGAUGUCCUUCGACUGCUCGUCAAAGUCUUUUUUGCCCCAGCUGGUAGGUCUCUAGACAUUACAGAGAAUUUCGAACAAUCCAAACUGCUAAUCUUCGAUACCGCUUUAUACUCAUGAUCUUGUAUCCACUGACUGUCUCGUUAGAUUAAUCCAAUAAAAUUCAUUCACUCUGCAUACUCAAUCCUAUAGACACCCUUUUAAUUCUUUAUCAUAGACGUAACUCGAUUUCACAAAACAGUCAAGAAUAAUCACACUCACUUCAUUAAAAUCCCGAUUCACCAGUACAACACUGACUUCAGCAACGAUUGCCUCAGUCUUCCCAAAAUCCUAUAAAAAAAAAAAACCCAAUUCUCUGUCUUUUUUCCCCGCUCUGAAGCAUGAAGCUCUCCCCCGAUCCCUUCUCCCCUCUUCAUUUUUUAACCUAUCCUCCACUUUAAUCCUCUUUCAAACCUCUCCCCUCUUUCAAACCCUAGCCUUUGAAUUUCUUCAAUCUUCCAUCUUGGAUCUGGAAUUGGCUCCGCCGUCAGAGCUUUCUCCUCCGUUUUUACCUUUAAGAGAUCCUUUUAUUGAAAGGACAUUCUCGGAACGGCACAAAGGACGGAACAGCCUGAAACGGAAUCGGAGCCCUGUAAUCGGAACCACAUUAAGUCGCCAGACCAAUUCAGGUCUCAUAUUAGGUAAGAGGCCCGUAGUAAGACUUGGAUGUUCCCACAAUUGGGUCAAAUUGGUCCUUCACGUCAGAUUGGCUAAGAGACCCGUAGUAAGACCUGGAUUGGAUGUCUUGAAAUUGGAUCCAAUUGGCUCUUCGAACCAGGCUCACCUGUUGUUGAAUUGGUCCUUUUCUUUCCUGCUGACUCCCGUUAUUGGAAUCGAAUGGAGCAUUUCAGUAUGCCUCGGCUGACUGUAAUGAGGUGACUGAACUUGGCCUCUCAGUAUUUACACUGGAAUUGGUCGUUGCUUCCAAUAUUCGAGGUAACUGAAUAUUAAUAAAAGUCCCCUUUCUUUAUAUUUUCCCGGUAUAUUCGUGUUACAACACGACAAUGGUAUAUUCUUGUAUAAAACAAAUAUAUAUAUAUAUAUAUAUAUAUAUAUAUAUAUAUAUAUAUUUUUAAUUAUGGUUAUCAUCCACGACUUGAUACUUUUGACUUUUCAAAAGUUGAUAAUCCUACUGCGAAAGAUUUGGCAAUUCAUUUGUCAAAGCUAUAUGCAAUAAUGAAGGUGCAGUUAAAAGAGGCUCAAGAAUAACAAAAAGUCAAUGCGGAUGUCUAUCGAAAGGAACAACUACCAUUCUACUUGGGUGAUAAGGUAUGGCUACUUCAUCGUAAUAUCAAGACCACUCGUCCUUGUGAUAAGUUGGACUAUCAAAGGCUUGGACCAUUUUCUAUUUCUGCACAAAUCAAUCCAGUUGAAUAUUGUUUAUAUCUACUGGAGUCAAUGAAAAUCCAUCCAAUAUUCUACAUAUCUCUUCUUGAACCAUACAAGACAGUGGACAUACCAAGAUGAUGACAAGCUCCGCCUCCUCCUAUAGAAGUGGACAAUAAUGAAGAGUUUGAAGUAGAAGAAGACUUAGAUUCAAGGCGGCGCUGAAAUGAAUUGGAAUAUCUUGUCCAUUGGCAUGGAUAUGAUAUUAGUGAAUGCACAUGGGAGCAAAUAAAGAAUCUUGUAAAUGCAACAAAGGUAGUGGAGGCUUUUCAUCGACAACAUCUAUCAAAAUCAAGAUCGAAAUCUUUUUUAUAAAAGAAACAACAUCUAGGCAAGAUAAUAUUCUACUUUCAAUCCUUGUAGUUGUGAUGCUUAGGAGAUGGAGAACCAAUAACCUGUGGAUUCGAUUCAAGAGCCUUCAUUUGUUGACCUACCGGUGUCACGGCCAUAAUCAUGUAAGCUAAUAAUUACAUAUAGAAAUAGGUAGAAGUAAGUAAAAGUAGAUAAAAGUAAGUUAAUUCUAUAAUAUUUAAUAUAGAAGCUUCCUAGAAACUUCCUAGACGUUGCUUUGACUUCAUAGGUAUCUUUAAUUGACUUUUUGGAUUAGAAACGUGGUCAACAAGUUGGCCAUGUGCCACACAUGUUGUUAGCUUGAAGAUCAAGCUAACUAUGUGGCCCACACGUAGAAAAACUUGCCUUGUAAGUCAAGGCAUGUGUCCUACAAAGUCAACACAUAUUGGAGGUCCUAUAGAAUGUCGCCAUGUAGCCCCUAGUUAGAUAGUAUAUAUAGAGACAAGAGUGAAGGCUUCUUCACUCUUGUCAACUCUUUUCUUGCUUCUAGUCUAAUUUCAAGGGUCUCUAGUUUUCUUGUCUUUUGGCAAUAGCCAUUCUAGUUUCUCUUUUCAACAUACAUACUUAUUAUUCAUAUUUUGUUACUUUUCUUUGAGUGAAGGCUUAUUUGUCUGAACUAUUUUUUCAUCGAGUUCUUAUCCUUGACAGAUUGACAAGAGUGUACUUACAAUAUCAGAGCUUUGUUUUUCUUGAGUAAGAGUGGAUUACCCCUUUCUCUUGACAAGGCAUAAGCGUAUUAGAAGUUUGCGGAUUACCCACUUCUAAACUGAUAUUGUUCUCAGUAUCUUCUUUGUUAUCAAGUCUUUCUUUUCUUUUGUCUUGAGCAGUAUCAAACAAAUUUUUCUUCUUAGUGUCAUUAUGGCAGAGCUUGUUGAAAUGAAGAGUGCAAUGGCACAAAUGCAAGAGCAAAUGAGGGAGUUAAUGCUUGCGAUGCAUCAACUCAAUUCACCAACACAGGAAAGAACAAGAAUAGCAGAAAGUAGGGAUAUAGAGAUGAUCGGAGCUGCUUCAACAUCUACAACAAAUCACAUUCCUUCUCCAAUUGUACAACACCCUAUAAGCACUAGAGAACCAAGAAUUGCCUUACCCGAGAAAUUUGAUGGUACGAGAUCAAAGUUUCGAGGAUUCAUCAAUCAAGUACAAUUGGCAAUUGAACUUCAACCGCAAAGCUAUGCAACUCCAAGAUCACAAGUCAGGUUUAUUGGCACUCUACUUUCUGGUUCUGCAUUAUCGUGGUUUUCGUCUUUUUUUGAACAACAAAAUCCAAUAUUGGACAAUUUGGAAGCUUUUUUGGUGGAGUUUCGAUCUAUGUAUGGUGAACACGAUGCAACUCGUGUUGCAACAAAUAGGAUCCGAAUUCUAUGACAAGAAAAUCGCUCAGUAACAGUGUAUGCUUCACAAUUUUGACAAUUUGCAAUUGACAUCGAGUGGGAUGAUGUUGCACUCAUCAGUCAAUUUUUUUAUGGAUUGCAAUACGAAGUGAAGAAAACGAUGCUCAACUUACCUGAUCCUCAAACUUUGAGUCAAGCAAUCGAUUUUGCGGUAAAAUGUGAUAAUCGACUUUUCAAAUUUCGAUCCGAGAAUCAUUCACGGGAACCUCAACGUUAUUACUCAAUGGCAACAUCAACAUCUUUGCCAAACGUACAUUCGAAAGUAGAAGACAUGCAAAUUGACGUAGUACGUUUUAAACCCCUAACUGAGCAAGAAAAGAUUUGUCGUCGUUAAGAAGGAUUAUGUUUAUAUUGCGGAGAACCUAAGCACACUGCUCAACAUUAUCCAAAGAAACGACGCAACUAUAAAAUGAGGGGUACGACGGUCAAAGAAGACAACAUGUCGGAAAACGAAUUUGUCCUAUUACAAUAGGGACCGUGCAGCUGGAACCUUGUACAAUUCCUAAUGAAGGUCCUAUCCUCUCUUCAGAACCCUCUCCUUGUUUUAUAAUAGACUUAUAUUUAGGACCUAAGAAUUACAAAGCCUCUGCUUUAUUAGAUUCGGGAGCCUCAGCAUGUUUUUUAGAUGAACAAUUUGUUAAAAGUCAUAAAAUACCCUUUGUACAGAAACCUAAACCAGUACAUGUAGAAGUCAUAGAUGGUCGUCCCUUGUCUUCUGGAGAUGUCACUCAUGAAACUCAUCCUAUAAAAGUAACAAUAGACGGUCAUGAUAGCUACAUAGCUUUUAACAUAAUUAAAUCCCCGUCCAAUCCAGUUAUUCUAGGUUUAUCCUGGCUAGAAAAAUAUAACCCUCGAAUAGAUUGGAAUUCACGUAAACUUGACUUUUCCCAGAGCGUUAUUAAUAGUUCUACCAACCAAGUAAAAAAUUAUAAGUCUAGUAUAGUAAAACCCGUACUGAUAGGUGCAAAAGUAUUUAUAGACGCAGCAAAAGAAGGAUCAACUUUUGCUAUUUAUGCUGCACCUAUUUCUGAAAACGUAAAGACUUCAAGUGGCAUUCCAAAUCAAUAUCAGGAGUAUCAAGACGUUUUUGAGAAAAAGAAUGCAGAUAUUCUUGCUGAGCAUCGUCCAUAUGAUUGUUCAAUCGACCUCAAGGAAGGAACUCAGCCACCAUUUGGACCAAUUUACAGUUUAUUGCAAGAUGAGAUGGCUGAAAUCAAGACAUAUAUUGACGAGAAUUUAGUGAAGAAUUUCAUACGCCAUUCAAAAUCUCCAGCAGGAGCUCCAAUUCUAUUCGUAAAGAAAAAAGAUGGAUCUUUACGAAUGUGUGUUGAUUAUCGAGGACUCAACAAGAUCACAAUCAAGAACAGGUAUCCAUUACCUUUGAUAUCAGGACUCCUUGACCAGUUGAAUCAAGCUAAGAUCUAUACAAAAAUAGAUCUAAGAGGAGCAUAUAAUCUAGUACGGAUCAAAGAAGGAGAUGAAUGAAAGACUGCAUUUCGAACCAGGUAUGGACAUUUCGAAUAUAAUGUCAUGCCCUUUGGACUUACGAAUGCAGCAGCUGCUUUUCAACAUCUCAUGAAUGAUGUAUUUCAUGAAUUCUUAGACAAUUUUGUCGUCUGCUAUCUAGACGAUAUCCUGAUCUAUUCUAAGAACGUCGAAGAACAUGAAAUACAUGUUCGUCAAGUAUUACAAAAACUUAGAGAUGCAGGAUUGUAUGCCAAUAUAGAAAAGUGUGUAUUUCACACUACUUAAGUUGACUUUUUAGGAUACAUCAUUUCAAAUGAUGGUCUCAUGAUGGAUUCUAAGAAAGUCCAAACAAUCAUGGAUUGGAAGAUUCCAAGGACGGUAAGAGAUGUCCAAUGUUUCUUGAGAUUUGCUAAUUACUAUCGGAUCUUCAUCAAAGAUUUCUCACGAGUUGCAGCUCCACUUACACGCUUGACUAGUAAAGAUAAAUUCCAAUAGAAUCAAGAAGCGGAAGCAGCAUUUGAAGCCUUGAAGACAUCGUUUGUCUCUGCACCAGUCUUAUAUCGUGUUGACUUUUCCAAGGCAUUUUUUAUGGAAACAGAUGCAUCAGAUUUUGCCUUGAGUGCAGUUUUAUUACAAAUGGGAACAGAUGACAAACUUCAUCCGAUAGCUUUUCAUUCAAGAAAAUUCUCAGCAGUCGAGAUCAAUUAUGAGAUCCACGAUAAAGAACUUCUUGCGAUCGUGGAUUCCUUUCAAGAAUGGCGUCAUUAUCUAGAAGGCGCUUCUAGUCCAAUCAUUGUGUAUACAGAUCACAAGAACCUCGAGUAUUUCAUGUCAGCAUGCGUGUUGAAUCGUCGUCAAGCUCGUUGGAGUAUGUCUUUGUCAAGAUUCGAGUUCAUUAUCACUUAUCGGCCAAGAAAACAACAAGGUUUGUCUGAUGCCCUAUCUAGACGUUCUUAUUUUGUACCAAAAGAAGGAGAUGCAGCUUUUGAGCAACAAAGAACGGUCCUCUUGAAACCGGAGCAAUUUCAUCUCCGAGCAAUGAAAUCAACAUUGACUAUUGAUUCAACUUUUCUCAAGUAAAUCCAGUCUAGUAUGUCCUCAGACCCUCUUGUUUAUGAUAUCGAGAAUAAUUCUUCCAAGUCUCAUGAUCCUUCUAAGUUCGAGUUCAAGAAUAAUCUAUUAUAUUUUGAAGGACGCCUAUAUGUUCCAGAAGGAGAAGCACGUUUACAAGUUCUUCAAGCACGUCAUGACUUUCCAGUAGCAAGGCACUUUGGAUAUAAUAAGACUUUGAAACUCAUAUCAAGAGAUUUUUGGUGGCGACAAAUGUGGAAGUCAGUCAAAGACUUUGUACAAUCAUGUGAUAUUUUUUCAAGAUCAAAAAUUCCUCGUCAUCGACCUUACGGACUUCUUCAGCCAUUACCUAUACCAGAACAACCAUGGUCUUCUGUUUCUAUGGAUUUCAUCACAGAUCUUCCAAGCUCAAGAUCUUAUGAUUCUAUAUUUGUGAUAGUAGAUCGUUUCACCAAGAUGGCACAUUUUGUGCCAUGUACAAAAUCUAUCACAGGUGAAGAAACAGCUAAGCUUUUCAUUGAUAAUAUCUAUCGCUAUCAUGGAUUACCUAAAGAUAUCAUAUCAGAUAGGAGAACUCAAUUUGUGUCAAGAUUUUGGAGGACCCUUUUCAAGUUUUGAAAAGUGGACAUAAAGCUAUCUUCGGCUUUCCAUCCUCAAACUGAUGGACAAACAGAGUGCGUAAACUUAGUCUUGGAGCAAUAUUUAAGGUGUACUAUCAACUACCAACAAGAUGAUUGGACAACCCUUCUGCCAUUGGCAGAGUUUGCUUAUAAUAGUACGGUACAUUCUUCCACGUAACAAACACCUUUCUUUGCCAAUUAUGGCUAUCAUCCACGACUUGAUACUUUUGAUUUUUCAAAAGUUGAUAAUCCUGCAGUAGAAGAUAUGGCAAAUCAGUUGUCAAAGUUACAUGCAAUAAUGAAGACGCAAUUGAAGGAAGCUCAAGAACGACAAAAGAUAAACGCAGAUCUAUAUCGUAAGGAGCAACCACAACUCAACGUGGGUGAUAAGGUAUGGCUACUUCGUCGCAAUAUCAAGACUACUCGACCUUGUGACAAGUUGGACUUUCAUAGGCUUGGCCCCUUUUCUGUUUCUGAACAGAUCAACCCAGUUGCAUAUUGGUUACAUCUACCGGAGUCAAUGAAGAUCCAUCCUGUAUUCCACGUGUCUCUUCUUGAACCAUAUAAGACAGUGGAUAUACAAGGAAGAAGACAAAUGCCAUCGCCUCCUAUAGAAGUAGAUAAUAAUGAAGAAUUUGAGGUGGAAGAGAUAUUAGACUCAAGGCGGCACCGAAAUAAGCUGGAAUAUCUUGUUCAUUGGCGCGGAUAUGAUAUUAGUGAAUGCACAUGGGAGCCAUCUAGGAAUCUAGCAAAUGCAUCAGCUAAAGUCAAAGUUUUUCAUCAACGACAUCCAUCAAAACCAAGAUGAAAAUAUCUCUUAUAAAAGAGACAAGAUUGAGGCAAGAUAACAUUCAAUUUCCUAUCCUUGUUUGUAACUUCUUUGCAUUUGUGACGCUAAUUAGAUGGAGAGCCAACAACCAGCAGAUUCAACUUAAGAACCUUCGUUUGCUGACCUGCUGGACGAGACAUUACGAUUGUCACAACCUUCAAGACGACGCAAUUGAGAUGAAGAUAUUCAAGAAUGACAUGUUCUUCCUCGAAUAGAUGGUGAGAUACAACGCGUUUGGUAUCACGAUUUCAGAAGGGACUCUCGAUGUUUGGUGAUUUUGCUAGAAGUAUGAACAACUCCUGAUGGUGUUCCGAAUAUUCUAUUCGAAGGAAGUUACGAAGGCCUCAACAAUGAUCAAAUAACUGGGUGGUCUUCCCGCCCUAGUAUGGGACACUACCGAUGGUUGAAAGGCCCUAUCAAUCAUCUUCGAAGAGAACAAAGAUCAGAGUAUGUGGCGAAUAUAAUUCGUCGCAUCAUAGAUUUCCUCAACAUAUGAUGACCGCUCCUCGUGGAACUCGUCUCUAGAAGGGGGGGUAAUGUCACGGCCAUAAUCAUGUAAGCUAAUAAUUACAUAUAGAAAUAGGUAGAAGUAAGUAAAAGUAGAUAAAAGUAAGUUAAUUCUAUAAUAUUUAAUAUAGAAGCUUCCUAGAAACUUCCUAGACGUUGCUUUGACUUCAUAGGUAUCUUUAAUUGACUUUUUGGAUUAGAAACGUGGUCAACAAGUUGGCCAUGUGCCACACAUGUUGUUAGCUUGAAGAUCAAGCUAACUAUGUGGCCCACACGUAGAAAAACUUGCCUUGUAAGUCAAGGCAUGUGUCCUACAAAGUCAACACAUAUUGGAGGUCCUAUAGAACGUCGCCACGUAGCCCCUAGUUAGAUAGUAUAUAUAGAGACAAGAGUGAAGGCUUCUUCACUCUUGUCAACUCCUUUCUUGCUUCUAGUCUAGUUUCAAGGGUCUCUAGUUUUCUUGUCUUUUGGCAAUAGCCAUUCUAGUUUCUCUUUUCAAUAUACAUACUUAUUAUUCAUAUUUUGUUACUUUUCUUUGAGUGAAGGCUUAUUUGUCUGAACUAUUUUUUAAUCGAGUUCUUGUCCUUGACAACCGGAUGAGACAUUACGCUUGUCACAACCUUUAAGAUAAUGCAAUCGAGAUGAAGAUCUUCAAGAACAACAUAUUUUUCCUCGAAUAGAUGGCGAGAUACAACACGUUUGGUAUCACGACCUUGGAAGGGACUCUCAAUGUUUGGUGAUUUUACUAGAGGUAGGAACAACUCUUGCUAGUGUUUCAAAUGUUCUAUUCGAAGGGAGUUAUGAAGGCCUCAACAAUGAUCAAAUUAUUAGGUGGUCUUUUCAUCUUGGUAUGGGACACUAUCGAUGGUUGAAAGGCCCUAUCAAUCAUCUUCGAAGAGAAAAAAGAUCAGAGUAUGUGGCGAAUACAAUUCGUCGCAUCAUAGAUUUCUUCAACAUAUGAUGACCGCUCCUCAUGGAACUCGUCCCUAGAAGGGGGAGAUAAUGUCAUGGACAUACUCAUAAUUACAUAUACAGAUAAAUAGAAGUAAAUAAAAGUAGGUACAAAUAAGUUAAUUCCAUAGUAUUUGAUAUAAAAGCUUCGUAGAAGCUUCAUAGACACUGCUUUGACUUCAUAGGUAUCUUUAAUUGACUUUUUGGAUUAGAAACGUGGUUAACAAGUUGACCAUGUACCACACAUGUUGUUAGCUUGAAGAUCAAGCUAUUAUGUAGCCCACAUGUAGAAAAACUUGCCUUGUAAGUCAAGGCAUAUAUCCUACAAAGUCAACACAUAUUAGAGGUCAUAUAGAUUGUCGCCACGUAGUCCCUAGUUAGAUAGUAUAUAUAGAGAUAAGAGUGAAGCCUUCUUCACUCUUGUCAACUCUUUUUUUGCUUCCAGUCUAGUUUCAAGGGUCUCUAGUUUUCUUUUGGUAAUAGCCAUUCCAUUUUCUCUUUCAAUAUACAUACUUAUUUAUUUAUAUUUUGUUACCUUUCUUUGAGUGAAGGCUCACUUAUCUAAAUUGCUUUUUCAUCAAGUUCUUGUCCUUGACACUUCCUUUAAUUACACCUUUAUUUUUGCAUGUAGCUCUGACAAAUGAUAUGCUAAAUCUUUUGUCACAAGUUUAUCAACUUUUGAAAAGUUAAUAGUAUCAAGUUGUGGAUGAUAAUCAUAAUUGACAAAGAAAGGUGUUUGUUACAUAGAAGAAUUCAUUGCAUUAUUAUGAAAAAACUUUGCCAAUGGCAAGAGGGUUGUUUAAUCAUCUUGUUGAUAAUUGAUCGUACUUUUUAAGUAUUGCUCCAAAACUUAGUUUAUACGCUUUGUUUGUCCAUCAGUUUGAGGAUGAAAGGCAAAGAAAUCUUUAUGUCUACCUUUAGAAUCUUAAAAAAAAUUCUAUAAAAUCUUGAUACAAAUUGAGCCCUCCUAUUUGAUAUAAUAUCUUUUGGCAAUUCAUGAUAUUGAUAGAUAUUGUUAAGGAAAAGCUUGGUAUUUUCUUGACUUGUGAUAGAUUUUGUACAUAGUAUUAAAUGUGUCAUUUUGUUAAAAUAAUCUACUAUCACAAAUAUAGAAUUGCAUGAACAUAAGAUUUAAAGAUCCAUAAUAAAAUCCAUAGAAAUAGAAGAUCAUGAUUUUUUUAAAAUAAGUAAUAGCUGAAGAAGUCCAUAAGGUUGAUGAUGAGGAGUUAUUGACCUUAAAUAAAAUAUCAUAUGAUUGAACAAAAACUUUUAUAGCCUUCAACAUUUGUAGUCACCAAAAAACUUUAGAUAUUAGCUCCAAAGUAUUAUUGUAUUCAAAAUAUUCUAUUGUUGGAAAGUCGUGAUAUGCUUGAAAAAUACGUAAACAUACUUUUUUUUUUUAGAACAUAUAAGCAUUCUUCAAAAUAAAGUUGGUUUUUUUUGAACUUGAACUUGGAAGUUCUAAAAGACUUAGAAGAAGUUUUUUUGAUAUCAUGAACAAGAGGAUCAAAGAACAUACUUGAUUGAAUUUGAUUGAAAAAAGUUGAAUCAAUAGUCAAUGUUUAUUUCACUAUUUGAAGAUAAAAUUAUUUUGGCUUCAAUAAAAUUAACUUUUAUUGAUCAAAAGUUGCAUUUCUUUCUUUUGUUAUAAAAUAAAAAUGUCUAGAAAGGGCAUCAGACAAACCUUAUUAUUUUCUUAGGUGAUAUUGAACUCAAAUCUUAACAAAGAUAUGCUCCAACAAGCCUGUUGAUGAUUCAAAAUAUAUGUUGAAAUAAAAUACUUGAGAUUCUUGUGAUCUAUAUAUACAAUGAUUGGACUAGAAGCACUUUUUAGACAAUAAUGCCAUUCUUGAAAAGAAUCCACAAUUGCAAGAAGCUCUUUGUUUUAGAUCUUGUAAUUGAUCUUGACUAUUAAGAAUUUUUUAAAAUAAAAAGCUGCUGGGUGGAGCUUGUCAUUUUCUCUUAUUUGUAAAAAAACAACAUCCAUAGCAAAAUCGGAUGCAUUUUUUUCCAUAAAAAAUGCCUUCAAAAAAAUCAACAUGAUAUAAGAUUGGUGCAAAAAUAAAUGCCAAUUUUAAGGCUUCAUAAGAUGAUUUAGCUUCUUUGCUCUAAUCAAGUUUGUCUUUGCAUAUAAGAUGUGUAAAAAGAAUUACAACUUGAAAAAAAAUCUUGAUAAAGAUUUGAUAGUAAUUGACAAAGCCCAAAAAGCAUAGUACAUUUCUUAUUAUUUUUGAAAUCUUCUAAUCUAUAAUAGUUUGAACUUUCUUUGGAUCCAUCAUAUGUCCUUUGUUGGAAAUGAUAUAUCCUAAAAAGUCAACUUGAAUAGUGUAGAAUACAUGCUUUUUCAACUUAAUAUAUAAUCCUAUAUCUCUAAGUUUUUGUAAUAUACAACAAACAUGAACUUCAUGCUUUUUUAUAUAUUUAGAAUAGAUUAAAAUGUCAUCUAAAUAACAGACAAUAAAAUCAUCUAAAAAUUCACAAAAAUAUCAUUUAUAAAAUGUUGCAAUGUAGUUGAUGCAUUCAUGAGUCCAAAAGGCAUGACAAUAUAUUCAAAGUAUCCAUACUUUAUUCAAAAUAUAAUCUUCUAUUCAUCUCUUUCUUUAAUGCGGACUAAUUUGUAUACUUCUCAUAGAUCUAUUUUUGUAUAGAUAUUAGCUUGAUUUAGUUGAUCAAAAAGUCUAAAUAUCUAAAAUUAAGAGCAUCUAUUUUUGUUAUUAAUCUUGUUGAGUCCUCGAUAAUUUACAAACAUUUAUAAUGAUCCAUCUUUUUUCUCUACAAAUAAGAUAGGAACUUCAGUAAGAAGAUUUUGAAUGGCAUAUGAAAUUCUAAUAUGCUUAUGUUUCAUCAAGAAAAAAGGAUAAUCCAUUCUUAAUCAAGAGAAGACAAAGCUCUAAUAUUGUAAGUGUACUCUUGUCAAUUUUUCAAAGGCAUGAACUGAAAGGAGAUGCAUAAAUCUGAAAAAAGUGACAAAAAUAAAAAAUAAAAUGUGUAUUAAAAAAAAUUAGAAUGGAUAUUGUCAAAAGAUAAAAAAACUAAAGAUUCUUGAAACUAAAUUAGAAAUAAGAAAGGAAUUGACAAGAAUGAAGAAGGCUUCAUUCUUGCCUCUAUAUAUAUUAUUUACGUAGGAUCUAUGUGGCAACAUUCUAUAGGACCUCCAAAAAUGUGUUGAAUUUGCAUGACACAUAUUUUGACUUACAAGGCAAGUUUCAUAUAUGGGCGCCACAUAAUUAGCUUGUUCUACAAGCUACCAAUACAUGAGGCACAUGGAUAGCUUGUUGACCAAGUUUCUAACCUAUCAAUCAACUAAAAACAUAUGUAAAGUCAAAACAGUGUCUAAAAUACUUCUUGGAAGCUUCUUUAGAAAUUAUUAUGAAAUUAAUCUACUUUUAUCUAAUUCUACCUAUUCAUAUUACCUAGGUAACAAUUAUAGUAGAUAUAUAUCCAUGACAAAAUAUAUAAAUUCAAGUAAAGUUAAAAUUAUAUAUACAUAUAUAUAUGUCUUUUGAUUAUUAAUACAGCAUGAAAAAAAAAUAUAAUAAAAAAUAGAAAGAUUUCUAAUAAUACAUAAUAUCAUUUAAAAAAAUCUUACAAACAUAUUUAAGCAUUAUAAUUAAAUUAUUUUAAUAUUUUAACUACAUAAAAGAAUUGGUAAUCAUCUUUUAUUUAGUUUCUUAUAUGCAAUUAAAAAUAGAGAUUUAAAUCAAAAAUAUUAAUAGAAAAUUAGAAACAAAUAGACUGUAAUCAUAAAAUAUUUAAAUUAGAUAUAAUUAGAUAUUAUUAUAUAAACUAUAAUUAGAAAUACUUUUAUAAUUAAAAUUUUAACAUUAUUAAUUUAUAUAUCUUAUAUAAAAAGAUCAAUUGAUAUAUAUAUAUAUAUAUAUAUAUAUUUAUAUUUAAAAUAUUUCUAAUAUUUUUUUGAAAUGUUUUCAAAAAAAUUAUAUCAGUACAAGAUGCAUCAAAAGAACUUUGAAUUAUCACCAUAGAACAAUAAUUCUAGAACAUAUGAUAAAUACAUAUCUAAAAUCUUUAUGAAUAAAAUUUAUAAAAGACUUUUUUAUAUUUAAAUAUAAAUAUAAGAUAGAGUUUUAAUACUAAAAUUAAGAAAUAAUUUUUAUAAAGUGAUUUAGAUGAUUGAUAAAUCAAUAGAUAUUUAAGAAUUUAAAUGAUUUAUAAAUAUUUUAAUUGUAAGAAUAAAAAUUUCAAUAUAUGGAGUUGAUCAAAAGUCUUAAAAUAAAAACAAUAAGGUAUUAAAAAAGAAAAAAACUAAAGACAAAUAAAAGAAAAUGACUACCAAUUAUUAUCUUUGAAGAAAUAUCUAAAUAAAUAAAUGUUAUAAGUAUUAAUAAAGAAUUAAGGAAAGUAUUCCACAAAUAAAAACUUAUUUUAUAAACCAAGUAGCAAAGAAAUAAUACUAACCUUAAAAAAAUAUUAAAAAUAAAAAUUCUUUAAGAAAUGAUAAAGAAUCCUAAAAAAAAUUAAAAAUAGAGAUUCAAAACCUUAAAUCUUAAAUAAAUCCUAAUCAAAUUUUAAAUUCUAGAUAAAGCCGUAAUAAAAUUCUAGAUCAAAUUUUAAUCAAAUUCUAAUCAAAUCCUAAAUCCUAAUCAAAUCCUAAUCAAAUCUCAAUAAUAUCUAAAUAAAAUAUUAAUCAAAUAUUAAUCAAAUAUUAAUCAAAUCUUAAAUCCUAACCAAAAUUUCAGACCAAAUUCUUAUUAAAUACUAAAUCCUAACCAAAUCCUAAAUAAAUCCUAAAUAAUUCCAAAAUUUUUUCAAAUAAAUCAAAAAUCAAUUAUUAUCGUUUUUUUAUAAUUUUAAUAAAUAUUAUUUGAAUCAUUGAUUUUAACUAAAAUUUUACUCACAUCUCAAUCUACAAGCAAUUAACAAGCAUAGAAAUUUUGAAGAAAAUCAAAUCACCGAUUCAAAAGAAAAAGCUCCCUAAAUCACUUAGAUGUCAGUUACUCUCCUUUUCUAAACCAGAUAUUGAUAUUCCAAUAGUAAUUUUUCCUUGUUGAACUUUAAAAUUAAUUCAAAAAUUGAUUAACAUGUAGAUUUUAAAGUCUAAAUUUCUCUCACCAAAUUAUACUUCAAUGGAAUUGGUGGAUGUUAAGACAUUGUAAAACCCCUCACUAAUCCUAAAUUUUAAUUAUCUAAGACUAUAAUCCACAAAAACUCUCACAAUUAUUAAUAGAAUUAUUUAAUUAAUAUAAAAAAUUUAAAGACAUUUAAAAUAUACUAAAUCACAAAUUGAAAAAAAUUUAUUUGUAAAUAUAGCACAAUACUCACAAAAUCUUCAAAUUUGUGAUUUUUUUUUUUUUUUUUUUUUUUUUUUUUUUCUCAAAAUCCACCUCUACUAAAUACAUUUCUUAUUUUGAGAAGCCCUCAAAAUCUUAAUAUACCUUCAAAUCAUAUAAAAUCAACUCUCAAAAAUCCUUUCAUAAGUUUGCUCUCAAAUUCCAUUUUUUAAUCAACCAAAGAAUCCUAGAGUUGCCGUAGGUGCACAAUUAUGUACCUUUGGGUCUGAUUUUGACCUUGGUCCAAAAUUGGUCUUCUCUAGGUAUUAAUUCUUGAUAUUUUGAGAUAAUUUUUAUUAAAACCUAUUCUUAACUUUUUCUUAUAAAUACCUUCAUUAUUUAUUUACUUAAUUUAUUUUUAUUUGGCUCAUUUAUGCCUCUAUAAAGUAAGUAGAAGUCUCUUCUAUAAAGAGGUAGUAUUAGCAUUUAUUAAUUUUUGUAACCUCAUCUUUUAAUAUUUAUAUUCUUAAUAUAAUUUACUAAAAUAUUUUUAUUUAAGCUCCUCAUUAAUUAAUAUAUAUAUAUAUAUAUAUAUAUAUAUAAUUUCUAUAUUACUAUACAACACUAUAUUAAAUUAUAAAAUUGGAUGAAUAUUAAUCUAGUUGAGCUAUCAAUAAAGAUUAAUUGCAUUCAAAUGUAAAGCAUAUCCCAUCCUUGGUUAUACUUCUCAUCUCUAUGACUAAUAAAGAGGUUGAAAUCAUCUUAAAAUAUGAAAGGAUUUUGUGCUAGUACAUUUAUUGUCUAGAAUUGGAAGAUGAUGUACCUUAUUGUUCAAUAAAAUAAAAUCAAAAAAUUAAAAAAUUCCAAAAAUACCUUAGAUCCUCUCAUAAAAAUAAACCAACGAAUCUAAAGAAUAAUACCAUAGUUUAAUCAUCUCUAACCUUCUAAAUUCCAAUCAAUUCAAUCUCUCAAAUAUAAGGUUAAAUAUAUCAUGGAUACACUCACUCUUUACGUGGAAGCCUCAACCAUCUAGUAACAAAAAUAAUAUCUAUAUCUUCAUUAGAAGAUCUUGAUUCCUAGCUUGUAGUGGGAAAAGAUGAAAAAUCAAUCAAAUCAAAACCUUCAACAAUUAUCGUUGGUCCUUCCCUCCAAAAAAAUAUCUUUUGACAUUCAAUAUUAUAGAGAAAUCAAAUCGACUACAUUCAACUUCUCAAAUAUACUACGAGAAAGAAAAAAAAAAAAAAAAAAAAAAAAAAAAACUAUAUAUUUGGCUAAUCAUCUAUACUAUUGUAAAAAAAAAAUGUAUAGGUGAUCUUUAUUAUUAAUAAUUUACUAUUGGAAAUUGAUCCAAUGGAUUGAUCAAUGGCAACUUAUUAUACCAUGUACUUUCAUUAAUAGAAUUAUUACCUCCAAAAAAUUCUUUUUUCUUUGACAAAGCCACUCACUAGUGGACAGAGGCAAAAGAUUUAAAAAAUUGAACACAUCUAGAUUGAAACAUGGUUGUGGAAGACAAAUUCCAUCUUUAGAUAUUAGGACAAAUUUAAGAAUUUCUACCAAAAAUUAGAAAAGAGUUUCAAUUAUUUGGCACUACAAUCAAAGUAAAUCAAUCACAGAUUUAGAUUCUCUAAAUUGACCAAUUAUAAAGAAACUUAUAACAAGUGAUGAUCUUUCAAUGAAUCUUGAUAUAUUAUCAUAGACAUAUAUUUACUGUAAUUGUAUCAUGGAUAUAUAUUUAUUAUAAUUUUUUUAUAGAGAUAUAUUUACUAUAAUUAUUACUUAAGUAAUAUGAAUAGAUAGAAGUAGAUAAAAAUAAAUUAAUUUCAUAAUAUCUUUUAAAAAAGCUUCUUAGAAGCUUCAAAAAAAAUUCUUUGAUUUUAUAUAUGUUUGUAGUUGAUUGAUAGGUCAGAAACUUGGUCAAAAAAUUAACCACGUACCACACAUGUUGAUAGCUUGAAAAAUAAGCUAAUUGUGUGGCAUCCAUAUAGAAAACUUGCCUUAAAAAUUAAAAUAAAUAUUGUAUAAAGUCAAUACAUUUUGGAGGUCCUAUAGAAUAUUGCUACAUAGCUCCUAAGUAGACAGUAUAUAUAGAAGCAAGAGUGAAGCCUUCUUCACUCUUGUCAACUCUUUUCUUACUUUUAGUCUAGUUUCAAGAAGUCUCUAAUUUUCUUAUUUUUUGGCAAUAGCUAUUUUAUUUUCUUUUUAAUAUAUAUAUAUAUAUUUUUAUUUUUAUUUUUUCAUAUCUUUUUGAAAAAGUCUCACUUGUUUAUUUAUUUUAUUGAGUUCUUAUCUUUGAUAAAUUAAUAAGAGUACACUUACAAUAUCAAAGUUUUGUCUUUUCUUCAUUAAAAGUAGAUUAUUAAUUUCUUUUAAUAAGACAUAAGUAUAUUAGAAGUUAUGGAUUAUCUUCUUCUAAAUUGAUAUUAUUUUUAAUAUUUUUUUUUAUUCUCAAGUUCUUUCUUUUACUUAUCUUGAGCAAUAUUAGAUAUUUUUUUUAAGUGUUAUUAUGGUAGAGCUUUUUGAAAUGAAGAGUGCAAUGGUACAAAUGUAAGAAUGAUUGAUGGAAUUAAUGCCUGCAAUGUAAUAACUAAACUUACCACCAUAAAAAAGACCAAAAAUGACAGAAAGUAAAGAUAUAGAUAUGAUUGGAGUUUCUUCUAUAUUUACGUCAAAUUAUAUUUUUUUAUUUAUAAUAAAAUACCAUUAAAGUAUUAGAGAACUAAAAAUUGCCUUAUUUGAGAAGUUUGAUAGUUCAAGAUCAAAGUUUUGAGGAUUCAUCAAUUGUCAGCUCUCAAUUAUACUUUAAAAUUUAAAUUUUUAUUAUUUUCCUAUUUUAUGAUAAUUAAACAUGUUAGAUUAGGAUUUAUAUAAGUAAAAUUCAGUUUUAUAGAAUUUUUAGGAUUACAACCCCUCAUGGUAUAAAUCAUAGCCUAAUUCCUUGAAUUAGGUUAAUUAGGACUAAAGUGACAAGAGUUAGAAAAUUAGAAUAGCAACUUAGUUAGUUUAAUAAUUUAGAGGUUGUUAGUCAUUACUAUAAGGGUUGACUAAAAGCCAAUGAGUACGUCUAUAAUCAUUCACAUGAUUUAGGGGUUGGAAUUAUAAUUCUCUAAAAGAUUUAGGAAAGUUAGCAAUGGUAAUUUUGAAUUUUUCCUCCAAAUUUGGUAAAUUUAAGCAACAUGAUGGUUCUUCUACUUAAUGGGAGUCUCUUUAAUGCAAUGGUGGCACCGGAUUUACAUCGUGGAGUGAAGAAAAUAAGAUCAGCAACUUCUCCUUCAAAAUACAAGAGAAGCAAUGAAAUUCUCAUUUUGAAGAAUUUCACAAAAAAAUUGCCAAGAUCCUUAUAAGUAAAAACUUCCAUGGAAAUUAUAAUUGAGCAUGGAUUGGGGCAUGUGAGUAGUCGAUCUUAGCUUAAAAAGGUUUUUUGAACACAAUAGUGAAGUUAGAUUUACAAAAAAAUGCCUUCUUGACCACUUACAAGGGCCAUUAGCCUUGAUAACGAAAUUGACUCUUGGAUGAAUGAAGGCCAUAGAUCUAGAUUAGGGAUCUGAAAAAUCAAGGGUGGAGAUGUAGUCACCCUUCUACAAGCCUCCACUCAAUUGUAUAAGAGAGGCUUGGUUUUUCAAGCCCUCUCUCUCUCCUCUUUUGGUGAAGGAUGAAGCCAUACUAAAAUUUGGCCAAAAAUCCUAAUUUUAAUUUCAUUCAGAUUUUAAAUCUCAUUGUGAAUUUUGUGGGUGGAUGUGCAUGGAUUUCGAGUUGUGAAUGAUAGUCAUUAGGUCUUAAAACACGUUUCAUUGUGGUGAAUAGCUCCCUUGGCCUCCCAUUUACUUAAAGGGGUUUCAAGAGCCUCAGUUUUCCCUCCAUCAGUCAUUCAAUUGUUUUAGUUCCAAUGUGAUUUUUUUUGUGAUUAUAGCUAUUGUUGUUAGAUUUCUAACAAGGUAAGGCUCGCUCCAUUUGCAGUUGAACUGAAUUUUUGGUGAAAUUUUGAAUGUGAGGGGGUCGACUGCCUUUGUAGUUUGGAUUAUUCGAGUUUGGGAAGGCAUUUCUCAGUGCUUGAUAACUGGAUUCGUUUGAAAUUUUAGAAGCAUCAAGAUUUAUAAGCUAAGCUUUGAAGAGCACAAGUUUCGCUGAAUUUGAAGACAAUUUGAAUUUUUAGCGAAUUUCUAAGUGAAGGGGGUUGGUCGCCACGGCAGUUUGGAUCACUCAACUUCAAAGGAGCAAUUCUCACAACUGGAUCACUAGAUUGCAAUGAGAUUUGUUGGGGCAGGAGCACCUUUAAGUUAACCUUGCAACAAGUUGCAAAUCAUUCAAUUUGGAGCUAAUUAAAAAUUUUGGCGAAUUUUGGAGUAGAAGGGGGUCACUGCCUUCAAUCUUUGGCGUUGUCAAGGUACCUUCGCUUUUAUCCCUCUUAUUUUAUUUUUACUUUUAUCUUCACAGUAACUCGUAACCUCCACAUUUCAACUUUUGACUAAUAAAUUUUAACUCUUAACUUUUAACCUUUAAUAUUCUCACUUAAAUUUUUAAACUUUGAACUUUAAUUUUUGAAUUUAAUAUUUAACUUUAAUUUUAACUUUUAACUUUAACUUUUAACUUAAAAUUUUAAUUUUAACUUUCAACUUUAAUUUUUAACUUUAAUUUUUAACGUUAACUUUUAACUUUUAAUUUAAACUUAAGUUUUUAUUCUUAUUAUGAAUUAAUAAGAAAAACGUAAUUAAUUAAUUUUAGCAUUUUUUUGUGUGGUGAAUUUCAUCUGAUAUUUUAAUUUAAUAUUGGUAACCAUUGCUUGGAAGGUGUUAAUUUUAAUUGAAUUAUAAACACCCACAUUUUAAUUAACCUAACAAUUUCACAAUUGGGAGUUCUUCCAUUCUACCUCUUGAGCUCGUUGUGUAGUACUAAAUCCAUAGAGUGGUGGAUUUUAGGCUCACAUCAAUCAAGUACAAUUAGCAAUUGAACUUCAAUCUCAAAGCUAUCCAAUUCCAAGAUCAUAAGUAAGAUUUAUUGGAAUACUAUUUUUUGGUUUUGUGUUAUCAUAGUUUAUAACUUUUUUUUGAAUGACAUGAUCUAAUAUUAGAUAAUUUGGAAGCUUAUUUGGUGGAAUUUCAAUCUAUAUAUGAAAAUCAUGAUACAAUUUGUAUUGCAACAAAUAAGAUCUAUAUUUUGUGACAAAAAAAAUAAUUUGUAAUAUUAUAUGCUUAACAAUUUAGACAACUUAUGAUUGAUAUUAAAUAAAAUGAUGCUACAUUCAUUAAUUAAUUUUUUUAUAGAUUAUAAUAUUACAUAAAGAAAUUGCUAUUCAAUUUUUUUGACCUUCAAUGAUUAAGUCAAGAAAUUAAUUUUGAUGUAAAGUAUGAUAAUUGACUUUUUGAAUUUUAAUCUAAAAAUUGCAUAAAUAAGCCUCAAUAUUAUUACAAUUUAAUGGCAAUAUUAACAUCUUCUCAAUACAUACCUUUGAAAGUAGAAGAUAUGAAAAUUAAUAUAAUUUGUUUCAAACCUCAUAUUGUACUAGAAAAUACUCAUCAUUAUCAAGAAGAAUUAUAUUUAAAUUCUAGAGAAUCAAAGCACCUUGUUCAAUAUUGUGCGAAGAAGUGAUACAAUCAUAAAAUAAAAAGUACAACUAUCAAAAAAGAUAGUAUGUCAAAAAAUGAGUGUGUCGAGCUAUAAUACGGACCUUGUGUCAAGAACAAGAACUCAAUGAAAAAGCAAUUCAAACAAAUGAGCCUUCACUCAAAGAAAGAUAACAAAAUAUAAUUAAACAAGUAUGUAUAUUGAAAGAGAAACUGGAAUGGCUAUUGCCAAAAGACAAGAAAACUAGAGACCUUUGAAACUAGAUUGGAAGCAAGAAAGGAGUUGACAAGAGUGAAGAAGGCUUCACUCUUGUCUCUAUAUAUACUAUCUAACUAGGAGCUAUGUGGCGACGUUCUAUAGGACCUCCAAUAUGUGUUGACUUUGUAGGACACAUGCCUUGACUUACAAGGCAAGUUUUUCUACGUGUGGGCCACAUAAUUAGCUUGAUCUUCAAGUUAACAACAUGUGUGGUACAUGGCCAAGUUGUUAACUACGUUUCCAAUCUAAAAAGUCAAUUAAAGACACCUAUGAAGUCAAAGCAACAUCUAUGAAGCUUCUAGGAAGCUUCCAUAUUAAAUACUAUAAAAUUAACUUACUUUUACAUACUUUUACUUACUUCCACCUAUUUGUAUAUGUAAUUACUAGCUUAUAUGAGUAUAUCCAUGACAUUACUCCCCCUUCUAGGGACGAGUUUCACGAAGAGCGGUCACCAUAUGUUGAAAAAAUCUAUGAUGCGACGAAUUAUAUUUGCCACAUACUCUGAUCUUUGUUUUCUUCGAAGAUAAUUGAUAGGGCCUCUCAACCAUCAAUAGUGUCCUAUACCAGGGCAGGAAGACCACCUAGUUAUUUGAUCAUUGUUGAGGCCUUCAUAACUUCCUUCAAAUAGAACAUUUGGAACACCAGCAGGAGUUGUUCCUACUUCUAGCAAAAUCACCAAACAUCAGGAGUCCCUUCUCAAAUCGUGAUAUCUAACGCGUUGUAUCUCGCUAUCGAUUUGAGGAAGAACAUGUCAUUCUUGAAGAUCUUCAUCUCGAUUGCGUCGUCUUGAAGGUUGUAAUAAUAAUAAUAUCUCAUUCGACAGGUCAACAAAUGAAGGCUCUUGAGUCAAAUCCACUGGUUGUUGGUUUUCCAUCUCCUAAGCUUCACAACUACAAAGAAGCUACGAUCAAGGAUUGAAAGUAGAAUGUUAUCUUGCCUAGAUGUUGUUAUUUUUAUAAAGGUUUUCAUCUUAAUUUUGAUAGAUGUUGUUGACGAAAUGCCUCCACCGCCUUUACUGUAUUUGCAAGAUUCUUUAUUUGCUCCCAUGUGCAUUCACUAAUAUCAUAUCCGUGCCAAUAGACAAGAUAUUCCAAUUUAUUUUGGUGCUGCCUUGAAUCUAAGUCUUCUUCUACUUCAAACUCUUCAUUAUUGUCCACUUCUAUAGGAGGAGGUGGAGCUUGUCAUCUUCUUGGUAUGUCCAUUAUCUUAUAUGGUUGAAGAAGAGACACGUGGAAUAUUGGAUGGAUUUUUAUUGACUCUGGUAGAUAUAAACGAUAUACAAUUGGAUUGAUUUAUAUAAAAAUAGAAAAUGGUCCAAGCCUUCGAUAGUCCAACUUGUCACAAAGACGAGUGGUCUUGAUAUUGCGACGAAGUAGCCAUACCUUAUCACCCAAGUAUAAUGGUGGUUGUUCCUUUCGAUAGACAUCUGCAUUGACCUUUUGUUGUUCUUUAGCCUCUUUUAACAGCGCCUUCAUCAUUGCAUGUAGCUCUGAUAAAUGAAUCGCCAAAUCUUUUGCAAUAAGAUUAUUAACUUUUGAAAAGUCAAAAGUAUCAAGUCGUGGAAGAUAACCAUAAUUAGAAAAAAAAAAAAAAAAUGUUUGUUUUGUAGAAGAAUGUACCAUAUUAUUAUAAGCAAACUCUGCCAAUGGUAAAAGAGUUGUCCAAUCAUCUUAUUGGUAGUUAAUGGUACAUCUUAAAUAUUGCUCCAAAACUUGAUUAACACGCUCCGUUUGUCCAUUAGUUUGAGGAUGGAAUGUCGAAGAUAGUUCUAUAUCCACUUUUAGAAUCUUGAAAAGAGUCCGCCAAAAUCUUGAUACAAAUUAAAUUCUCCUAUCUGAUAUAAUAUCCUUGGAUAAUCCAUGAUAGCGAUAGAUAUUGUCAAGAAAGAGCUUAAUUGUUUCUUCACCUGUGACAGAUUUUGUACAUGGUACAAAAUAUGCCAUUUUGAUAAAACGAUCUACUAUCACGAAUAUAAAGUCAUAAGAACCUAAGAUUGAAAGAUCCGUGAUGAAGUCCAUAGAAACAGAAGACCAUGGUUGUUCAGGAAUGGAUAAUGGCUGAAGAAGUCGAAAAGGUCGAUGACGAGGAGUUUUUGAUCUUGAACAAAUAUCACAUGAUUAUAAAAAAUCUUUGACUGCCUUCCACAUUUGAAGUCACUAAAAAUCUCUAGAUAUCAGUUCCAAAGACUUAUUGUAUCCAAAAUAUCUUUCUCUUGGGAAGUCGUGAUGAGCUUGAAGAAUACGUAAACGUGCUUCUCCUUCUGGAACAUCUAGACAUCCUUCGAAAUAAAAUAGGUUAUUCUUGAAUUCAAAUUUAGAGGGAUCAUGAGAUUUAGAAGAAUUAUUCUUGAUAUCAUGAACAAGAGGGUCUGAAGACAUACUUAACUAGACUUACUUGAAAAAAGUUAAAUCAAUAGUCAAUGUUGAUUUUAUUGCUCGAAGAUGAAAUUGCUCUGGCAUCAAGAGAACCAUUCUUUGUUGCUCAAAAGCUGCAUCUCCUUCUUUUGGUGUAAGAUAAGAACGUCUAGACAAGGCAUUGGACAAACCUUAUUAUUUUCCUGGCCAAUAAGUGAUGAUGAACUCAAAUCUUGAUAAAGACAUAUUCCAACGAGCUUGGCGAUGAUUUAAUAUGCGUAUUGAGAUGAAAUACUCAAGGUUCUUGUGAUCCAUAUAUACAAUUACCAGACUGGAAGCACCUUCUAGAUAAUGACGCCAUUCUUGAAAAGAAUCCACAAUUGCAAGAAGUUCUUUAUCAUAGAUCUCAUAAUUGAUUUCUACUGUUGAGAAUUUUCUUGAAUGAAAGGCUACUAGAUGAAGUUUUUCAUCUGUUCCCAUUUGUGAUAAAAUCGCACCCAAAGCAAGGUCUGAUGCAUCUGUUUCCAUAAAGAAUGUUUUGAAAAAAUCAACACGAUACAAGAUUGGUGCAGAAAUAUACGUUGUCUUCAAAGAUUCAAAAGCAACUUCCGUUUUUUGAUUCCAUUGGAGUUUGUCUUUACAAUUCAAAUGUGUAAGUGGAGUUACAACUCGAGAGAAGUCCUUCAUAAAGAUUCGAUAGUAGUUGGCAAAUCCCAAAAAGUAUUGGACAUCUCUUAUCGUUUUUGGGAUCUUUCAAUCUAUAAUAGUUUGAACUUUCUUAGGAUCCAUCAUAAGUCCAUCAUUUGAAAUGAUGUAACCUAAGAAAUCGACUUCAGUAGUAUGAAAUACAUACUUUUCUAUCUUGGUAUAGAAUCCUGUAUCUCUUAGUUUUUGUAGCACAUGAUGACCAUGAAGUUUAUGUUCUUCUGGAUGCUUAGAAUAGAUCAAGAUGUCGUCUAGAUAACAGACUACAAAACCAUCCAAAAACUCUCAAAAAACAACAUUCAUUAGAUGUUGAAAAGCUGUUGGUACAUUUGUAAGUCCAAAAGGCAUGACGUUGUAUUCAAAAUGUCCAUACCUAGUUCGAAACGUAGUCUUCCAUUUAUCUCCUUCUUUGAUGCGUUGUCAAGGACAAGAACUCGAUGAAAAAAUAAUUCAGACAAGUGAGCCUUCACUCAAAGAGAGGUAACAAAAUAUAUAUAAAGAAGUAUAUAUAUUGAAAGAGAAACUGGAAUGGCUGUUGCCAAAAUACAAGAAAACUAGAGACCCUUGAAACUAGACUAGAAGUAAGAAAGGAGUUGACAAGAAUGAAGAAGCCUUCACUCUUGUCUCUAUAUAUAUUAUCUAACUAGGGGCUACGUGGUGACGUUCUAUAGGACCUCCAAUAUGUGUUGACUUUGUAGGACACAUGCCUUGACUUACAAGGCAAGUUUUUCUACGUGUGGGCCACAUAGUUAGCUUGAUCUUCAAGCUAACAACAUGUGUGGCACAUGGCCAACUUGUUGACCACGUUUCUAAUCCAAAAAGUCAAUUAAAGAUACCUAUGAAGUCAAAGCACCGUCUAGGAAGUUUCUAGGAAGCUUUUAUAUUAAAUAUUAUAGAAUUAACUUACUUUUAUCUAUUUUUACUUACUUCUACCUAUUUCUAUAUAUAAUUAUUAGCUUACAUGAUUAUGGCCGUGACAUUACCCCCCCUUCUAGAGACGGGUUCUACGAGGAGCGGUCAUCAUAUGUUGAAAAAAUCUAUGAUGCGACGAAUUGUAUUCGCCACAUACUCUGAUCUUUGUUCUCUUCGAAGAUGAUUGAUAGGGCCUCUCAACCAUCGGUAGUGUCCCAUACUAGGGCUGGAAGACCACCCAAUUAUUUGAUCAUUGUUGAGGCCUUCGUAACUUCCUUCGAAUAGAAUAUUCGGAACACCAUCAGGAGUUGUUCAUACUUCUAGCAAAAUCACCAAACAUCGAGAGUCCCUUCCGAAAUCGUGAUACCAAACGCGUUGUAUCUCACCAUCUAUUCGAGGAAGAACAUGUCGUUCUUGAAGAUCUUCAUCUCGAUUGUAUCGUCUUGAAGGUUGUGAUAAUCAUAAUGUCUCGUCCGGCAAGUCAGCAAAUGAAGGCUCUUGAGUUGAAUCCGCUGGUUGUUGGUUCUCCAUCUCUUGAGUGCCACUACUACAACGAAGCUAUGAACAAGAAUUUAAAGUAGAAUGUUAUCUUGCCUAGAUGUUGUUUCUUUGAUAAAGAAGGUUUUCAUCUUGAUUUUGAUAGAUAUCGUCAAUGAAAAGCCUCCACCGCCUUUGCUACAUUUGCAAGAUUUUUUAUUGGCUUCCAUGUGCAUUCACUAAUACCAUAUCCGCGCCAAUGGAUAAGAUAUUCUAAUUUAUUUCGGUGUCGCCUUGAAUCUAAGACUUCUUCUACUUCAAACUCUUCAUUAUUGUCCACUUCUAUAGGAGGAGGUGGAGCUUGUCGUCUUCUUGGUGUGUCUACUGUCUUGUAUGGUUCAAGAAGAGAUACGUGGAAUACUGCAUGGAUUUUCAUUGACUCCGGUAGAUGUAAACGAUAUGCAACUGGAUUGAUUUGUGCAGAAAUAGAAAAUGGUCCCAGCCUUCGAUAGUCCAACUUAUCACAAGGACAAGUGGUCUUGAUAUUGCGACGAAGUAGCCAUACCUUAUCACCCAAGAUGAAUGAUGGUUGUUCCUUUCAAUAGACAUCCGCAUUGGCCUUUUGUUGUUGUUGAGCAUCUUUUAACUGCGCCUUCAUCAUUGCAUGUAGCUCUGAUAAAUGAAUUGCCAAAUCUUUCGCAGCAUGAUUAUCAACUUUUAAAAAGUCAAAAGUAUCAAGUCGUAGAUGAUAACCAUAAUUAGCAAAGAAAGGUGUUUGUUUUAUAGAAGAGUGUACCGUAUUAUUGUAAGCAAACUCUGCCAAUGGCAAAAGAGUUGUCCAAUCAUCUUGUUGGUAAUUAAUGGUACAUCUUAAAUAUUGCUCCAAAACUUGAUUAACACGCUCCGUUUGUCCAUCAGUUUGAGGAUAGAAUGUCGAAGAUAGUUUUAUAUCUACUUUAAGAAUCUUGAAAAGAGUUCGCCAAAAUCUUGAUACAAAUUGAGUUCCUCUAUCUGAUAUAAUAUCCUUGGAUAAUCCAUGAUAGCGAUAGAUAUUGUCAAGAAAGAGCUUAGUUGUUUCUUCACCUGUGAUAGAUUUUGUACAUGGUACAAAAUGUGCCAUCUUGGUAAAACUAUCUACUAUCACGAAUAUAGAGUCAUAAGAACCUGAGAUUGGAAGAUUCGUGAUGAAGUCCAUAGAAACAGAAGACCAUGGUUGUUCUGGAAUGGGUAAUGGCUGAAGAAGUCCAAAAGAUCGAUGACGAGGAGUUUUCGAUCUUGAGCAAACUUCACAUGAUUGUACAAAAUCUUUAACUGCCUUCCACAUUUGAGGCCACCAGAAAUCCCUAGAUAUCAGCUCCAAAGUCUUAUUAUAUCUGAAAUAUCCUGCUGCUGGGAAGUCGUGACAAGCUUGAAGAACACGUAAACGAGCUUCUCCUUCUAGAACAUAUACGCGUCCUUCGAAAUAGAGUAGGUUGUUCUUGAAUUAAAAUUUAGAUGGAUCAUGAGAUUUAGAAGAAUUGUUCUUGAUAUCAUGAACAAGAGGAUCUGAAGACAUACUUAACUGGACUUGCUUAAAGAAAGUUAAAUCAAUAGUCAAUGUUGAUUAUAUUGCUCGAAGAUGAAAUUAUUCCAGCUUCAAGAGAACCGUUCUUUGUUGCUCAAAAGCUGCAUCUCCUUCUUUUGGUGCAAGAUAAGAACGUCUAGACAAGGCAUCAUAUAAACCUUAUCAUUUUCUUGGCCGAUAAGUGAUGAUGAACUCGAAUCUUGAUAAAGACAUGCUCCAACGAGCUUGGCGAUGAUUUAAUACGCGUGCUGACAUAAAAUAUUUGACGUUCUUGUGAUUCGUAUAUACGAUGACUGGACUAAAAGUGCCUUCUAGAUAAUGACGCCAUUCUUGAAAAGAAUCCACAAUUGCAAGAAGUUCUUUGUCGUGGAUCUCAUAAUUGAUUUCUGCUGCUGAGAAUUUUCUUAAAUGAAAGGCUACUGGAUGAAGUUUGUCAUUUGUUCCCAUUUGUGAUAAAACCGCACCAAGAGCAAAGUCCGAUGUAUCUGUUUCCAUAAAGAAUGCUUUGGAAAAAUCAACACGAUACAAGAUUGGUGCAGAAACAAACGCUGUCUUCAAAGAUUCAAAAGCAACUUCCGCUUCUUGAUUCCAUUGGAAUUUGUCUUUAUAAGUCAAACGUGUAAGUGGAGCUACAACUCGAGAGAAGUCUAUGAUGAAGAUCUAAUAGUAGUUGGCAAAUCCCAAAAAACAUUGGACAUCUCUUACUGUUUUUGGGAUCUUCCAAUCUAUAAUAGUUUGAACUUUCUUAAGAUGCAUCAUAAGUCCAUCAUUUGAAAUGAUGUAACCUAGGAAAUCGACUUGAGUAGUAUGGAAUACACACUGUUCUAUCUUGGCAUAGAGCCCUGCAUCUCUUAAUUUUUGUAACACACGACGAACAUGAAGUUCAUGUUCUUUUGGAUUCUUAGAAUAGAUCAAGAUGUCGUCUAGAUAACAUACCACAAAAUCGUCCAAAAACUCUCGAAAAACAUCAUUCAUUAGAUGUUGAAAAGCUGCGGGUUCAUUUGUAAGUCCAAAAGGCAUGACGUUGUAUUCAAAAUGUCCAUACCUAGUUCGAAACGCAAUCUUCCAUUCAUCUCCUUCUUUGAUGCGUACUAGAUUGUAUGCUCCUCGAAGAUCUAUUUUUGUAUAGAUCUUAGCUUGAUUCAGUUGAUCAAGAAGUCCAGAUAUUAAAGGUAGUAGAUACCUGUUUUUGAUGGUAAUCUUGUUGAGUCCUCAAUAAUCAACACACAUACGCAAUGAUCCAUCUUUUUUCUUCACAAAUAGAAUUGGAGCUCCUGCCGGAGAUUUAGAAUGGUGUAUGAAAUUCUCGGCUAGAUUUUCUUCAAUAUACUCCUUGAGUUCAAUCAACUCAUUUUGUGAUAAACUAUAGAUUGGUCCGAAUGGCGGUUGUGCUCCUUCUUGAAGGUCAAUUGAGCAAUCAUAGGGACGAUGUUCCGGGAGUGUGUCCGCAUUUUUUUUUUCGAAUACAUCUUGAAAUUCUUGAUAUUGGCUUGGAAUGCCACUUGAAGCCUUUUCAACAGUAGAAACGGGUGUAGCAUAAAUAAUGUAUGGUGAUUCUUUCAUAGCAGCAUACAAGAAAGCUUUUGCACCUAUAAAUAUGGGUUUAAUUGAACUAGACUUAUUACUCUCUACUUGCUUAACUACACUAUUAGUUAUACUUUCAGAGAAAGUGAGAGUUCAGAAAAUCCAGUCUAUUUGAGGGUUGUAUUUUCCUAACCACGAUAAACCUAAAAUGACUGGAUUAGAGGGAGAUCUAAUGAUAUUAAAUACUACAAAACUAUUAUGACCAUUGAUUAUUACUUCUAUAGGAAGGGUUUCGUGAGUAAUAUCUCGAGAAGACAAUAGACGACCAUCUAUGACUUCUACAUGAACAGGUUUAGUUUUCUUUACUAAAGAUAUGCUAUGUCCUUUAGUAAAUUCUUCAUCUAAAAAACAAGCUGAGGCUCCUAAAUCUAACAAGGCAGAGACUUUGUAAUGUUUAGGUCCUAAAAUAACAUUUAAUGUAAAACAAGGAGAGGGCUCUGAGGAAAGAAUAGGACCUUUAUUAGAAGUUGUGCAAGGUUCCAACCGCACGAUCCCUAUUGUAGCUGGACAAACUCGUUUUCCAACAUAUUCUCUUCUUUCACAGCCAUACUCCUCAUUUUGUGAUUGCGUUGUUUCUUUGGACAAUGUUGAGCAGUGUGCUUUGAUUCUCCACAAUAUAAACAUAAUCCUUCUUGACGACGACGAGACUUUUCUUGCUCAGUAAGAGGUUUGAAACGUACUGCAUCAAUUUGCAUAUCCUCUACUUCCGAAUGUAUGUGUUGAAGAGAUGUUGGUGUUGCCAUUGAAUUAUAGUAACGUUGAGGUCCACUUGUACGGUUCUCAGAUCAGAAUUCAAAAAGGCGAUUGUCACACUUCACAACAAAGUCAAUUGCUUGACUCAAUGUUUGAGGAUCAAGUAAGUUGAGCAUUAAUUUUUUUACCUCAUAUUGUAAUCCGCAGAAAAAUUGACUAAUAAGUGCAGCAUCAUCUCACUUGAUAUCAGUUGUAAGUUGUCAAAAUUAUGAAGCAUAUAACGUUAUUGAUCGAUUGCCUUGUCAUAAAAUACGGAUUUUAUUGGUUGCAACACAAAUUGCAUCAUGUUCUCCAUACAUGGAUCGAAACUCUGCCAAAAAAGUCUCUAGAUUAUCCAAUAUUGGAUCUCGUCAUUUAAGAAAAGAUAAAAUCUAUGAUAGUGCCGAACCUGAAAGAAGCGUACCAAUGAAUCUAACUUGUGAUCCUGGAGUUGGAUAGCUUUGGAGUUGAAGUUCAAUCACAAGUUGCACUUGAUUGAUAAAUCCUCGAAACUUGGAUCUGGUGCCAUCAAACUUCUUGGGUAGGGCAAUUCUUGGUUCUCUAACAUUUGAAGGGCGUUCCAUCAUAGGAAAAAAGACAUGGUUUGAUGUAGAUGUUGAAGCAGUUCCAACCAUUUCUAUAUCUUCACUUCCUGUCAAUCUUGUUGCUCCUUGUGGUGGUAAAUUGAGUUGAUGCAUCGCAAGCAUUAACUCCCUCAAUUGCUCUUGCAUUUGUGCCAUUGCAUUCUUCAUUUCAACAUGUUCUGCCAUGAUAAUACUUAGAAGAGAGAAGAUGUCUAAUAUCGCUCAAGACAAAUAGAAGAGAGGACUUGCGGACAAAGAAAAUACUAAGGACAAUAUCAGUUUAGAAGAGGGUAAUCUGUAACUUCUAAUACGCUUAUAUCUUAUCAAGAAAAAAGGGUAAUCCACUCUUAAUCAAGAUUAGACAAAGCUCUGAUAUUGUAGGUGUAUUCUUGUCAAUCUGUCAAGGACAAGAACUCGAUGAAAAAAUAAUUCAAACAAGUGAGCCUUCAUUCAAAGAAAGAUAAUAAAAUAUAUAUAAACAAGUAUAUAUAUUGAAAGUGAAACUGGAAUGGCUAUUGCCAAAAGACAAGAAAACUAGAGACCCUUGAAACUAGACUAGAAGCAAGAAAGGAGUUGACAAGAGUGAAGAAGCCUUCACUCUUGUCUCUAUAUAUAUUAUCUAACUCAGGGCUACGUAGCAAUGUUCUAUAGGGCCUCCAAUAUGUGUUGACUUUGUAGGACACAUGCCUUGACUUAUAAGGCAAGUUUUUCUACGUGUGGGCCACAUAGUUAGCUUGAUCUUCAAGCUAAGAACAUGUGUGGCACAUGGCCAACUUGUUGACCACGUUUCUAAUCCAAAAAGUCAAUUAAAGACACCUAUGAAGUCAAAGCAGCAUCUAGGAAGCUUCUAAGAAGCUUUCAUAUUAAAUAUUAUAGAAUUAACUUACUUUUACUUACUUUUACUUACUUCUAUCAUUUGUAUAUAUAAUUAUUAGCUUACAUGAUUAUGGCCGUGACAUGCGUGCUAAAUUGUAUGCUCCCCGAAGAUCUAUUUUUGUAUAGAUCUUAGCUUGAUUCAGCUGAUCAAGAAGUCCAGAUAUUAAAGAUAGUGGAUACUUGUUUUUGAUGGUAAUCUUAUUGAGUCCUCGAUAAUCAAUACACAUCCGCAAUGAUCUAUCUUUUUUCUUUACAAAUAGAAUUGGAGCUCCUAUCAAAAAUUUAGAAUGGUAUAUAAAAUUCUUGGCUAGAUUUUCUUCAAUUUAUUCCUUGAGUUCAGUCAACUCAUUUUGUGAUAAACUGUAGAUUGGUCCAAAUGGUGGUUGUGCUCUUUUUUGAAGGUCAAUUGAGUAAUCAUAGGGACGAUGUUUCGAGAGUGUAUCCGCAUUCUUUUUUGUUGAAUACAUCUUGAAAUUCUUCAUAUUGGCUUCGAAUGCCACUUGAAGUCUUUCCUCCAGUAGAAAUAGGUGUGGCAUAAAUAAUAUAUGGUGAUUCUUUCAUAGCAGCAUGCAAGAAAGCUUUUACACCUAUAAAUACGGGUUUAAUUGAACUGGACUUAUGACUCUCUACUUGAUUAACUACACUGUUAGUUAUAUUUUUACAGAAAGUAAGAGUUUGGGAAAUCCAAUCUAUUUGAGGGUUGUAUUUUUCUAACCACGAUAAAUCUAAAAUGAGUGGAUUAGAGGGAGAUCUAAUGAUAUUAAAUACUACAAAGCUAUUAUGACCAUUGAUUAUUACUUCUAUAAGAAGGGUUUUGUAAGUAAUAUCUCCAGAAGACAAUGGACGACCAUCUAUAACUUCUACAUGAACAAGUUUAGUUUUCUUUACUAAAGAUAUGCUAUAUCUUUUAGUAAAUUCUUUAUCUAAGAAACACGCUGAGGCUAUGAAUCUAAUAAGGUAGAGGCUUUGUAAUAUUUAGGUCCUAAAAUAAUAUUUAAUGUAAAACAAGGAGAGGGCUCUGAGGAGAGAAUAGGACCUUUACUAGAUAUUGUACAAGGUUCCAACCGCACAGUCUCUAUUGUAGUUGGACAAACUUGUUUUUCGACAAAUUAUUUUUUUUAUUAGCCAUACUCCUCAUUUUGUGGUUCCAUCAUUUCUUUGGAUAAUGUUGAGCAGUGUGCUUUGAUUCUCCAUAAUAUAAACAUAAUCCUUCUUGACGACGACGAGUCUUUUCUUGCUUAGUAAGAGGUUUGAAAUAUACUGCAUCAAUUUGCAUAUCCUCUACUUCCGUAUAUAUGUAUUGAAGAGGUGUUGGUACUGCCAUUGAAUUAUAGUAAUGUUGAGGUCCACUUGUACGGUUCUCAUAUCGAAAUUCAAAAAGGCGAUUGUCACACUUCACAACAAAGUCAAUUGCUUGACUCAAUGUUUGAGGAUCAAGUGAGUUGAGCAUUAAUUUUUUUACCUCAUAUUGUAAUCUAUAGAGAAAUUGGCUAAUAAGUGCAACAUCAUUCCACUUGAUAUCAGUUACAAGUUGUCAAAAUUGUAAAGCAUAUAAUGUUACUGAUCGAUUGUCUUGUUGUAAAAUACAGAUCUUAUUGGUUACAACACGAAUUGCAUCAUGUUUUCCAUACAUGGAUCAAAACUCCACUAAAAAAGCCUCUAGAUUAUUCAAUAGUGGAUCUCGUCAUUCAAGAAAAGAUGAAAACCACGAUAGUACUGAACCUGAAAGAAGCGUACCAAAGAAUCUUACUUGCAAUCAUGAAGUUAGAUAGCUUUGGGAUUGAAGUUCAAUCACAAGUUACACUUGAUUAAUAAAUCUUUGAAACUUAGAACUGGUGCCAUCAAACUUCUCGGAUAUGGCAAUUCUUGGUUCACUAAUACUGGAAGGGCGUUCCACCAUAGGAGAAAAGACAUAGUUUGGUGCAAAUGUUGAAGCAAUUCCAACCAUUUCUAUAUCUUCACUUCCUGCCAAUCUUGUUGCUCUUUGUGGUGGUAAAUUGAGUUGAUGCAUUGGAAGCAUUAACUCCCUCAAUUGCUCUUACAUUUGUACUAUUGCACUCUUCAUUUCAACAUGUUCUGCCAUGAUAAUACUUAGAAAAGAGAAGAUGUCUAAUAUCGCUCAAGACAAAUAGAAGAGAGGACUUAAGAAGAAAGAAAAUACUAAGGACAAUAUCAGUUUAGAAGAGGGUAAUCCGUAACUUCUAAUAUGCUUAUAACUUAUCAAAAAAAAGGGAUAAUCCACUCUUAAUCAAGAUUAGACAAAGCUCUGAUAUUGUAGGUGUAUUCUUGUCAAUCUGUCAAGGAUAAGAACUCGGUGAAAAAAUAAUUCAGACAAGUGAGCCUUCACUUAAAGAAAGGUAACAAAAUAUAAUUAAACAAGUAUGUAUAUUGAAAGAAAAAUUGGGAUGGCUAUUGCCAAAAGACAAGAAAACUAGAGACCCUUAAAACUAGACUAGAAGCAAGAAAGGAGUUGACAAGAGUGAAGAAGCCUUCACUCUUGUCUUUAUAUAUACUAUCUAACUAGGGACUACGUGGCGACAUUCUAUAGGACCUCCAAUAUGUGUUGACUUUGUAGGACACAUGCCUUGACUUACAAGGCAAGUUUUUCUACGUGUGGGCUAUAUAGUUAGCUUGAUCUUCAAGCUAACAACAUGUGUGGCACAUGGCCAACUUGUUGACCAUAUUUCUAAUCCAAAUAGCCAAUUAAAGACACCUAUGAAGUCAAAGCAACGCCUAUGAAGCUUCUAAGAAACUUCCAUAUUAAAUAUUAUAGAAUUAACUUACUUUUAUCUACUUUUAUUUACUUCUACCUAUUUAUAUAUGUAAUUACUAGCUUACAUGAGUAUAUCUAUGACACCUUGCAGUUGAAACCUUACACAACACCUUCUGAAGGUCAUAUUUUCUUCCAAAAUCCUCUCUUUGUUUUAUAAUAGAUAUUAGAUUAGAACUUAAAUAUCAAAAAUCUUCUACCUUGCUAUAUUUAAGAGCCUCAACUUAUUUUUUAGAUAAAAUAUUUAUUAAAAGGCAUAAUAUAACUUUAAUAGAUAAAACAAAAUAUGUUCAUAUAGAAGUCAUAGAUAGUCAUUUGUUGUCCUCUAGAGAAAUUAUUCAUAAUCUUUUUUUUUAAAAGUAGUAAUUAAUAGUCAUAAUAGUUUUGUGGUAUUUAAUAUUAUUAGAUUUCUUUCUAAUCUAAUUAUUUUAAGUUUAUUAUGAUUGAAAAAAUACAAUCCUUAAAUAGAUCAGAUUUCUUGUAGUUUUGAUAUUUUUGAAAGUAUAACUAAGAGUGUAAUUAAUGAAAUAAAAAUUCAUAAGACUAAUACAACCAAAUGUAUAUUUGUAGAUGCAAGAAUUUUCUUACAUGUUGCAAAAAAAGAACCACCUUGUGUCAUUUAUGCCACACUUUUUUUAAUAGUAGAAAGUCUUCAAAUGGCAUUCUUAGCCAAUAUUAAGAUUUUCAAGAUGUAUUUGAGAAGAAAAAUGUAGAUAUUCUUUUGAAACAUUGUUUCUAUAAUUACUCAAUUGACCUUCAAGAAGGCUCUCAACCACCAUUUGGAUCAAUCUAUAGUUUAUUAUAAAAUGAAUUGGCAAAAUUUAAAGAGAAUAUUGAAGAAAAUUUUGCCAAAACUUCAUAUGCCAUUUGAAAUCUCUAGCAAGAGCUCCAAUUUUAUUUGUAAAUAAAAAAGAUGGAUCAUUUUAGAUGUGUCAAUUAUCCAAAGCUUAACAAGGUCACUAUUAAAAAUAAAUAACUACUACCUUUGAUACUUAGAUUUUUUGAACAAUUGAAUCAAACUAAGAUCUAUAUAAAAAUAGAUCUAUGAGGGACAUACAAUCUAAUAUGCAUCAAAGAAAGAAAUGAAUAGGAGAUUAUAUUUUGAAUACAUCAUUUCAAAUGAUGAACUUAUAAUGGAUCAUAAGAAAGUUUAAAUUAUUAUGCAUUAGAAGAUGUCAAAAAUAAUAAAAGAUAUCCAAUGCUUUUUAGAAUUUAUGAACUACUAUCAAAUCUUCUUUGAAGACUUCUUUCAAGUUAUAGUUCUACUUAUAUAUUUGACUUUUAAAGACAAACUUCUAUGGAAUUAAGAAGUAGAAGCAAUAUUUGAAGCUUUGAAGACAACCUUUGUUUUUGCAAUAAUUUUGUAUCACAUCGACUUUUUUAAGUCACUUUUUAUGAAAAUUGAUGCAUCAAACUUUGCUUUAGGUGUUGUACUAUCACAAAUGGGAACAAAUGAUAAAUUUUAGUCAAUAGCUUUUCAUUCCAAAAAAAUUUUAGCAAUUGAGAUCAACUACAAGAUCCGUAAUAAAGAAAUUUUUAUAAUUGUGGAUUUAUUUCAAGAAUAGAAUCAUUAUCUAGAAGGCACUUUUAGUCCAAUCAUUGUAUAUACACAUCACAAAAAUCUUAAGUAUCUUAUGUUUGAAUACAUUUUGAAUUGUUGUCAAGUUUGCUAAAUCAUAUUCUUGUCGAGAUUCAAAUUUAAAAUCAGUUAUCAACCAAAAAAAUAAAAAGGUUUAUUAGACACACUCUCUAAAUAAUAUUAUCUUGUAGCAAAAGAAAUAGAUGCUACUUUUAAUUAAUGACAAAGAAUUUUCUUGAAGCCAAAGAAUCUUCACCUUUGAGUAAUGAAAUCAAUACUAAUUAUCGAUUUAACUUUUAUUAAGCAAUUUCAAUCAAGUAUGUCUUCUAAUUAUCUUAUUUGUAAUAUUAAGAAAAAUAUUUCAAAGUAUUAUAAUUUUUUUAAGUUUGAAUUCAAGAAUAAUCUAUUAUAUUUUGAGAUACACUUAUAUAUUCUAGAAGAUGAAGUUUAAUUAUGUGUUUAUUAAGCUCGUCAAAAUUUUCUAACAAUAAGAUAUUUUAGAUAUAAUAAGAUUUUGGAGCUAAUAUCUAGAGAUUUUUAGUAGCUCUCAAUGUAGAUGGUACUCAAAUAUUGUGUACAAUUUUGUGAUGUUUUUUCAUGAUAAAAAAUUCCUUGUUAUCAACCAUAAAGACUUCUUUAGCCAUUCUCCAUUUUAGAAUAACCAUGGUCUACUAUUUCUAUGGAUUUUAUCGUAGAUCUUUUUGUCUUAAGUUCUUAUGACUCUAUAUUUGUGAUAAUAGAUUGUUUCACUAAAAUGGUACAUUUUGUACUACAUACAAAAUCUAUCACAAGUAAAGAAACAACUAAGUUUUUUCUUGAUAACAUCUAUUGCUGUCAUCGAUUAUUUUAAAAAUUUAUCUGAUAGAGAAACUUGAUUUGUAUCAAGAUUUUGAAAAAUACUUUUGAAGAUUUUAAAGGUAGAAAAAAACUAUCUUUGACUUUCUAUCUUGAAAAUGAUCGACAAACAAAGCAUAUAAAUCAAGUUUUGGAGUAAUAUUUGAGAUAUAAUAUUAGCUAUUAACAAGAUGAUUUGAUAAUUCUUUUAUUAUUGGUAGAGCUUUUUUUUAUAAUAACAUGAUAUAUUUUUCUAUGCAACAAAUACUUUUCUUUGCUAAUUAUGGUUAUCAUCCACGACAUGAUGCUUUUGACUUUUCAAAAAUUUAUAAUCUUGUAGUAAAAGAUUUGGUAAAUCAUUUAUCUAAGUUAUAUACAAUAAUAAAGGUAUGACUAAAAGAGGCCCAAGAAUAAUAAAAGAACAAUCGAAGUGCCUAUUGUAAAGAAUAACUUCAUUUUUACAUUGGUGAUAAGUUAUGGUUGCUUCAUUGUAAUAUUAAAACUACUUGUCUUUGUAAUAAGUUGGAUUAUUAUACACUCAAAUCAUUUUUCUAUUUAUAAAUAAGUUAAUCCAAUUGUUUAUUGAUUACAUCUACCAAAGUCUACACAAAUCCAUCUUGUAUUUCAAGUAUCUUUUUUGGAGCCAUAUAAGAUAGUAAAUAUCUCAAGAAGAAGAUAAAUAUGACCGCCUCUUAUAGAAAUGAGUAAUAAUAAAGAAUUUGAGGUAGAAGAAGUCUUAGACUCAAGGCAGCCCUAACUUAGGUUUGAAUAUCUUAUUCAUUAGUAUGGUGUCAUAUUACAUGAAGUGUUGCUUGAGAGUGUACUAGGCACCUAACUGUAGAAGAUAGAAUGAAAAUUGUAAUAACAAAAUUUUAAUUCUAAUAGAAUACUAAAUAAACUCUAAUUAAACCUUAAUAAUAUUAAACAAGCUUUAAUCAAAUGCAAAAGAAAUCUUAAAGAAAUUACAAAAGAAAUAAUAAAAAAUCUUAAAAGAAUUGAAAUAUAAUCUACAAUAAAUUUUAAAAGAAUCCUUAAGAAAUCCUAAAAAAUAUUAAAAUAAUUAAAAUAUAUCUUAAAUAAAUCUCAAUCAAGUUCUAAUUUAAUCCUAAUUAAAAUCCUAAUGGACUUCAAUCAAAUCUUAUACAAAUCCUAAAUCCUAAAUCAAAUCCUAGACAAAUCUUAAAUUCUAAACCAAAUCUUAAGUGAAUCCUAAAUCCUAAAUCCUAAAUCCAACCCUAAUCAAACUCUAGCCAAGCUCUAAAUUUUAAAUCAAAUCCAAAAUAAAUUUUAAAUCCUAAACUAAAUCCUAAUCAAAUCCUAAUCAAACUCUAAAUUUGAAAUCAAAUCCUAAAGCAAAUCCUAACCAAAUCCUAAAUCCUAAACCAAAUCCUAAUCAAAUCCUAAACCCUAAACCAAAUCUUAAUGUAGUUUAGAACCUUGAUAUCUUUUGAUUAAAUUAUUGAUCUUGUUUAAAAUUUUAUACACCUUUCAAUCUCUUUGUUACAAACAAGUGCAAUAAAUUUGAAGACAAUUGCACUUACCAAAUAGAAAAAAAAAAAAAAUCCUAAUAUUGGAUUUAUGAUUGGCUUUCAAGUCCUAACAGAAAAUAGAUUUCAAGCAGACUUAAGAGGUUUUAAACACAUUGGAGCUCAGCCAAACUAUCCCUAGCCAGCCAUGUUUUGAUUGCCAACUAAGUCUUCCUUGCCUUAGUAUGGUACGUUUCAUACUACUAGAACCUUCAUUUACUCACCAUCAAAAAAGCGAUGGUACUUAUAAGAAAUUACAUUGGAUCAAGAGAAAAUGGAAAACGUUCGUGCCUGGCCAAGGUCGGAUGGAGUUCUUUGAUACAAACACAAAAAAUGGGAGGCCUUAAACUUCUUGACCUGAGUAUGCAAAUGCAUGCACUGAUGGUCAAAUUAUUUAUCCGUGGUCUCACACCGGGCACUGCCCCCUAGCAAGUCCUCCUCUAGCACAGAAUUAAUUCUCUGCGACCAAAGAAAGCAGGAAGCUGGCCACCAAAUCUUCAUUUCAUAUUAAACACAAACGCAGUCCAUGGAUCCGUCUCUGACCUCUGGAGGGCAGUGUGGAAAUUUUAUCCCGCAUUACCACACCCAAGCGACUGCAGCUCCAGUUCAAGCAACUCACACUUCAAGAAGUUGAGCAGAAGGAUGUCAUUCAAUUACUUUGGGACGCCAACAAACCAGCAAAAUUACAGACAUUCCUGUGGCAAGUGAAUUCUGGUGGCCUCUCAACCGGCAGUAGGUGCAAAGUCAUAAGUUUUCCUCCCAGAUGCAACUACUGCGAGGUGAAUAUUGGGGAAAUCCUGGAACACUGCCUCCGCACAUGCAAAUUUGCGAGAAGGACUUGGUAGUCUUUCAGUGGAGUCUGGAGCGCCAUGGGCACGACACCAACUCUUUUCUGGAAAGAAAUGGUAUCCCGUAUACCCCCAGGUGUACGCUUGGAGCAAGGUUACCAACCUGGAACCAGCACUAGAAGCUUGGGAGGCAAUGUGCUACGCGCAGCAAUCCUAUGGCAUCUUUGGUGCGCCCCUUGCAGAUUUAUUUUUACCCAAGAACCUUUAAAAUGAGCAUGAAAUAUGCCACCUCGCAUGGCUAGAAACAAUCUACGCAGGGAUGGCUCGACAUAACCAUAUUCUCAAGUAUUACAACAAAUGCAGAGACUCCAGAAAAUCGACUAUCAGCAAGGAGUUAAUGAUACUUGGUGUAGGAAUGAGGUACUCUGUGCUCGAGGUUUUCAUUCACCCAGAUGGAAACUCGCCCCUACACUCAUAAAUCCACCAACCCUCCCCGGGACCCCGGAUUAAAAUGUAUUCUUUUUUUAAAAAAAAAAACCACCGUUACUUUCCAAAAAAAAAAAAAAACGGCUAAGAGAUAUAUAUAAUUUAGAGAGGGAGGGAGGGAGGGAUAGAGGCGGCAUCCCCUGAGCAGGCAGACCAGGAGAGAUGGGCUCUGCAGGUGGGUAGGUAUGGAUAAGAGCAAUCCAGCCUCCACCUUGUCGUGGUGCUGAAAAGACAAAGGUAAAGCAGAAGCAAAAGAGAAAACAAAACACAACAAAAUACAAAAUAAUAAAAAAGUAGGGAGGGAGGGAUAUGGAAAAUCCCAUUUGGCCCCAGAGUCUGUUCAGCACAGCACCACCACCAUCUCCCUCCCACUUGUAGUUAGUGGUGGUUGCAGACACAGCCCUGCAGCAUCCCCAGUGAUGGCAGAGACCAAAGAGGAAGAGGGAGAAAGAAAGAGUGAGUGGAAAGAGAGAAAGUGGUAAGAGAGAGAGAGCGCGCGUGGCUGAGUGGCGGGGGGGGGGUGGGUGGGGCGUGGGGAUGCUGAGCUGGACACUCUGUUGUUGCCAGCUCAGCGGGCAGUCGUGCGAGGGUAGGUGGGGUCCAUAUCAGCAUCAGGGAAAGCGGGGGGGAGUGGGGGCGUAAAGGCAGACCAAAAGGGGAGCCUUUUCUUCCACGCAGCCUUCCUGUCGGAUCCCUCCACCCCCUCGGGGAGCAGCACCACUCAACUCCACCCAUGCCAGAAGUCUCUCUCAUGAACGAAUGAACGCGCUAUAUGAUGGAUGAAUGAAAGAAUGAAUCAAUGAAUGGAUAAUUAAUACUGUAACUCAUUCAUCCACUUCGCCCUUCCCCAUAUGUUCAUCCUACAUAUCUAUCCAUCUAUCCAUCCGUUCAUUCAUCCAUCCAAUAACAAGAUGGGUUGUGAGAAAAGCCUGCUCGUCGUUUAUCCCACACAACCAACACUAGACUACGACUACAACUACAUUUCACUACACUACACUGCGAGAGAGAGAGAGAGGGAGACCCCACACAACAACAACAAAAAGCUUGCUCUGUGUUGUUGGUGCUGCCCUGCCCUCCCUCCUGUCAUUGGUUUGUUUGUCUUGUUCUGCCAAGGGUGCUUCUCGCUGUUUUAUUUCUCAGUUGUAUUCUUGUUUGUAUGUACUGUGCAUGUGCUGCUGCGUAUUUGUAAGUGUGUGUGUGUUCAAUGCAAUGAAUGAAUGAAUGAAUGAAUGCCCAGUUGAGGCAGCAGCUGGUUGCACAAAAUAAGGAGGGGAGGUGGGUAGAGGAGGUGGGGUUGACGUGGUUGGCACACACACGAGGUGAGUGGGUGAGAAUGAGUGUGAGUGAGUGAGUGAGUGCGACUGACCCAGCAGCUGCAAUGGUGAGUGAAUGAAUGAAUAAAUGAAUAAAUGAAUAGAGCGCCGCAGACUGGAUUAUUGUUAUUAUUAUUGUUUCCCCCUCUUUCUUCCCUCCAUGUUUCCUUUUUUGUUGUUGUUGUUGCUGGUCUCGUGAGGAGAGGCUUUUUGUCGGGUGAGGAAUUUCAGGCUGUCGCGGUUCUGAAGAGGGAGGGGGCGGGGAUUUGAAGGUCCCGAGGUGGAGAAAAAUAAACCAAAAACCAGAAAGGAGGGAGAUGCAGAAGAAAACGACGACGAGAGCUCUAAAAAUAAGCUACGGCGUGCUUCCAGCGGAAGCGAAAAAUCACACCCAUUCUCAUCAUAUAGGCACAGAAAAAGAAGGGCAAUCUGGUGCCCACUCAUGCGCAUGAAGGGAGACAUACAGACACAGCGAGGUGGGGUAGCAGAGGAUUUUUUCUUUUCUUUUGGCCUUUACGCAUCCGUGAAUGAAUGCUCACACACACAGAUGAAUAAUUAACUGAGCUGGUCACACAUAGUAAUGGUCUUUUAUUUCCUUUUGUCAUCUUUUCUAAUUUUUGUACUCCAGAAAGUGGAAUCUUUGCAUCACUUUGUCAGGUCUUUCUUUGGACUGAAGGGGAUCUUAUUGUCGGUUUCUUUGUCUAUUUACGAGAUCAAAAGCCCGGGAUCCAGGUCGGGAUGUCACGACAAGCUUAGCCUUUUCCUCGUUUUCGCCAUAUUGUUAAUUAGCAAGUCUUGCUAGCUGUCAAAAGGACAUACUUCUUAAGAUGUUAUUCAAAACUAAUGAGGCGGCACCAUCUGGUGGGUUCUUAAUGGAUCCAUUUAUUUGGAGUUUUCAUAGCAGUUACUAUCCGGUAGUUUAACCUAAAAUAAUACACGCUAAAAUUUCAAACACAAAAAUAUUAGCAAUCUGUGCUUGCAUGUGUAAACUACGCAAUCAGUGGAGUUCUGAUACCCCUUUCCACUUAUCGUUGGUUUUUUAUUUUAUUUUAUUUUAAAUAAUCCUGUUUUUUUCUGUUUUAGCUUGGAUCCCACAACCAUAGCCUAACAACUCACUAUAGCAUCCAAGCUGCCAUAAGAGAGAACUGUGCAAAAGCACACAUGUCUUUUUGUGGUUUAUGCUGUAACUCCCUUCUCUGUCCAACCUCAUAAGAGCAUGGCCACCAGUGGCACCAUCGGGCACCCACGCUCCCCCGCCAUCAGAAAGUUCCCCACCAACGCUCGCUCGAGGGCGGGGGUGAGAGCGGCCACGCCAGAUUUGGGUGUUUGACCGCCAGCCUGCCGUGCAAACAACCUGCUUUGGCCGGGCCCGUCCUUGCAGUGGGGCCCAGUCGGUAGCCCGUAACCGGCCGCGACGUGGGGCUGGGCGUGGAGGCUGCCCACCACCCAGCGGGGUGGUCGGGUAAUCUCUAAUAAUCCAAUCAAACUUUAACCUAUCGAAAUAAAUUUUAAAAAUUUUCAUUAAAGAAAUACUAAAUAAAAAAAACCUAAUAUAAUCCUAAUUGAAAUUCUAAUUGAAUCUUAACCAAAUCCUAUAUCAAAUACUAAUGAAACUCCAAUGAAAUUCUAAACCCUAAACAAAUCCUAAACAAGUUCUAAACCAAGCUCUAAGCAAACUCUAACCGUAACCAAAUCUUCAACCAAAUUCUAAUCAAAUUCUAGAGCAUAAAAAAAUUCUUUACACAUCCUAUAACAAAAUAGAACUUCAACAACUAUUGAUCAAACCAUUGAUAUUAGUUCAAAAUUUACACAAUUCUUAAUAUCUUAAUUAAGAACAAGCUCAAGAAAGAUGAAAUCAAUUGCACUUACCAAUUGACAGAAAUGCAAGAUAAUCCAAUUGGGUGUUGGACAGCCUCCUACUCCGAUGUAAAUGCUAAACUUCUAAUAUCAAUAUUUCAUUAUUGAACCAUUGAAUUGCUCUCAAAUUUCACUUGAAAUAUUGGAAAUCGAAUCUAGCAUCUAUAUAAAAAUAUUUUACUUCAAUCCAAUUAACAGAUUACUGAAGAUCAUAGAAAUACUUACUAACCCUCAAACACUAAUUUUUGAGACCUCAACCCACAAAAAUCUUCACAUACUUCAAUUUAAUUUAUUGAUUGCCCUCAAACUUUGCAACACAUUCAUAACUAGCAUACCAACAUACUAUCCAAAAUUCAUCUAUACAUACACCACAAAAUUCAAAAAACCUUCAAAUUUAUAAACAUAUUUUUAUUUCUAAAAUCAAAACCAAUUGAGAACAUUAUCAACUUUAAAAAUCCUUCAAAAACUCAAUAAUGAUCCAAUUGACAUAAAACCAAUGCUAAAAAGUCUUCCUUUUAAGUCAACUCUCAUAUUCCAUUCUCUAAUCUACAAAAAAACUCUAGAGUCAUUGUAGGUGCAUAAUUUUGUCCUUGUAGUCUGAUUUUGAUCUAGGUUGAGAAACAGUUCCCUCCGGGUAUUAAUUCUCAGCUUUUUGAGGUAAAUUUUACUAAAAUCUAUUCUUAAGAUCCUACAUAUGAAUAUAUUAUUUAAUUUUUUAAUCUACUUUCUUUUGUUUUAUUUAUGGCCUUACAAAGUAAAUAACAACUUAUUUUAUAAAAAGGCAAUAUUAGCACUUUUUUGUUUUAUUAUCUUUUUGACUAUUAUCUAUAUUUUUAAGAUAACUUACUAUAAUAAUUUAAAUUAAGAUCUUGUAUAAUAUAAUUUUUUUCUUCUUUCUUUCAUUUAUUAUCUAUGUUACAUCACAACAUCCACCCAUUCUGAAUCUAUGCAUCUUUUGGCAUGCACCAAGUUUUUUUUAUUAUAUUGAUAUAAAGUAUUUUUCAUCUUGGUCAAAUUCUUGAUCUUCAAUUUGUUCUUCUAUUUCCACUUCAAUGUCUUGUAAUGUAUUUUUUUCUUAUUAAAACCAAUGUCUUUACUUCUUUGUUUAAAUAACUUGAUUCACUUGCUUACUAUAUGUAUCUAUAGUUCUGUACGAUCCAAUUCUUGUAACAAAUAUGUUCCAUUGUCAUAUACUUAUUUGACAACAUAAGGUCCAAAUCGUCUUUUUGCAAACUUCUAUAUUAUACUAUGUUGAUUGGCUAAGCUAUUAUCAUAAAUUAACAUCCAAUCGCCAUCUUCAAUUGCCUCAAGUCAUAGUCAAUAUUUUUUAUCAAAUAUUUUUUUAUUCUUUUUCCUUGUUUCUUUCAAUCUCUUCAUUGCCACUUGAAUAUCAUUAAGUCUUCUUUCUAAUUGUUGAAUCUAUAAUACUAAAAGUUCUUUUCUAUUGAAAUCAUCCUUCCAAGAUAAUAUACUCUAUAUAGGCACUACCUCUUUUAUUGGAAUUAUUGAUUUUUUUCCAUGUAUUAAUUCAAAAGGCAUAUAACUUUUUACUGAACUAUUAGUUGUACGAUCAACCUAUAGUACAAAUGGUAGUAGUCUAGGCCAUUCAUUCAAAUUCCAUAGUUCAUAUGGAAUUGUAAAAAUAAACAUAGAUGCUAUAAUACUUAGAUCAAUAUAUCCUAUUUCAUGUAAUUCAAAUGCAAAUGCAAUGCCUUAUGAUGUCAUGAAAGCAUUUUCUUUGAAACAUCUCUAUUCAUUUUUUGCCAAAAAUUACUCAUAUUCAAUUUUUAAACUAUUUAAUAUUAAUUCAUCCUUAAAUUUAUGACCUAUUUUUCUUGGAUCUCUUAAAUUGGGUUGCAUAAAAGCUUUUUCAAUCCUUUCCUUAAAAUCCAAUGUUAGUGGUAAUGCCAUUGAUUGAACCUUCUUUUCAACAGUCUUAUAUUUUGUGUUCACCUUCACUUCAUACUUAUCUACAUGUUUUUUCACUAGAUCAUAAAAUUACUUAGAAUACACGUUUAUUAUCUUAUCACUUUUUCAAAAUCUAAAUUUAAUAAUAUUUUUAAAUUAUUCAUAAUAUCACCAAAGAAAGAUUCUUCAAAUAUUCCUAAUAUGUAUUCAUCUUUAUCAAUUAUUCUUCAUUUCUUCAACUCAUGUUCCAUAUUUUUGACAUUAUUCUUUUUUAUCUUUUUUAAAUUUUUUAAAUUUUUUAAUUAAAUAUAUCCAUUUUGUCGUAAUCCUAUAAUGGUCUCAUUUCUUUUACUCGAAGGAAAGCCACUAAUACUUCUAUUUUUGUAAAUUCUUUUUAUAAUGGUCUUUAGUAAAAAUCCUUUAAGUAUUUUAGAUUUUCAAUUCUUUUUGUAUCCUUGGCAAAAGUCGCUUCUCCAAACUAACUUAAUGAUUUGCACAAACUAUCAUAAAUUGUACCACCUUCUUUCUAUCUUGACUUCUUAUCCUUGCAUAGACCAAACUAUCAUCCAUUAUCUUUAUUUCCAUUCAUAUAAUAAUAAUAUAUGGUUGUCUUAAUAUGAUAGAGUAGAUCAAGAUGCCAUCUAAAUAACAGACAAUAAAAUCAUCAAGAAAUUCUCAAAAGACAUCAUUCAUUAGAUGUUGAAAAAUAGUUGACAUAAUAUAUUUUCUUGAUCUACUCUAUCAUAGAAAAGUAUGAAGUUCAUAUUUGUUAUAUGUUACAAAAACUAAAUAAUAUAGGAUAAUACGCCAAGAUAAAAAAGUGUGUAUUUUAUACUAUUCAAGUUGACUUCCUAGCAUAAAUCAUUUCAAAUGAUGGUCUUAUCAUGGAUUCUAAGAAGGUCUAAACUAUCAUAAAUUAGACGAUUUUAAAAAUAAUUGAUAAUGUGUAAUAUUUUUUAAAAUUUGCCAAUUAUUACCAAAUCUUCUUGAAUAAUUUUUUUUAAGUUGUCGCUCAUGUUAUACACUUGAUAUGUAAAGAAAAACUUGAGUGGAAGAAAGAAGUUGAAGCAUCUUUUGAAGCCUUAAAGACAACAUUUAUUUGUAUAUCAAUCUUAUAUUGUAUUAAUUUUUUGAAGGCAUUCUUCAUGAAAACAUAAGCAUCAAAUUUCAUUAUAGGUAUUAUUUUGUCACAAAUGAAAGCGGUGUCAUAUUACAUAUUGUCUUGCUCGGGAAUGCACCAGGCACCUAGCUGUGGAAGGUGAGGUUGUAUUUCACAAGUGUCCAAGAAACCCUAAUAGGCUUCACCUAUACAAGAAGAAUAUAAUCUAAAUUUUAAUUCAAAAGUGCUAAAAAAAUACUCUUUUUAGUAGCCUUAAUCACACAUGAAUUCCAAUUACCUUGUUACUUUCAUAUUUAAGCAAUUUAGAUUUUUCUUUUAAGCCCCAAUCCUAAUCAGUGAGCUUUAACAAGCAAAAACAUCCAAUUUGAUUGUCCACUUGAUGUAAAAUUUUGCAUGCAAAUAUCAAUGUAAGUCUUCUACAUGCAUAAGAAUUUUUAGCCCAAUCCAAGUUAUAAAUUGUAAAAAAACCUCCAAAAAUUACACUGAUGUCACUCUGCCGCCAACUUGAAAAGUGAAGCAAAAAUCCCAUUAGUAAUUUCUCCCUUUUUAAUUAUUAAAUUUGAUUCAAAAUUGGUGUACAGCUUAAUCUUUAAGUCCUUCAAUACUAUACUAAAUUUCACUUUGAUCCAGCCAAUAGAUCUCUAGAUAUCACAAAAAUCCUAUCCAACCUCAAACUAUCAACUUCUGAAACCUUCUUAUGCUGAAAACCAGAUAUCUAUAAACCACGCUAUUAGAUUAUCACAAAAUUGUGUAUACACUCAGCACACCCAAUAAUCCAAAUAGUAUCAAAUUUUCAAGUGUAGAUGUUAUACCAAUUGCACGAACUAGCCAAAUUUACUAGCCCUAAUUAUAUUAUAUAAAACCCAAAUCACCAAUACAAACUGUGACUUUGAAUAACAAUUGCUAAGUCCUCAAAAAUCCUCCAAAAAUAAUCUUUAUGCCUCUAGAAAGAACUUCAAGCUAGCUCUCAUAUUCUAUCUUCUAAUCUUUGAAUGAAUUCUUAUUUUGCCCUAGGCCAUUGUUUGAGUGGCUAGAGAUCUAAUUUUGACCUUGUUUCACAAAUAGUCGACCCCUGGAUAUCAAUCUAACCUAUCAUAAGGAUUUUUUAGCCCAACCUUACUCUCAAAUUAAUCUUAGUAUCAACUAUACUAAUUAUUUAUCUCUUCUAACUUGAUUUUAUCAAUUUAUGGUCUUUUUAAGGUAGUAGAAGAGUCUCUACAACUUAGAAGGUAAAAUUACUAACUAACCUUCAACCUACUAACAAUUAAGAUAAAAAAAAUAAUGUAGGAGGCUUUUAUAAAAGCCAUGUUUAGAUACCUCAAAUUAUAAUUGAACUAAGAUAAUUAGAUAUUAAUUAGAAAUUCAAUUUUGAUUAUAAUUUCACUAUAUAGUCGUAUUACAUCACAACAGUAGAUGACAAUUCUACCCACUAGCUUUUCAUUCCAAGAAAUUUUUAACAGCUAAGAUUAUCUAUGAAAUCUAUAUCAAAGAGUUUUUUACAAUCAUAGAUUCAUUUCAAGAAUGGCAUCAUUAUCUAAAAGGUACUUUUAGUCCAAUCACCAUAUAUAUGGAUUACAAUAACCUUAAGUACUUCAUAUUAACACAUAUUUUGAAUUACCACCUAUCUUGUUAGAGCAUGUCUUCUUGAAGAUUUGAUUUUAUGUUUACUUAUCAAUCUAAAAAAUAAUAAGAUUUAUCAAACAUCCUUUCUAGACAUUCUUAUCUUGUACCAAAAGAAGGAGACGAUCCUUUUGAUCAUUAAAGAAUGAUUAUUUUGAAGCCAAAGCUUUUUCAUCUUUGAGCAAUAAAAUCAAUAUUGACUAUUGAUUCAAUAUUUACGAAGAAAAUUCAAUCAAUAUUGACUAUUCAUUUAAUCUUUAUGAAGUAAAUUCAAUCAAAUAUAUCCUUUAAUCUUUUUUUUUAUAAUAUCAAAAAUAAUUCUUCUAAAUUUCAUGAUACUUCUAAGUUUGAGUUUAAGAAUAAUCUACUCUAUUUUGAGGGAUAAUUAUAUAUUCCAAAAAGCAAAGCACAAUUAUAUGUUCUUUAAGUUUAUCAUAACUUUCUAAAAACUAAAUAUUUUGGAUAUAAUAAGACUUUAGAAUUAAUAUUAAGAGAUUUUUAGUAGCUUCAAAUAUCAGAGGUAAUUAAAGACUUUGUACAAUCAUAUGAUAUUUUUUUAAGAUCAAAAAAUCCUCAUCAUUGAUCUUAAAAACUUUUCCAAUCAUUAUCUAUUUCAAAACAACAACGGUCUUUUGUUUCUAUAGAUUUUAUCACAGAUCUUCUAGUCUUACGUUGAUAUGAUUUUAUAUUUGUAAUAGUAGAUUAUUUUACCAAGAUGGAACAUUUUAUACCACAUAAAAAAUCUAUCACAAGUAAAGAAAUGGCUAAAUUUUUUUUAACAAUAUCUAUUAUUAUUAUAGAUUGCUCAAAGAUAUUAUAUCUGAUAAAAGAUUCAAUUUGUAUCAAGAUUUUGGAAAAUCCUUUUGAAGAUUUUAAAGGUAGAUAUAAAGUUCUCUUUGACUUUUCAUCCUCAAAUUGAUAGACAAAUGAAAUGGAUGAAUCAAAUUGUAAUAUGUUCAACUACUAUGGACUUGAAUUUUUUCUUAUUUGUAAACAAAUCAAUCUUGUUGCUUAUCAAUUACAUCUAACAGAGACUAUGAAAAUCCAUUCUAUAUUCCACUUAUUUUUUUUAGCCAUAUAAGAUAGUGAAUAUCUCAAAAAAAAGACAAAUAUCACUUCCUCUUAUCAAAGUAGAUAAUAAUCAAUAGUUCAAGGUAUAAGAAGUCUUAGAUUUAACAUGACAUCAAAAUAGAUUAAAAUAUUUUGUUCAUUGGUGCAUAUAUAAUAUUAAUGAAUGUACAUGGAAGCCAACAAAGAAUCUUGAAAAUAAUAGAAAGAAGAUUGAUGCUUUUCAUUGAGAACAUCCAUCAAAAUCAAGAUAAAAAAUAUAAAAUCUUUGCUAUAAAAUAAAUAAGAUCUAGAGAAGAUAGCAUUCUACCUUCUACUCUUUUUUAUAAUUUUGUAUAUUUGUGGAUUUAAAGAGAUGAAAAACCAACAACCAAUAGAUUCAACUCAAGAACUAUCACUUGUUGACUUACCAAAUGAGACAUUGUGAUUGUCACAACUUUCAAGACAAUAUAAUAAUGAUGAAGAUCCUUAAGAAUGAUAUGUCUUUCUUCAAAUAGAUGGCAAGAUACAACAUAUUUGGCACCAUGACCUUAAAAGAAACUCUCAAUGUUUGGUGAUUUUAUUAGAAGUAAAAAUGAUCGUUAAUGAUAUUCUAAUAUUUUAUUUGAAAGGAAUAAUAAAGGCCUCAAUAACAAUCAAAUAAUAGGGUGGUCUUUCCACCCUAAUAUAGGACAUUAUCAAUAGAUAAGAGAAUCUAUUAACUAUCUUCAAAGAGAACAAAGAUCAAAAUAUGCGAUAAAUACAAUUUGUGUCAUCUUGAAUUUUUUCAACAUAUGGUGAAUGCUCUCUAUAAAAAAAUUCUCAAGAAGAAAAGAGGGGAUAAUAUUAUAGACACACAUAUUUACUUUAAUAUUUACCUAUAUGAUUAAAUAGAAGUAGAUAGAAAUAAAUUUAUUUCAUAAUAUUUUUUAGAAUAGCUUCUUAGAAGCUUCAUAGACAUUAUUUGAUUUUAGAUGUAUUUGUAGUUGAUUGAUAGGUUAGAAACUUGGUCAACAAGUUAACCACGUAUUGGUAGCUUGUAGAACAAGCUCACUAUGUGGUGUAUAUAUAAAAAACUUGCCUUGCAAGUUAAGAUAUGUGUCUUAUAAAAUCAACUUAUUUUAGAGGUCCUAUAAAACAUCUUCAUAUAGCUUCUAGUUAAGAGUGUACAUGGAAGCAAGAGUGAAGCCUUCUUAACUCUUGUCAAUGCCUUUUUAGUCUUUAGUCUUGUUUCAAGACUUUAUAGUCUUCUUGUCUUCAGCAAUAGCCAUUUUAAUUUAAUACUAUAUCAUCUUUGAGUGAUUUUUUUUUUCUUUUUGAGUGACACAAGAAUGUAUUGACAUUUUACUUCUUUGAGGUUUUUGUCCUUGACAUGUGACUACAUUUUUCGAUGGAAUGGCUUCCUUCAUGUUAUCUUUUUUGACAAGUGUAGUAGUCGAUGGCACUGAAUAAGGUCCUAGUUAUGCGUCAAGUGUCGUUUCAUAUAGGCUGCUCAAAUUAAGAAUGAUUCUCUAUUUGUAUUUUAUUUUGCAUGGCAAAUAACCAUAGAAGAACAUUGAGGGUCCAACUUCAAUGUUUAUUGAGUCACCACGAAAUUCUAGACUCUAAGUGGCAAUUAGGUUCUAUACUGCGGUUGAUUUCUUAAGAGGUGUGAAGAAGUUAUGGAUGGAUUACAAUUCCUCAAGUUGUUGAAUUUCUCAUACCAAUUGUUCUUCUAAUCUUGAAUCUUGAGCAUUGUGUAUAUGUCAAAUCAAGUCCUCCAUAGCCAUAAAAUACAACUUCUUAUGGGUCCUAGAUGAGACCAACUUUCAAUUUCUUGUAUAAGGAUGUGUAAGAUGAAUGUGUACCUGGCAUCUCUACCAAAUAUUUUUCCAAGCCAUAAUUCUAUGUCCUGAAUAAUGGUGAUGAGGGUGAAAUGAACAUAGGUGUGACAAGAUCAUACUUGAGGCAGUCACUCUGCCAGCCAUGGCUACAAUGAGCCUACCACACACAGCUGCCAAGACGAUAGAGAGAGACGUAUGAUUAAUAUAGCCACGGAACGCUUGCAAUGAAUGAACAACACCUAAUACCUGACCCUUCAACUAAGGAUGGGAUUUUUAUAUUAGUCAUUAUAUGAUACAAACAAUAACCUACCUAAGAUCCUGCUGGUGCAUGAUUAUAGCUUACUCUAAUUCUUAUCCCUACAUGCUAGCAUUGCUCCAGCACAUGACAAAACCAUUGCUCUACUUUCUAGUGCAAACUCUACAAUUUAAAAAAAACAAAAAACAAAAAAACAAACAAACAAACAAACAAACUUUUGUUAGGAUUCUAUUGAAUACAGAAUCAUAAAUUUGAAAAGGAAGCAAUCUGCAGUCAAAAGGUGGCCUGACUUGGUAUCUAUGACAACAGGGCACUUUUUGCACAUGUAUGGAUAUGUAUAAAUUUAUGAAGCAAUGACUCAGUUGAUCUCUACACAUUUCAUAACCAUCUGGUCUCUAUUUUGGGGAUUUGUAGAUGGACCAUUGGAAUGCAUAGCAAUUCUCAUGUUUUUGACAUAAAAAUGGGUGGAGCAAUCAACAAACAACAAAAUUAAUUUUGUAUACAUUUCAGAACACAUGGCCCACAUGAAGUGGAAAUUACAUGCAACAAUCUGGAAAAAUGUUAAACUUUGUAAUUUUGGAUGGAACAUAGUCCAAAAUAUGAUACAAAAUGCAUGCAGGUGAAAAUCAAAUAAAACAAUAGAGCUCUACAUACCAGAGUCAUAAUGGACAACAUAGAGAGGAGCCCCAACAAACUUUAUUAGAAUAUUAGAAUAAUGCAUGUCAUGUGCCUCCCACCCCAGCAUGUCUUGCCAACAUGGUCUUAUGGCUCUUGAUACCCAGUUGUUUUUAUUUAAUUGCCUUUUGCAGUAGAUGUACCCCAUUUGUGUUGGAGAAAAAACUAUCAAAUAAAAUAAAAAACCAGCAAACAAACAAACAAUGUCUCCAUUUUAUGAGACAUCCACGUCACAAGUAUAAAUUCCAACCAUCGGAAUUUGAUGGCAUGGAAAAGAAAAGAUGGUGCACUGUCCACAGCAUUGGCCAGCUCAGCACGAAGAGAAACUAAAAAGGUGGUUCUGGACUUCCAGUUGGGCUCUUUGCAAGGAUAUACAUAUGUAUGUAUGUAUAUAUAUAUAUAUAUAUAUAUAUAUAUGUCCUCACUUAUUAUAUUUUUCUAUGAAUUAUUUUAUUUUUAUUUGUAUUUUUCUCUUUGAAGUUAUUGUUUUCUUUUCUUCCUCCUUUAGAAAUGGUGGCAGCAGUUGAGUGGGUUUGGGGUACCAGUAUUUUGGCAUUUACUCCAUGCUUUCACUUUUUGGUUCCCUGUAAAAGUGGUUGGUUCCCAAGGCUCCCCUCAAACUUUUUCACAUCUUAUUACAGUUUAUUUUAUUGUAUUUUGUGGUUGUUAUGGAGUUGGCAGGAAAUGUGUUAUGAGCUUUCCAUUGGGUUGUCUGUGUUCCCCAUGUGGGUACUGGAUCUUCUACCCAUGCUAUGCUAUUAAAGAAGUGAAAAAAAUAAUAAAUAAUAAAUAAUAGAAAGAAAAAAAGAAAAUUUUUUGUCUGGGUUUUUUUUUUCUCACAUUUAUGUCGAGAAUUUAUAUAACAAGAAAUUUCCUUCAUACUUUUGCAUCACAAUACCAUUAUAUAAAUUUCUUACUAAGAUCCUAUAAUCAAUCCUGCUUGAAUAUACAGCCACACCGUGUUUACAUUCAAAGGAUCUUUCAAAACACAAGAUAUUGUAAAAUCAAAAAAAUAAAAAUAAAAAGAGAUUGUGAUUGAGUAUGAGUUAUAGAUUUCAACAUAAUCUACACUAAUUGUGAUUGAGGGACUGUAAUUGUCCAAUAUUCAAGUUUUAGUUAGUAAUUUUGAGUGUACUCCCAAGACCCACCUCAUUACCCAUAUGAAAAAAGCUAAUACCUCAAGGACUAUAGGAUAGCUGAGAGAAGACUGGUUUCAAUGCCCAUAAUACUCUUGGAGCAACACAUCCAUAAAAUCAUCAACCCAAUUACAUGAAUAAGACAACAAGUCCACGAAAAAGAGAAGAAGAAGAGUAGCAUCAUGUGGGAAGUUGUUUGGUUUGGUUUUGAGCAAAUGAAGCUUUGGCGCAUAGGGAAUAGUUUUUGAUGGGGAGCCAAGGUCCAUACACUUGGGCUUCAUCCUUGCAUGAUUCAUUUUGACAUGUUCCAAACGCAUGUAUGAGAUCCCCCCCCCCUCCAAGUUAUGCCCCAAUUCUCUAAACAUGGUAAUAUGUGAGGAUUUCAAUGGAAUGUCCAUCAUUUCUUCAACUAAAAUAGAGGAACAAAAAAACAGGAAUUUGUCCCCAUUGACACACCCCAAUUGGUGGAAUGUUUGAAACCAUGAAGGGCUUUUUCUAGCCCUAAUAUUAGCCAUUUGCAAAAAAGUGGUCCUACUGUUCCUUUACCCACAUUUUGUUUGUCACUCUCUCUUUUUUUGUGUGUUUGUUUCAUGAUUACUUCAUGUUUGUUUCCCCAUGAGCAUCAUACAUCUUUCUCCGCAAAAAAAAAUAAUCUUAAAAGACAAAAUAGGAGUCCAUUACAAGUUGCCAAUUCCAGCCAACACUUCUCACUCCAUGAUGAUUGACAAUGUCUCCAAAACUCUUAAAAUACACAGUUCUUUUGUUGGUCUUUUUGGACAAUUGUCUGGAUGUGCUUUGCUAAUCUCAUGUCAUUGCAUGGAAAUGUUGUCCUCACAUGAUAGUUGUUAACAAUUUGUUGUUUGUUUGUUUUUUUUCUUUGUUUAUUAUAUUUUUAGUUUAGCUUAUAUAUUUAUUUUUCACAUAAUACUACCAUUACAUGCACAAGUAGAAAUACUCCAUGGCCUACAAUUCAACUCCAUGAUGUUAUUAAACAUCUAUAUUACACUGUAGUCUCAAUGACAAUAUUUAUAACACACAUUAAUGCUUUUAUCAAUGAACUAAAUAUCAAAAUCUGUGCAAACAAAGGAGGUAAACCUGUACACAAUUCAAUUUACUGUUGAGAUGAAUGGAAGGAAGAAAAAAAGGGGAACCAAAAAAAAAAAAAAAAAAAAAAAAAAAAACAGAGAAGGAAAAAAGCACAACUAUAUCAUACAAAUGACUUUAAAAUAUUUAAAACUGUAUUUCAAUUGAAAAACAUGUCAUGGCAAAGAACAGCCACACAGCCCUAAACAUUGCCAAAAACAUUGCCAAAGGAACAGAUUGUCUGAAUUCAUCUGAAGCCUCAUCAAGAAUGACCAUUUGUUUCAGCUGUGCAAAAAAUCAGUUGAUUGGUAUACACAAUAGCAUGGUCCUCAAGUCAUCAAAAAUACAAAUCCUAGAUAAUGAACUGCAACAUGUAAUCAAUUUAAACAAUAUUUGUUUAUUUUGAUAACAACCAAUGAGGUAUGAAUAAUGUAUAAAUAAAUAAUGUAUAUAUAUCAUACAAUAGGAUAAAUGUUUUAUUAAAUGAUUCUGUAGUAAAUGUACGUACAUACAUAAUCUUUAAUAAAACUGACAACAAAGAAAGAUACGGCUUUAAAUAACUAUAGUAGAAAAUUAGAUUUGAAGGCAAUUGACAAUGUUAGCAUUUGUGCAGUGUUGACAAAGUAUAUUGAAUGCUUAUUUUCUUAUCUUCACAAACUCAUGCUGUAUCUUGCACAGAUAGGAAGGUAUAUUGGAUGAUGACUUCAAGUUUAUUUAUUUUUAAUUGCAUAUCAUCUCUUAAAAAUUUAGAAAAAUAUUAUAAUUUCUAAUAUGGGAGUAAUUAUUUUGCACCAAUUAGUAUGACAACACAAUUUAUUAUUAUUAUAUUUUUUUCCCCUUAGUCUUGUCAACUUGUUUGCAACAAACAGUGACACAUUCAAACUUCAGUUGUGAUUAAGUCAAUCGUAUCAUUUCUAUCUCAUCUCAUCACACUUGCUCUUUGAUUUACAUUGACAUCAUUUUGUGUAUUAACAAAUCCAACACAUUGUUCAAUCCAUUGUGCUUGAUGGAUAGCAAUUAAAUACAUCAACACAAUGCAUUACGACACAAGUUACCAUGACUGAAUGGUUUAUAAUCUAUCUUGCUAUUAUUUUUUUAUUCAUAAUGAUAUUGCUCAAAACACAUUUCACAUCUACAACUCUCACUCCAUAUAGAUAUUAGUAUUUAUUUUCUAAAUGGUAUCAUUUACCAAAAAUGAUAAAUGCCCAGAACACAAGAUAAAUCCAUAUGGGAAUUUAGCACAAAAGCAAAACAUACAUGCAUACAUCUUCCGGAUUUUCAAAGAGAUCAUAACAAUGAGUAUAUGGUUUCAUACAAACACACACACACACACACAAAACAAGAUUGCAUACAAUUAAUUUUAAUUGUGGUGGAUUCAGGUGAAUCCAUACACACACAACUAAAAACUAAGAAUGAACUAAUAAUUUAACCAUCAUUCGAAGCCAAAAUUAUGUGGAAAAUGAACAGCCCUUUGGACCAUUUUCAAUGAAACUAAGACAAUUCAAAAAGUAUUUCUACUUCAGAACAUUUUGAGAGAUAAGCUUAAAAUUUAAAGACCACUUAUGUGCAAACUAUGCAUGACUUUACACUGAGGUCCAAUAUCGUUUAGAUCCAAAUACAAAAAAGGACCUAAAUACAAAGUAAUGCACGGGGUUAAAUGAACACCAAAAAUACCAGUGAGACUGCUUUUAGUACUGAGGGUCGGAAUAAUAUGAUCCGGUGCCACACGAGGACUUCCUCUCGACAGCUCAACUCAAACCCUAAGUUCUUAUCACCACUACGAAGGAUUCUGAUUGGGCUCAAUGUUUAGUUGGUCUGGAAGUAGACUAGCGCUGGCUGAUAAUGACAUAGCACCUAAAAUGAGGCAAAAUACGGCUUAAGAGUAUUUUGAAGCCAUACUCUGACGCGAAAAUGUAGAAUAAAACUUCAGACAUAAGGUAAUAAACCAUGACCUAGGAAUAAACCAUAACCACCACAACAAUCAACGGCAAUCCAUUGCACCAGUUGGGUCUCCAAAAAUAUCAGGAUUACAUCAGCCAGGAUAUUAAUGUGCACAACACGGAUGCGCCACCAGAAUAUUUCUGACAACUAAGGGCACGUUAGAACUCUUAAAUGAACCCAAGAAAUUGAAGGAGACACACAUGCUCCUUACCAAAAUUUGCACAAAAUCACAGACAAGCGGGGUUGAUGAUUCACUAACGCUACCAGCCACGACUCGAACGGAUCGCAUAGAAGAACAGCUACACCAAAAAAAAAAAAUCUGCACCGACCAUCUACUAACAAAAUCAAGACUGUCUACAGCCAGGUAUGCAAAACCAAAACAGUUCCAUUCAUGGUUACAAGUUUCACGACAAUGCAGGCAAGCCAUAAAUGAACCAAGCGAAGAGUAGUUCAACCAUAAAUGCUGCAAACUUAAUCCUGCUUCAAAGAGCACCAAAUAUCUCUAAAAAAAUAUUAGUUAAACGUAAAAUACUUACAAUCAUGAAAUCCUUCCCAGAAAAAACUCACUAGACAGGCAUUCCUAAAACAGCUACCCACGGCAAAUGGAAGAGCAAUGUAUCCAAAGAACAUAGAGGGCUCGCUUUCUAAUGACCAUUUACAUACCCUCCUGCCAAACUCACUGCCAAACUAAGCCUAUCUGACAAUAAGCACCCCCACCCCUACCAAGGUCUCCACCACAACACCUUUCACCACCUUGCCUCAUGCGCUUCUUCUGCGAGUGAUAUACCCACAAUGCUCGCCCAUCCACGCCCUGGCUGGAUACCACCCUUCCACCACCACCACCACCACCACUCUUCCCACUACUGCUUCUUUAUCUUUCUUACGCCACUCUUCCAUACUCCUACAGACUUGGACGAUGGCACGCUUCCUCAGGCCGUUGCUAACAGACUCCGGCUGCCACACUUAUCUCGUCUACCAGACAACAAACCAUAGAGCAGCAAAGGCUAAUUACAACACCCA
rnacentral:lncRNA from 1 species